rnacentral:lncRNA from 1 species
UUGACAGAAUACACACUGCGGCUGAUUGGUUCAGAUAUAGAACACUACAUAAGGAAGCUGCUAUAUGAUGGAGAAAUCAAAUACAACAUGAAUGCAAGGGUGCUGAAUUUCAGCAUGGGGAAACCACGCAUUCUAUUUAACAACGAUGGUCAGCUGCAGGAUGUAUAAUCACAAGAUACAGAUAGGGUGGCCAGACAAAUGUAUGAAGUUGUGACUUGGUAUGUUUGAAUACAGUUUCUUCCUCAUGGCUUAUCUCCACGAGCUAAUCAUGCAUAAAUGCUGAGGAUAGUAACGAAGAGAGUUGCACAAACUCAAAUGCAGAUUUCAUGCAUUUGUAGACUGUGAAAAACAUUGCUGAUGAUAACAUCACCUGCAUGAUGAUCAACAUAAGAUUUGCCAAUAGCUUUAGUUUCAAAUCUUCUAGACCCACUCCACAAGUCUACAUCUGCCAAAGAUCACCAUACUCCCUUUCGUUAUAAGGCUUUUCAAGAAUUUUAUUUAGUUCCUCUCUAAAUUUACCAGAAACUCCAUUGUCCCUCCAAUCCUCAUCCCUCAUUUGCCAAUCAUAAAUAGAACAUGGAAAGCAUAUUAAUUUCAGCUGUUAGAAUUGUGAUAACAUGAAUAAUUUUAUAGCAGACAAAAUGACACAUAAAGAAAAGAAAGGAUUGGAGCAGGAAAAGAUGCAUUACCUCUAAAAUGCAUCCUUUUGAAGUCACAAAUGGAGUAUCAUUUCCAUCAAAAAAUUGAGUGGUGUCCGUGACAAUCACCUCAGAAUCAGAUGAACUCUGUUCACCCUCUUCAUAUAAAACUCCUUUUCCACUUUUGAGGUGCAAAUACCACAUACCCACCAUCUUUUUUGCAAAAAUUCAAAAACAAUUGGUUACUAUGAUCCACCAUAUCCAGAUUCAUCUCACAUUUGUGUUUGCAAUUUGUUGAACUAGGAGCUUGUGGCUAGGCUUUUUACUUGCAUACAUGGAACUGCAUUCAAGGACUGCCUUUUGAAUUCCCUUUCAACAGCCGAAUUCCCCCUUGGCUGAAAGACCCUUCAUUUUUCUUUGAGUUUCCAUCCUACAAUUCUCCAUAUCCAAAUGCAUCUUGCGUUUGCGCUUGCAAAUAUUCAAAAUUUCAAACCAAUAGCUUCUUGACUAUGCCAUUUCCUUGCAUGUACAUAGAUUCCUUUCUCGCCUUGCUUAUAACUGCCGAAACCUUUCUUUCUGUGGAUGGAACAGCCCCUGAUUUUCUUUGAUUUUCUGUUCUAUGAUUCACCAUCGUCAAUUUCACCUUGUGUUUGUGCUUGGAAUUAGUCAAACCAAGAACUCCUGGACUAGACCUUUUACUUGCACAUUCAAUUGCUCUAGAAGAGGUAUGAUCCACAGCUUCCACGUUCAAAUUGCUUUCAACUGCCGAAACCUUUUUUUCUUUGGAUGGGACAUCCCUCAAUACUGUUUGGGCCAUAUCCAAUUUCAUCUCGUGUUUGCGCUUGCAAUUAGUAGCGCCAAGAGCUCCUAGACUAGGCCUUGCAAGCACGUCCAUCUGCUCUGCACGAAAUAGGAUUCACAUAUUCCUUUUUCAUCUUGCUUUCACCACUGAAACCUUCCUUUCCCUUGCUGGAACAUCCCCCAAUUUUCUCGGAGCUUCCAUUCUCUCGCUUAUCGGAUCAAUCUUCAACAAUUUCCUAGUUCCUGUGUUCAUGCUCUUUGGACAGUCUCUCUCAGUGUCUGGUUUCUCAAUGUGACACCGAUCAUAUGCCCCAUCUUGUGAAGCAGAACUAACAGUUAUUGAUAUCUCAUUCAUCAAUGAAAUCUCAAGAACACAUGAUUUCACAUCGUGUCUAUAAUUAUCCCAGAACAUCUUAUAGUCAGGAUCUUCAUCAUUAUCAGCACCAUCACCUAGAGACCCAUCAUCUGCACUAUUACCAUCAUCCCCUGCUUCUUCACCAACAAUGCCAUUAUUGAGAUGCCCAUCAUCAACAAUAUCAUUAUCUCCAACCCUAGCAUUAUCUCUACCAAGACUAGCAAAACCAUCAGCCAGAGAAAAAGGAGUAGCAUCACCAUCAAUGGACCUAGUAUCCAAAUCAACACCAUCCAUAGCCCCAUUACCACCAAUAUUAUUCUCUACAAGUUCAUUAACAAGGUCAACAUUGACAUCACCUUUAUCAGUUAACCUAUCACCAUUUCUUUUCUUGGAUAAAGAAGUCUUAAUAUCCACACAAGCAUCACAAUCACUAUCAACAUACAGCCCUUCAUCUAAAUCCUUUAAAAACUUCUUGCUAUGUCAACCUCAAUGUUGUCAUCAUCAUCUAGUAUAAUAUAGCUACUACUCUUGGGUGCAUUUGUUGGCGACUCAAUACAUUUACCACCGCUGUAUCUUUGUUGGGAUGAAGAAGAGUUGAAGUCAAGACAAGCAUCAAUAUCAACAAAAAGACCUCUAACUAAAUCAUCAUAAAACUUCACGUAAUCUUCACAAUGAAAAUGGCUGUCAGGGCCAUCCUUUUGAAUACAAACACUUUCAUGGCUGCUCUUCAGAGCCAUAAUGUCUUUACAAAUGUUGCCUUUUCCAUUCAAAUUGACCUUGAAACUUUGAGUGCCACUAUUCCUUCUCCUCAACCUCCGAUUCAACCUCUCAUCAUGCAUGCAAUCAAACCCUUUAACAUCUGGAACUACUCCCAACCCUUUUCUUUUAAUAGAUCCCAUUAACCCCCCCACACCAAAAAAAAAAAAAGUUCUUUGCUAAAUACAUAUAUAUAUCAACUUAUUAAACCCCCUUGUUUUCAUGAAAAAGACGAGCAUCAAAAAACACAACCAGUUGACCAAUAAAAACAAACAAGAAAUCCCAGUUUUUCACAAAAAUUUUUUUUAAAUAAAUAAGAAGAAACUAAUAAACCUUAAUUAAUCCAAGAGGAACAGUAACAAAACACACCGUUUACAAAGGAAAAAUUGUCUAAACUUCAGGGAAGACCUUAAAUAUAACAAGCACGUGGACUUUUAGUCAAAGAAAAUACAUAGGUUUUCGUCUUCACAAACAGUAAAAUAUCUUCCUUUACUCUCUUGCUUUCCCGUAAACCACACAAAAACAUCGUAAUUACAGAAGGGGAAGAAGAGUCACAUGUCUUCCUCAUGUGUCCUCUUAACCUUUUUCUUGUUGCUGUAGACAAAACUCCAUGGGCAUGGUGAUGUACAUUCACUUCUUUAUUCAAGUGGCUUUCUUAAUGAAUGGUAUGCCUCAAUGGUUAUUGCAUAUGUUUUGAUCAUGCCCUUUCAGAACGUGAGUAGAAAUACUUAGAAUCCAUAUUAUGUUGCUAUAUAAAAAAAAGACCCUGGAAUAUCCUCACCUCUUUGGCGGAUAUUUGUGUUAAGAUUAUAUGCUUCUGGUUUGCAUGAAAAACGUUGGUUAAUGAGGAGGAUUUCCUUAAGCUUUGUUGAUUAUUUGUUUUGUUUCUAACUUUGAAAGUAGUAUAAAUCGAAGAACAAUUAAGAUCCACUCAGUUUUUAUGUGUCUGUUUAGGUGAUGGAUACAUGGCUUGCUUAUGCACCAGUGAAGAACAACCCUGAGGAUGCUGCCAAGGUAAAACAAAAAAAAAAAGAUUGUUGGUCAUCAUAAAUUGUUCCUGUUCUCAAUUUUGUGCUACUUAAAAUAGGCUACUGAAGUUCCAAAUGUGCUUAAAAGAGGUUAUUGCCGGCCUUCCGACUUCAGAGUCCAUUCUGGGGAUUGCAUACAUCAUUUGCCUACUUUAUUUUUCUGGAGACAACUUUUAGCUGCCCAGUUUGGUGGUGGCAAUUAGUUUUUUUCAUUUGUGGCCUUCGUCCCUGAUACCUAAUUCUACUCAGUCUCACACCACCUAUUCCAACUUGACUUCAAGCCAGAAGGUAAAAUCUUGAGUGGUUCUGUACUGUACUUAAUUUGCUGGACGUUGCAUUGGUUGAUAUAGCUGACAUAUAUACAUAUGCAUACUGUCUUUGAGAUAAAAAAAAACAUGUGGAAAAAGUCAACGAAUAAAAUUAAAAAAAAAACUAAAAACUAUCAUGAAUGGUUGUACAAAAAGAUUUAUAAUAUUAUUCAAGAAGUAAGUAAAAGUAAGAUGGGGUUAAUUAAAAUAAAAUCUUCAAUAUAUUUUUAAUUAAUUUAUUUUAAAGAAAUCUUAUUAAAAUAGAAGAAAAAAACAUAAAACCGGAAAAAAAAAGUGGUCAACUGCCUUGGCUUGUAUGGGCCAGCACACCUAACCUAUAACAAAGAACGCUAGAAUCGCAUGGGCAGACAUGCUUGCUUGACCUUUUUUUUUUAAAAUGGGUGGAGGAUUAGUCAUCCAUCUAUUUUGUUUUUAAUAAAACAACUUGUCUUUAACAAUGGAACUCUAAAGACAGAACAAAACCAGAGAUUGCUGAAAAGUCGAGUCCCAACCUCUUGGAUUAAAAAAAAAACACAUCUUCAAAUCUUUUUUCACCUAAAAUAAAUAAAUAAACAACCCAUAAACAUAAUAUAUAUAUAUAUAUAUAUAUAACCUCUAAUAAACCUUUAAUUGGUCAAAAAACUACAAUAUUAUAACUAAAAAGAUUAAAAUAGAAGUCAAUGAAGAAUAUUUGGACAAAAGUGUACCUUUCAUGCAAAUUUUAGAAAAGACAUGCUUUUUUUAUUUUAAAUUUGAUGAUUUUUCUCUUAAUUUUCUCUUUAAUUUUAUCUUUGUGCUAUAAAUUCAAACUUUACCUUGUUAAAUUUGCUUCUAAUGAAGUUCAAAAACCUAAUAGAAACCUUUAAUCCUUUAAAUAUGCAAGCAGAAGAAACCAUCAACUCAAAAAACACCAUAAACAACAGGUGUAAUCCAAAACAUUAAUAAUGAUAAUAGAAAAAGAAAAAGAUCUACAAGAUGGACAAUUAACGGGUCAAACACACUACAGUAAGGUUAAGCAAGAAACACAAACAACCCACAAACUAAAUGAAAAAACAAGGAUCUUUCCAAGAAAAAAAUUUAAUUUCAGUUCAUAUGCAGAGAUUACUUGAAACCCAUGUUGAAACCCAUGUUAGUGCAACAAUUUAUCAUCACAAUUACUUAAGAACCGCCAAAACCUAAAUCCACUCCAAAAUUACAAGAGCUAAGGCUAUGUUUAUUUCUUGAAAAGUGGUUUUCAGGAAAUCAUUUUUCAAACUUUUCUAUAUUUGUUUGCUAUUAAGAAAGUUGGUCAACGGAAAACACUUUCCAGUCAAAGAAAAAUUUGGCUUUGUUUCUAUGAAAGUGUUUUCCUGAAAAAUUUGGGCGGAAAACACUUUCCAGAAGUUAUAAAAAAUUUAGAAAUGUCAUAUUAUUUGUUAAUUAUAUCAAAUUUGAUCCUCAAACUUUUGAUUGCUAUAUAUAUUUUGUUUUGAAUAUUUAUUUUUCAAUUUCAUCUCUUAAAAUUUAAUUUUUAUAUUAACUUUGGUCCUUAUUUUUAUAAUUGUUAUUUGCUUUUUCCUUAUCAUUUUUUUAUUGAAAUUUUUUAUCUAUCAAAUUUGAUUCUCAUUCUUUUGAUUGUUACUUAUUUUAUUUGAAGUAAUUUAUGAAAUGUUAAUUAUUAUUAUUUUAAUUUCUUCAUCUUUUAUUUUUUUUAUUUUUUAGAUUUGAUCUCUAUUAUUUUGAUUAUUAUUUAUUUUAUUUGAGAUAAUUUAUGAAAUUAUAUUUUUUUUCAAUUUCAUUAUCAUUCAACUUUUUAAUUUGUAAGAUUUGUUUCUCAUUAUUUUAAUAAACUUAAAAAAAAUAAAAUAUUAAUAUGUUAUUUUCCAGCUCAUUUUCCAUGACAUAACUAAGUACUGAAAAAUGUUUUCUAAUUUAUUUUUCAUUAUACUACCAAACAUCAGAAAAUAAUUUAUUUUUCUGGAAUUCAAUUUCUCGAAAUUCACUUUCUAAAAAAAAAAAUAUUUUCCAACAAACAAAUAGAAACUAGAAAGAAGUGAAAUCUAUGAAAAACUCACCGAGAUGUUGAAGUAGAGAUGAUGUAGAAGAAAAUUACGUCAACCAAAAGCUUGAUUUCUUCGAUCGGUGCUUGUUACGCCAUGGUUUUUGAAAACUCUAGCAGCUUUGAGAGCAGAUUUGGAGCAAAUUAUGCCAACCAAGCUUGCUACCUUGUCUCUGUUCUUGGACAAUGAGCAGCUGUGUGCAAGAUUAAGAGGAGAUCAGUCGGGUUAAAAUAUCUUACACCAAAAGAAGAAUAGUCACUUGUUAAUGGUUUAUUGAGAUCUAAAACACCCCAGACAAAGUUUAAGAAGAUAGUAGCUUCAGUAAUAUAUCCAUGGUGGUUUCUUUUCCAAACAAUAGCUGAUACAAAAAAAAGAGAGUAAAGGAACCAAGAAUGAUCAGAUUCAAAUGUAGAAGCAAAGGAAAUGGGCUUACAGUAGAAUAGCAGCUGGUUCUACUGUAAAACACAAUUUUUGUUUCUGCCAUUCCCUUUCCCUCUCUAAAUUCUUGCUCAACUCAACUGAAACUGAUGCGGGUAUCCAAAGACAAGGAGAUGGGGGCUGGAAGGCCGACGUUGGUGAGGCUAUUAUUUCAGUUUAAAAGUGUAAUGUUUUUUUUUUUUUAAUACAUUAAAAUAAUAUUAAAAUGAUUUAAAAAGUACACAGUGUCUAACACCCUUUAACAUAGUAUCAAUAUUUCAUCAAACGGUGAAAGAUGAGGGGCGGCUGCAGCAAUAUUUUCCAGGAAGAGAUAGGGUUUGUUUCUUUUUCAAGGGAGGUGGUAUUUAUAUUUCAAAUGAAAACAUAAAAACGUUAUUAAAAUCAUGAUUUUACUGACUUCAAAUAAUUUCAAUUUUAUUUUAUUAGUUUUUGAGUUUUUAAAAUGAUUUUACAUAAUAAAUAUAUAUACACUGACAUGUAAAAUCAAUAUUCUCAAUUUUAAACCAUCUAGGUGGUGACCUAGUGGUAAAAGUUUGGGAUCAAGAGGUUUGCUCCCUCUGUGGUCUCAGGUUCGAGCCCUGUGGUUGCUCAUAUGAUUGUCAUUGGAGGCUUACAUGGUCGUUAACUUCAGGGCUCGUGGGAUUAGUCGAGGUGCGCGAAAGCUGGCCCGGACAUUCAUGUUAAAUUAAAAAAAAUUUCUUAAUUUUAACAACAUUGUACAGUGUCUAAAAAAACAGAUUUCCAUGGACGGACGAUAGAGAGAAAGGGACAAAAUGUAGUUUUGGUCUGUGAUUAGUAAAUGGAAAAAUUAAAUGGAUCGUUUCAAUUUAAACCUCGUGUGUCGUGGCCAAAUAAAAGUGGUUAAAGAUUUCGAGCGUAGUUGUGGAUGUGAUUGUUUUUUAAAAUAUUUUUUAUUUAAAAAUAUAUUAAAAUAAUAUUUUUUUAUUUUUAAAAAAUUAUUUUUGACAUCAGCGUAUUAUAAUAUUAUAAAAAAAUAAAAAAAAAUUUAAAUUUAAAAUAAAAAAAAUUAAAUUUUUUUUAAAUACUUUUUUAAAAUACAAGCUAAAGUUCUGGAAAAAUCAACCCACAAGGCACACGAAACUCGAGACUUGGCAUUUAUCACGACUCGUAUGAAGCUUCUUGCAAGUUUCCUCGACCAUUAUUUCAGCAGAAAAAAAUUGCUUUCUGAUUUGCAUUCUUCGUGUCUCUCCCCUGUAAAGAAGUCCAUAUGGGGCAUCUAUAUAUAUAUAUACACACACACACAACCUCUCCUAUCUUAAUGUUAGGUCAACAAUACGUGCAGGCUAGUAUGUUGGCGGAAUAAAAAUAGCAUCUCAUCUUCUUUUGUGUUGUUCGGUGAUUCUUGAGUUAGGUGCAUCAUGUGUCUCCUUAAAACAAAUGACUUGCACCGGAUUUUCCAAGAACUUGACAGAAAUGGUGAUGGUCUCUUGAGUGCAGUGGAGCUUAAUUGGCUUCUUGAAAGCAUCGGAGGAGUCCAUUUUAGCCUGGAGGAGCUUGAGUCUUCGGUGGGGAAGUCAUGCCUCAACUUUGAUGAGUUCUUGUUAUUCUACGACUCCAUAACAAAGCAAAGCGGUGGCGGAAACAGCGAGGCAGUAGUAGCAGAUGAUCAGGAGGGCUGCAACAGGGAGGACUGUGACCUUGUUAAGGCAUUUCAGGUGUUUGAUUCUAACGGCGACGGAUUCAUUUCUAUCGAGGAGCUUCAAAGCAUGCUGUCAAGACUUGGAUUAUGGGAUGAGACGACUGGCAAGGAUUGUAGAAGUAUGAUUUGUAGAUAUGAUACGAACUUAGAUGGGGUUCUUGAUUUUGAGGAAUUCAAGAAGAUGAUGCUUCAUACCAGUUCUUAAUUAAUUAAUCAUUUUUGGGGCAGUCUAGGACUCUAGAGGUUUGGAUUUUUACCUUAGGUUUGGAUUUUUACCUUAGAUUUUUUAUGGUCGGCCUCUUAGACCUCACUGGCCGUCGAUCUUGGAGGCCAGCUUUUAAUGCUAUAUGUAUCGCUUUCAUACUUGUUGAAUGUAGUUGUUAUGGUACAUCUAUGUAUGUACAGCAGAAUUUUCAGGGAGUUAUAUCAGAACUGAUUUCCGGUUGCCACACUUUGUCGUUUAAUGUAGGAUUUUAUUUUUUAUUUUGGAAAAAAAUAGAUAUCUUUUAAUUAAUUUUAUUUUUUUUAUUUUGUAUUAUUAUACCUUUCUAGGUUUUUUCCUAUUUAAUAAGAAUAUUUUUCUUAUUUUAUUUUUUCUAUUCAAUAUAAUUAGUAUUUUUCUAUAUAAAAUGUUGCAAUAAUCUCUUAAUAUGUAAAGACAUGAAUUAAUAAAAUUAAAUAUUUUUGAGAUAUUUUGAGAAUCUAUCAAUGGUUAUGGUGUUUUUUUAUCUUUAAUGGUUUUAACUUGUAACAAAUCUUGUUAUCCUUUUGUUCUUAAUGUGUUGGUUGAUAUUAGAGCAUAAUAAUUCAUGGUGGUUUUGAUUGGAAAUCAUAGAGGAGUUGUUUCAAAACUCAAUGAUUUGAUUCUUGUAAAUCCUUGUGUAAACAUAGGGCCAAAGAUAGUAAUAGCUCAAUAAAACCUUGUCCCCAGCUAAUAAAACUAGCCCAGAACACAACUUUCCACCCUAUAUAUACCACCUCUCUUUCACUGGUACAACACCUUACACUACAUCUACACUUCAUUCCAAUUAGAAACCACAACUAAGGACCACCACAUGAGCCAUUACCGCCAUUGUUUUUCCUCUCACAUAGUUCACAGUACCAGCCACACCAACAAUGGUAGCAAGGGCAACUCAAAGCCAGAUAAUAUUUCCUUCCACCCUCCUCAUGUAAUGUGAUGUUUAGGGCUAGUACUAAUUGCUUACAUGGUUAUAAAGAGAAGGGGAGGUGCUGAGAAUGCAUGAGGCAAGAAAUGGCUUUAUUAAUGGAAUUUUAUAUGCCAAGUGAUGGCUCUCGGGUUGGGUUGAGUAAGAAAUAAUAGGGGUCGGGCCUCUUAUUCAAGCCCAACCCGUAUAAUUGAGCUAGGUUAUAUAUAUAUAAUCAAUCAACAAUGCAACUUAUCGCAAAUAGGGUGCACUGAGGUAAUGCGUCUUUUUUAUGCAUAGCUAGUCCCCUUACUCAGACUCUCGCAGACUAAUAGACUUUCUAGUGACCACCAUUAUACUAGGUAUUGGCUCCUUUAAAUCAUGAUUUUAUUAUUAAUUCCAAUACAUUCCAAAAACCCCUCGAUCCAAGAGGCAAAUCUAUCAUUUGAAGUCGUGUAUGCCACGACAAAGGUUAUAAAGAAUGAAGAGAUUGUUAGGUUAUGGAACGUAAAGGUGAUUAUAGCGAGUAUAUGAACUGUUAAUUUAUAUUUUUCAUAAGGCAAGGUGUUGGAAGUUACCCAGCAUUCUUGUAAAGGAUAUGAUGUGUUUAUUGUUAAUUUUUAUCAUGGAGAAUUAUAUGUGAAUGUUGUGUUUUGCAAAAAUUCAUCAUAUAUCGGACUAGCUGAGGAACCGAGAUUAAUGCACGGCUAGUUUUUUGAUAGAAUCAUUGUUUAAUUAUAUUUCUCAACAUGGAUAAGGUAUAAUUUUGAUGUCAUAAAUAGAAUAUGGAUAUGUUAUUAAUUAUGUCGUAAAAGUGAAAUAUUUAUUCAAGGAAAAGUUGUAUAUAUUUUGUUAAAUGUAUUUUCUUUUAGUGGAUGAUAUGUGUGAAUGAUAUUGCUAAAAAUGUUAUUUAUUCAAUUGAGUGCCCUAAGGCCCAUACUUAAAUAUAAAUUGUUUGUGAAUGGGAUUAGAACUCCCAAUUGAUUAUUAUACAGGUUAUUAGGAGAAAAAAAGAAUUGUUUAGUGACUCAGACAGAGAAAACUCUACCGAAAUUUUAUCUAAGAUGUAUUAUUGAAAGGUUAAGACUUGAAUAUGAUUACAUUGUUAGAUUACCGAUGAAAAACAAUUACCAUGUUUCCUGAGAUCAAGGCUCAAUUGUCUUAAAAAAAUUCAAGGUUAUAAUUUUUGUUGGUUAGUUGUUGUAUGUUGUUGAAUAACUAUAGUCGAAAAAAGUCAUAGAACAUUAUGUGCUUGUGUAGGAGGGGAUGGUGAGGUCCUCCCUAAAAAAAAAUACGUCCAAGAACUAGCUAUUGUUUUUGUUUGUUUCGGUUGUUGUCAUUGGAAAUCUUGGUAGUGGGACUUCUUAUGGGAUGACUUGCCCGAAGGUCUUGUGUUAGAAAUCCAUGAUGGAGCAACUCACAUAUAGAUAUUGUGUUAGGGACUCAUGAUUUGGUGGUCUGCAUGAAGAUGUUAGGAAAUCACGAUAGGAUGGACCACACAUAAAAGGAUGUUUGCGGUGGAUGACGAUCAUUGAAUGAGGUUUGAACUCGAGGAUGAGUUUCUUCUAACCCAGAGAUACUAAUUUAGGAGAUUUUUAGGGAAAAUAAAUAUUUUUCUCAAUUAAUUUUAUUUUAUUUUUAAUUUUAAUUUUGUAUUAUUAUGCUUUUCUAGUUAUUUUUUCUAUUUGAAGGAACACUUUUCUUGUUUUGUUUUUUAUUCAAUAUUAUUAGAGUUUUCUAGUUUUUCUAUAUAAAGAAUUGUAAUAAAUUCUUAACAAGUUAAGACAUAAAUAAAUAAAAUUAAGAACUUUAAGAUUUCUUAAUUUUAGAGGGUCUCAAGUCCUCCUUCCUCUGAAUAUAUAUAUAUAUAUAUAUAUAUAUAUAUAUAUAUAUAUAUAUAUAUAUAUAUAUAAUUUGGUGUCUGCAAUUUGUAUACACCAUAAAGUCAUUAGAUUUUCCAUUCGCAUCUAGAAAGUCCAACAAGUAUUGCAAUAUUCUAAUUUUAUCUUAUUUUUUAAUCAUAAGAUAGUUUUACUUUAAAAAAUGAACCAAAUAAUAUUCAUGCAUGAGAUAGAGAAUUCUAAAUCCAAUAUUUAUAAUAUUUUUCAUGUUAUAAUUAAUUAAUGAAGCAUAUUCUUCCUCGACUCGUUUAACAUAUUGAAACCAGUAUUUAUAAAUAUUUAUUAAAUUAUUCUUAAUGUAGCAGAUAAAUAUAGAAGAAGAGCAAGAACAAAAGGCUAUUAAUUUACUAACGCCAUGGGAGUUUCCGAGAAAACACCCAGGAGUCAGGACAGACCAUCGUACAACCGUACAAGUCAAUGUCCUUUUAUCGCCUUAUUAAAUUAUUCCGUUGACCAAAAGAUCCAAUUUCCUCCCAAGAAAAGAAAUAUAUUAUAACUGUCAAUGCCAAGCGUGGCCAGCGGACGUACGCAAUUGGCUCGGAAAGAGCCACGCAAGUUACUCCAAUAUUUACGUGAUCCAGUCACAUUCAUUCAAUUAAAAUGGGCUGAUGCAUGCAUGGCAAAUUGACUCCACCCGUUGAUCUCUAAAAUUCUGAAGUCUGGUUUUAUGACUCUGACGUGGAUUUGAAUUGAAUUCCAAAUUGCAUUUUAUAAAAAUUUGAAUUUUUUAUUUAAAAGUUAUGUUUUUAAUAUUUUUAAAAAAAUAUUUUUUAAAAAUAAAAAAUAUUAUUUUAAUUUAUUUAUAAAAAAAAUAUUUUGAUAAACAAUCACUAUCAUAAUUCUUAAACAUUGAUAGUGUUAUAUUUGUUUUUUCCUGUAUAUUUAUUUUUCAAAUUAUUCCACUUUGCCAUUUUCUUUGGAACAUGGUAAAUACAUGGGCUCCGUGACUAUAUUAAAAUAGAUUAUUAAAAAAAUAUUAUUUUAUCUCCAUGACUUUUCUCAAUACUUUUAUAAAAAAAACCCCAAAAGUGUCAACAUUAAGUAUAUUAAAAUAUAAACGGGUUGUUGAAAUGAUUUUUUUUAGUCCACUUAAAAAAACAAUAUUUAUACUAUUCUAAAAAAAUAUUUCAAGAAUUCGACUUUUCCAGGCCAGGGAGGAAAAUUCAGAGUCAAUUUGAUUUACUUUUAUACUAACCAGACUCGUUGUUUGUGAAUUAUGCUUAUGGUGAUGAUUAAACUCCAAUUUCCUUCCACGUCGUUGUCUAAAACGUUGCAUCACAGUAUUUUGUGGGUGCCGAUUGAUCAAAGUAGAAUAAUUUCGUUGAAACUGAUUUUGCUAGAAUUGAAUGAGAAAAUGACCACUUCCAGUUUGAUAAACCCAGCAGGCUUUGCCAUGAAAGAAGUGUCAGCGAAAUUAUAUAUUACUACCAACCAAGAGAGCCGGCAAAGAUUCAUAUUUUCUUGGAACAUCAAACCUUGGAGUUAUUCAAGAUGCUUUAUUAAAUAUUAUACAUGUAAUAAAUUCUUAAGAUUUUUCUAGAGUAUGAUGUAGUCUCAACUAGAUAGUAGCACGCAGUAUCUCGUGGGCCGGGAUGAAAUUUUUUGAUGAAAAAAAGAUAAAAAAAAAUUCAGUCAUUCAUCUAUUUGGAUCCAAUAAAAUAACUUCAUCUAAUUAUAUGAUAUAAAAAAAAACAACGAUAAAUGAACUGAAUCAAAAAAUAAAAAAAAAUCCGAGUCAAUUUAAAUUAGCAUGUCAAACCUGCAUCCUUGAUAGUGAGGCCUGAAUAACCCUGUAGGAAGAAAAUUGAAAAAACAUUAUGAUGUCUAAUUUCCAACAAUUCAAAUAUAGAAGCAUGAUAUUAAAAAAAAAAUCAAUUAAAAAAAGGAUUAAAAAACACUAAUAAAACCGAGUAAGACUAUCAAACCUCGCGAGCUAGAUCAUAGAAGGAAAAAUAGGAGAAACUAUGAUGUUCAAUUCUCAAACUAACAUAAUAUUGAAGGAUGUAAAUGAAAAAAAAAUAUUCAAUCUAAAAAAAUAAUCCAAAACAAACCUCAGUCACCCAAGCUAACCCGUCAAACCCACAACUUAAGUCAUGAUACUUAGAAAGAAAAGCAAAGAAAAUCACGAAACUCAUUUCUCAAUAAACCCAAUGUUGAAAGAUGAAACUGAAAAAAUAAUCAUUGUAAACAAAAUCUUAAAAAAAGACCAAUAUCAACCCAAGUUAGGAUCAGCCCAUCAAAAAAAUCAUGAAGUCCAAUUCUUAACAAACUCAAUAUUGAAUAAUGAAAUUUAAAAAAAUAAUUUUAAAGAAGGACCUAAAGAAAAAAAAAAUUAAAAAAUGAAAACCAAAUUUAAAACAAAAAUAGAAUGAUAAGACAAAAAAAAAUUGGUAAAGCUGUGCAAAUUUCGAUGAGAGAAAAGAGAGAGGAGAAGGCCAGUAAAAAGAAAAAAGACCUCCACGCGCCACCAAUUGUCACAUGUGCCACAUCACCAAGAAGAUCUUGCUACGACGCUUACAAUGCAAGUGCGGAUGGCGGUGUUAUGCCAUUGGAUAAAGGCUCAUGCGCUGCCAAAACACGAUAGCUAACCUCAACACGUGACAACUAUUUUGCACUGCCAGUUUAACCUAGCCCACCAUAUUGUUUUUACUUUAAAUUUUGGUUUCAUAAAACUUAAUUGUUUUACAUGAACAUAAUUUUAGUUUAUUGUCAAACCAAGCAUCAAUCGAGCGCUAUAAUUUUCCCUCAACAUUGCAAGAAACUCAUAUAUGGGCAACCAUAACAAGCUACCAAGUCAAAUAAAAAAAAAAAUAUGAAAUUAUUAAAUUAGAAAAUUAGUCCCUUAAUGCUAGCAUAUAAAAGGGAUUGAACAAUUGUUUAAUCUUUAAUUUCAGUCACUAAAUCUCUAAUUCUUGUAAAUCAAUGAAAUUAAAUUUGUUUGUGCUAAACGAAGCAUCAACCAUGCGAUAAAAUAUUCCCCUGACAUUGCAAGGUCCCCAUACAUGGGCAUAAAAAUAAACCACAAAGAUUAAUUUCAAGUCAUCACAAUAUUAAAAAAUCAAAUUAAAGGAACAAAAAAAAAAACUUAAGGACCCAAAAAAAAAAACUGAAGGAUCAAAAAUAAAUUACUUCCAUUGUGUGAAUCUACUAUGAAAGUUCUCCCAUGCCACAAUAAAAGAUUAUAAAAGAAUGAUGUCUUUUAGUUUUUUUUUAUUAUUAUUAACAUAGAAACUUUUAUAGUAACAAAUAUAUUUUUGCAGUCACCAAACCAGGCCUGAGCUAAUAUAGGGUCUGGGAUAGUUUAGACUAAUUAUCAAAAUAGGCCUAGUUCACGAUGGAUUGGCGAGCCCAAGGCCUGCCCUAGCAACAGCAGUCGAAGUUUCUUCCAUCAAGUGGGUCUCUUUUCUGCAAAUUGUCCCACAACUUGUUUUUUAUUCCAAUAUAUUUGUUCAUUUAUUUUGUUGUAGAUAAGGACAGAAUCUGGGUUAAUUAGCUUUGCACAUCCCUGUACUCUUAAAGUUUUCUUAAUAUGGUCCUUUAUCAAUUAAUUUUUUUAAUCCAAACCUCCUACUUGAACAACAUAGCACUCUUUAAUGGGAAAACAUAUUAAUGAAAGGACUAUAUUAAGAAAAUUUCAAAAGUGAAGAAAUAUCAAAGUUAAUUAACCAAAAGAACCAAUCCAAAACGAUUCUAGGUUAAGACUGGUAAGAGGGAUUAAUUAGGUUUAAUAUGAUUCUCCAAUUUAAGCUAUAUUACUUAACUAGGCCCUUUUAUCUAGUUUUUAAAGUUAAAUACCAGUGAAAUUAUGAAAAACCUCAUACAAAAAUUGAGCUUUUUAAGGGCUAUGAUCCUGGGUCAAGAUUGUGUUUGGACUUGAUUAUUUCUAAGAAAAUAAGUUCUUCAUGGAACAAGAAACUCUUCGAUAUGUAAGUCAAUAAACACAUGAAAAAAAUAUAAAAAUAAAUUAUUGAAGAGUGAAAUGUUAAGUUUGAGAAAAUAAUCUAUAUUUGUUUAUUUGAUGACCCAAAAUAUUUAUAGAUCUUGAUCACGUCAGCUUAUCUUGGUCAAUUGCAUAACAAUUAUUCAAUGAAAAAACUAGCGUGUAGUUACAGAUAAUUUGUCAGUGAAUAAGGUUGUGUUCUGACUCCUCAAAACUUAAAAAGAUAUUCAAAUAUGUGCGUAUUAAGUAGUUUGUGUGGUAAAAUUAGUGUGUGGAGUUGUAGUUAUUUGGGUCACGACUCAAACCUGUUUAGGCCUCCGAACAGCAACAAGGGUGAUGGGCUGUAUCCAUUUGGCUGCAACUUGAAUAUCUGAGUAUCAUGAGUGUUGCCUUUUAAUUUUAUUUUAUUUAUAAAAAAGUUUAUUCAUUAUCAAAAUACUAAUAUGGUUUGAUAAGUGGUGUAAUUAUUCAUUUUCUCGAGGAUUAAGUUAUUAAUAGCCUCUUUAUUAAAAAAAUGAAAAUUUAUUAACGACCUCUCGUCUUAAUUACGUAGAUUGCAUUAAAAAAAUCACCCUCAAUAGUAAAUUAAUAAAUAAAGGAAGAAAAUCAAACCACUCCGUAUCGCCACCAUUGUAAACACUUCUUGGCAAGCAAACUCAAUUUGAUGGCAAAAUGAAAUAUCCAAAUUAUAUUUAAUGACAAUUUCUUCCUCACUCUCGAUUUGGGAUUAGAAUUUCCGUAAGUUUAUCUCUGCUUUCUUCUUUAUAAACCUCCUUUUCUCCCUCGAAGUAAAUAUUCAAAAUACUUAAUUUUGGAUGGUUAGAAUGAUGGAUGUGGUAAUGAUCUUGAGUCUGUGUUGAGUUUUUGGAUAGGUGGUGUUGGUUUUUUUUUUUAAUUUUUUCUAGGUAUUUUAUGCUUUACAUUUGUGGUAUGUUUGUGAUUUCUAGAUUGUUUAAAUGAAUGGUGGUGCGAUUUUGAUUUUUAAAAUUUGUUUUUAAAGCUUAAAAUGUUAAAUAAAAUUUCAAAAUAUAAUUUAUAUUUGGUUAAAUUUAUAUUUUCUUGCUAAACACAUGGACAAGUCUUGACUGAUUUAGAGAAUUCACAGAUUAGUCUAGAUUUAGUCCAUUUCUGGGUAAUUUUAAAAGUAAAUUUUCACAUGCAUUUAAUGUAAAUCUCGUGCGUGCAUGGAUGCUAAUCUUAAUUAAAAUUAAACCUAGAAAGUUAAAAAUUAGAGCAAACCUCUUGAUUGCUGAGCCAAGAUAUAAACCUAUUUACUCAUUGUUAUAGAUCAAUCCAGGGUGAAAAGUUCUUGUUUAUUCUUAUUUUAAUUGUUGGAUUACAAUACAUGUUACAGAAAUAAUAGGAUGGAGCUGUUAUUAUGAUUUUCUUUAUUUGAAUAUGUUUAUAUUUUUCAAAGCAGCAAUAGUGAGAUGUAUAUGUACUUAAUUCAAUUAUUUUUUUGGUUUUUAAAAUUAAGUGUGUGUUUGGUAUUGUGAUAUAUAUACAUGAUGUUUUUUUAAAAGUAUUUUUUUAAUUAAAAAUGUGUUAAAAUAUUUUUUUUUAAUAUGUACACAUCAAAAUCAUCUAAAAAUAUUAAUUUAAUGUGUUUUCAUGUGAAAAAUAAUUUAAAAACAUUUUAAAAAGCAAGUUGUAAUGCUAACUAAGAAGAAAUUAUAAAACAUGGUUAAUAUGUAUUUUAGUGAGAGAAACUACGAUGUCAUUUGGUAAUGCGGCCCAAACGACGUUUUACAAAAAAUUAAUUGUUUUUUGCUUAAAAUUAAUAUUUUUGGAUUGUUUUGAUUUGCUGAUAUUAAAAAUAAUUUUUAAAAAAAUAAAAAAAUAUUAUUUUAAUACAUUUUCAAACAAAAAACACUUUGACAAUAAAUUACUAUCACACUCUUAAAAAUCUCAUUAAAAGCAUCUCUAAUAGGAGAUACUAUUUAGAUGAGCUAAAGUGGUAAUAUGGUUUUUUAAUGGUAUAAAUACAUCUUCUUUUGCUUAUGUGCACUAUAAUGGUAAAAAAUCAUUUAGAAGAGCUAAAUGUAUUUUAAUAUAUUUGAUAUAUAAUUAUUUUAAUAAUAUGAUAUGACUCGAUUGACUUGACAUGUCUAAAAACAACCCGGAUGAUUCUGAAUCAACUCAAUAUUAAAAAAUAAAAUUUUAAAAAAAUAAAAAAAUAACCCGAGUCAACCCGAGCGAGCUCAUCAAACCCAUGAUACAGGACAUGAGAUCAGUAUAAUCUCAUAAACAGUAAAUGAAAAAACAUAAAUUUAAAAAAAUCAAAGGAAAAUAAACUAAUGAAGAAAAACAUUAUUUUAGCAUUUUUACAAAAGAUGUAGAAAUAACAUUUUUAUAAAAAAAAAUAAAAAAAAUAUUUAAUUUAAUAAAUUUUUAAAGUAUACAAAACAAGUAUUGAAAGGCCGAAACAAUUUUUUUUUCCUUUAGCAUCUCCAUUAAAGAUGCUCUAAAGUAGCGGACGCUCACAUCAGGCCAUGCACGCAGGACAGGACCCUCUGGAUCACGUAACGGAACUCAAGUAGGAGGACCGGAUUAAAAAACGUAAUUGACGAGGACUGAAUUAAUAACAGUAUGAAAAUAGAGGAACAUCCGAGCUAAUUAACCCUUGAGAGAGCCGAACAGAACUUAUUCCAUCGAAAGGGUCGGGUGGGAGAAUAUAUUUGGCACCCUGACGGAAAUCCUACGAGUGGCAAAGAAGCACUCGCAAACCGAACAAAGCAUCGAAUAAGAAAGGAACCGAAGGGGAAGUGAAAUGGUAUAAAACGGACAGUUGGUUGCACCUCGAUUUCUCAGUCGUGUGAAAAAGCUCAUUCAAGUCGAGGCUGAUUUAUUGAGCAGAGGUGAAGAGUGGUUGUGUAGUUAUCAACAAUUAAUCAAUCUAACAGGUAUGGUAUGCUGCCUUGUUUACCUCCUUUCAUUUUCAUAGAUUCCUUAAAGAUUGUCUCUUAGUAUUCUAGUUUUCCGUGUUUUGUGUGUGUGUGUGUGUGUGUUAUCGGGAAAAUCCUAUGUUGCUUCCUAGGCAGAUUGUUAUGUUCUCUUUCUGGGUUUGUUGACAUCCAAGUGAUGUUGAGUACCAACCAAUUUGAUUUAAUGGACUGCUUUUGAGUAAUUUGAAUCUGUUAUUGGGCAUUUCUGGUUAUUAAUGAACUGGGUUUUGCUUCAAUUUCAGGGUUAGUAUCGACGUGAAGAGAAUCUAAUAUAAAUCUAUUUGUGUAUAAUAAUUGUUAAAAAUGUCGAUUGCAAAGCCUUUGAAGAAGGCAGUAGCUGCUGUCAUUCUUGAUUUGGAUGGUACCCUUAUUCAUACAGGCCAGUUUCAGCAAUUGGAUUCAUUUUCAGCUUUUACUUUCAUCAACAUUUCACUAUCAUAUUUGUGAUAAAUAUAUAUAAACACACAAGUUUUUCUUUUCAAUUUCAUGGCACAGAUGGCAUAUUGGGCGAUGUUUUAAAAGCUUUAUUGCUCAAGUACGGAAAACAAUGGGAUGGGAGAGAAGCUCAAAAAAUAGUGGGGAAGACACCUUUGGAAGAAGCUGCUAUAGUGGUGGGAGAUUAUGAGCUUCCUUGUUCAAUUGAUGAAUUUGUGACUCAAAUCACCCCAUUGCUCUACGAUCAGUAAUUAAUCUCUACACUUCUAUCUAGUAUUAUUUAAUGUGGAUAUCAGAUCUUUUGUCAUCAAGAUCUCAAAAAUAUUAUCUAGGGGGCAUUUGGUAUGCAGAUUCUUAGAUGACUUCCUAUAACGUGAUUGUUGGAAAUAUAAAAGAUGGGUGUACAUGAAACACAUAUUUGACUUGUGUGUUGACCAAAUAGAUGUGUAAAGCUAGGAUAAACACACUGUUAGAUUCCCAUUUUGUUGCCUCUUUUAUUUUAUUUAUUAUUUUCUUUUCCUAAAACUUGUAAUGUCAGGACUUUAUUAUGGCUUACUAUGAUCAGUGGAAAAUUUUGAUUUCUGACUGUUUGGGACUCGUUUUGGCAUUUGUCUCUCAUUAUAUUACAUGGUGACUGUUGUAUGGGUGCUCUAUCUCAUAUAUUGGAAGUAAUUGAAACGUGUCUUUUAUUAAUUUGAAGGUUUUGCAACAUUAAAGCUCUUCCUGGUGCCAAUCGGUUGAUUAAGCAUUUGAGUGGUCAUAAUGUGCCUCUGGCAUUGGCUUCAAACUCUCCAAGGGCAUAUAUAGAAUCCAAAAUUUCUUAUCAACAGGGUAGGUUAUUGUGGGAAAUUUAAUGAAACCGAUGAGUUUUGUUUCCUGUUUUAUCUUUUGAAAAUUAGCAAGUCUGGCAUAGCAAAGAGUCAAACUUGACAGACAUUUGUACUACUUGCUUGGUUUCUCACAUUUCAUGCUUAUAGGAUGGAAGGAAUCCUUUUCUGUCAUCAUCGCUGGUGAUGAAGUGAGAGCAGGAAAGCCAUCUCCUGAAAUGUAAGAUAAAUUAGUUCACAAUUUUUUGGAUCAUAUAUCUUGUUUAACUAAAAAAAUCGUGUAUGUUCUUUGAUUCUGAAUCUACUAGCUUGCCUUUCUAGAUUUUUGGAAGCUGCUAAAAGGCUAAAUAUUGAACCAUCCCGCUGCCUUGUCAUUGAGGAUUCUUUGUGAGUGAGUUUAAUUCACAAGUUAUUAUUGUAGCGAGCCUUUUGAUUUGUCCAACUUUCCUUGCAAAGGCUAUUUGAGGAAUAUGAUUUUUCUUUAAAUAGUGCAGUCCUAAAUAUUGGUUGGUGCAAAACAUUGUAUUACUGUCAAACAGUCUAAUUCUGUCUGAAUGUUUUAGUUGGCAUAAGAUUUGAUAAAGAAUUGGCAUAUCUUUAGGACCUGACCCCUGUUGCAACUGUUUUUAGUUUUCCAUUAGGCUGGUGUUAUUCCUACCCCAUACUUUAUUGAAAUGACAAGUAACCUUCUAUUAUAUGUUUUUGUAAUUAUAAAUAAGUUAGAGCAUCAGAAUAGCCCCUCUUUACUAAAUAUUUAUAGCAUAAUUAUAUACUUGACAAAAGAAAAAGAAAAAAAAGAAGUAAUAAUAGAUGAAUGCAAAAUAUUUAGAGAUUUAUUCUAUCGAAAGAUUAGUGAGCUUUUUUUUUUCCCGAAAAAGAAGUAAGAACAGAUGAUGCCAAAAUAUUUAGAGAUUUAUUCUAUUGAAAGAUUAGCGAACUCUAUUUCUAGAUUAUUUGCAUCAUGAUUUUUUUUACCCAACUGAUUGGUAAAAUGACGGAGUAUCCAUAAUGAAUUUGUAUUCCUAAACAUUUAUGCCUAGACUAAGAAGUAAACAAAGUUGCUCCAUGCUACAACACACACACACACACACACACACACACUCUAAUAUGAUCAUGGGUACUAGCUGCUAGUAUUUUAGUAUAACGCAAGGAAAUUUUGGUAUGUAAAACUUUAUAAUAUAGUAUUAUAAUUAAGGAAACAUAUUAAAGAAGGUUAUAUUAGUCAUGGGUAGAAAAAAGGUGGAGUGUGAAUAACAGUGGAUGGAGUGAGAAUAACACCCCUGUCAGCUGAUGUUCCCUGCCUAUGCAUUCUACUUUUUUCUGACCCAAACAACAAUUAGAAUGUUGUUCAUUCUGUUACGGAGUUCUAUUUACUGAUCCUGAAAAUUUUUUGUGUAUGUUAGGCCAGGUGUUACUGGUGGUAAGGCUGCUGACAUGGAAGUAGUUGCCGUACCAUCCAUUCCAAAACAAACUCAUCUUUAUAUAGCAGCAGAUGAAGUGAUCAGCUCUCUACUUGAUUUACAACCUGAAUUGUGGGGCCUCCCUCCAUUUGAUGAUUGUAAAUAUCCAAAGACCUGGAUCAAUGUUGCAGUUUUAUUUAACAAGUUUCUUUUCAUCCUAGUUCUCUUGGGAAUUUGAUUUGUGAUUGCAGGGAUAGAUGGUACUUUGCCAUUAGAAAUUUGGCACAUAGGUGGUCCUGUGGUUAAGGGAUUUGGUCGUGGCUCAAAGGUUCUUGGAAUCCCUACCGGUAUGGAAAUUUCUAUGUGUUCUCUUUGUGUGUCACAUCUGAAUUUGUAGUUAUAGAAACACAUUUCAGUUUAGUGGGAAUCUACUUCAUUACUUAUCUGACCUUGAAGUCACACUUUGUUUCAAUGAAAUCGAGCAUAAAGCCGUGUUCUCUAUGCCUGUUUUGCUUGAUGACUCCUAUUUCAUAUCAGCAUCUAACAAGUUUAUUCAUUUAUUUCAGCUAAUUUAUCUACCAAAGGUUACUCAGCACUUCUUUCGGAACAUCCAUCUGGUGUGUACUUUGGUUGGGCUGGAUUAUCAACACGAGGUGUUUACAAGAUGGUCAUGAGUAUUGGUUGGAACCCAUAUUUCAACAACACUGAAAAGACAAUAGUGAGUUUAACACUGAAACAGCUGAUGAUCUAUUCAUAUCUUAAUAUAUUCUCUAAAUAGUUUGUGUUGUAGGAGCCUUGGUUGCUUCAUGAAUUUGAUGGGGAUUUCUAUGGUGAGGAAUUGCGCCUUGUGAUAGUUGGCUAUAUUCGACCAGAGGUAUAAUCAACACUCAUCUGUAUCCUUUUGAAUCCCUUGCUAUAAUCACACUAAUCGGUGUUCUUUUUCCAUCCCUUUUUUCCAUCGAAGUCUUGUCUUCCCUUUUUCACUAAAGUUUGGGUUUGGAAAACUACAGGCCAAUUUUACAACACUUGAGAGCUUGAUAGCAAAGAUUCACGAGGAUAGAAGAAUUGCAGAGAGAGCUCUAGAUAUUCCAUUAUACCUGAAAUACAAGGAUGACCCAUAUUUGAAAGGCUCUUCCCUGUGAUCGUGGCAAGCAUCCAUAAACUUCAUGACCCUUGAAACUUUUCCAGAGCUUAUGUUGCAGACAGCAUUUGCCCAUUAUAGAAGACAGUGGUUUGUGACCAUAUUGUAUUCUCAUUUCAUGAAAUGUUAGGCCCGUUUCAUAAUCACCGUGGGUAUAAAACUGAAACGAUCGCCCCGAAAGCCCCCAAUUAUUGUUACUGAUGAUUUAUGUACCGGAAAAUUGUUGAUAAUAUACUAAAAUUAUAGUUGGGAAGCAUUUAUGCAACCUAAUGUUUGAGCCUUUAAUACCAUGAAUAAAAACCCUUCCUCCACUAGUACUUCCAGAUUCAUCUAAAUUUGAUUGCUCUUUUUUUUUUUCUUUUCUAGUUUUCACAUUUGAAGUGAUUAGUCCUGUUUGUUUUAUAAUAUUGAAGCCCGAGUAUAUUUCCUUUAUGUUCUAUAAUAUUGCUAAUCUAUCCUUAAUGUGUGCCUUAACCACUAAAGUAGUUUUAGUAAUUCAUAGUAUAUAACUGAUUAGGUUAGGUGGCGGAUAACCAUAAACCACCUCCAAAGGGGUUGUUUUUAAGUAUAUGCUGUAGUUAGUGUUGUACCAUUAUUUUGUUAUGGCCAACCACUUAAACCACUUUUUAGGAUUGUCCCCUGCAAAUUAAUGAAGAUAUAUUUUUAGGGUUUUGUUAGUAUCUUUGAUUUGUCCAUUGCUUCAAGGCUGAUAAGCACUAAAUAUAUAUAGUUGGACUCCUUGAACUCUGAAUAAUUCCUACCAAAAUCCACUAGUGAAAGUAGGAUCCUUGUUAAUGACAACAUUUUAUGGCAUUCCAUGCAAUUUGAUAACAUCAUGAAUGAAAACAAAUGCUACAUCUACAUUUGAUGUUGUGUAUGGAUAUAUUGGUGUCAUGAAGUGGUUCUAUUUAGAAAGUUUAUCCACGACUACUAAGAUUAUUGUGUAACAAUUAGACGAAGGUAGUCCCUUGAUAAAAUCCAUAGGAAUGGAAGUCCAAGUCUUUAUAGUAUUGGUAAGGGUUGUAAUAACCUAGAGGUUUUGUGUUUUCUAUCUUAGCUUGUUGACAAAUCUCAUAUUGUUUAAUGUAGCCUUGAAUGACCCGCUACUAUGUUGUUAUAAAGGUAUUGCAUAAUAGUUAUUUUGUUUAUAUAAACCCUACCCUUAUAUAAAAAUAUUUCAUCUUGUUUUUAAAAUUUAAGGGGAUCUAAGGUUUCAUUUUGUAGAAUAUAAAUUGUACCUCAAGAUCAGUAUAAUAGCUAAUUUUAAGGUCAUAUAUCUAGCUAAUUAAGAGUGUUAUAAUAGCCUAGAUUUCUCAAUUCACCUCUCUUUCUUGUUUUCUAGAUAGACAUCCACUAUUAAGUUGUCCCUCAACCCUGUAUUCUAUCACAAAGUCAUAUCCAAUUAACUUAGUAAUCCAUUUCUGUUGGGUUAAGGUUUAUAUUUUUUUAACAGGUAUUUAAAGCUUUGUUGGUAUGUUUUAAUCUUGAAGGAUAUACAAGAGGUCUCCAUUUAUGAACUGCCAUAACUAGGGAUAAUAAUUCCUUCUCAUGAGUGGACAAUGCUAAUUCUUUUCCUUUUAACCCUUUUCUAAGAUAAGCUAAAAGUCUCUUUUUUUUUGUAUUAAAAUUGCUUUUAUCCCUCCUCCUGAAACAUCAUACUCUAUUAUAAAUGAUUUAGUGAAAUCAGGUAAAGCCAAGACUAGUGGGUUGAUCACAAUAAUUUUUAAUGUUUUAAAGGCCUUGCGUAAUCAAUCUUUAUAUCCCAAAUGAAUCCCUAUUUUAUAAGAAAUUUAGUUAAUGGACUUGCAAUUGAUCCAUAUCCCUUGAUGAAUCUUCUAUAGUACCCGGUUAUACCUAGAAACCCGCUUAAAGAUUUUAUGCUAUUAAGCCUGGACCAUCUAAUCAUGGCCUCAAUUUUUUAAGGGUCUAUUUUAACUCCUUCUCCAUACAUAAUGGAACCCAAAUACUUAAUUUCUUUAUAAUCAAAUAUGCACUUAGAAAAUAUAACAUAAAGUCUAUGUUGGGCCAAAAUCCUUAAAACCUAUCUAAGGUGUUCUAAAUGUUCCUUCUCAAUUAUGUUGUUUCUUAAAAUGUUAUGGAAGAAAACCCUAUAAAGACUUCAUUGGAAAAUAUUUAAAUACCUUAUUCAUCAAAUCUUGAAAAGUAAAAAGGGUAUUAGUUAACCUAAAUAGUAUGACCAGGAACUCAUAAUGGCCUUCGUGAGUCCUGAAGGUUGUUUUAGGAACAUCUUUCGACAUCAUUAUGAUUUGAUAAUACCUAACCACAAGUCUAGUUUAUAAAAGUAUUAUGAAUCAUAUAUUUCAUUUAGCAGCCUUUCUACUACAGGAAUUGGGAACUUAUCCAUCAUUAUUUUCUUGUUAAGAGCCAUAUAGUUUACACACAUUCUUCGUAAGCCAUAUGAUCUCCUGAGCAACAACAUUGGAGAGAAAAAAGGACUUUAACUUGGCUAGAUUGUGCCUAACUCCAAUAAUUCUUUUAUAAUUUUUUUAUCUCAUUUUUUUAUAAUAAGGAUACAUACAUACAUACAGAUAUAUAUAGACACACACACACACACGAACAUUGAUAGGUGGUAUCCCUUUCUUAGUCAUAAUAAGAUGAUCAUGGCUCCUGGUUAGUGGCUACCCUUUUGGUUUUUUAAAAAAUAUUUUGAAUUCAUCCAAUACAUAUUGUACCAGUUUUGGCACUGAAGUGUUGAGUUUGACCUCUAUGUUUAAGGUCCAUAUUUACAGCAUUAAUCCAUUUGUAUUUUUCUUCAACUCUCAUAAAAAAAAAUUUAGCCCACGAUCAAUAUUUGGCUUUUGGAUUCUUAAGCCACUUAACAAAACUGUAAACCCAUUGUAUUUAAACCCUAUAGUCAGCUUUGAAAAAUCCCACAAAAUAAGCUAUAAAUCUUUAAGCCAUUAAGCACUUAACACCAUGUUGCAUCCCCUUAGACGAUUUAUUAAGGCAAAAGUUUUGAAUUGGACUCCCUGAACCACAAACUUGAAAUUUGAAAAAUCACCCUCAUUGUUAAUUUUAGUCUCAUUCAUAAUUCUUACCAUAAUCGAUUAGUGCCUUAUUAGAUCUAUUCCCAUCUUCUUAUCUAUUUUAGGGUGAAUGAAAUUACGAGUGCUUCAUGUGUCAAUUUAAGCACUAUAAAAAGUUAUUAAUAAUGGCUUUAACUCAUAUUAUUUAUGAAUUUUCUUUAAAUCUUUCUAGAUUGAAAGUCAAAAGGACCCCCCACCAUAGCAUAUAUGGAUAUCUCUGCUUCUUCAUUAGUCAUCAUAAGUUCCUCCAAAUCAAUCAAGUCCCAAAUUAUCAUCGAUCCACCUUUUUUUCCAUCUUAAUCUAUUUUUUCAAUUAAAAAUAAUUUUGGUUCUGUAUAACUAUGGCUUGAAUUCCAUUUACCAUUACAUUUAAAACAUAAGCCCUUAUCUCUCUUUCUUUUUCAUCCAGGCUGGUGUCAAUUUCUACAUCUGUAAGUUAGAUUUUGGGUCUGCCCUAGGCUAAAUAGACAAAAAGCCUUUUCCUUUGAAGUCCGCUGGUAUUGGAUCUCUAACUCUUGUGAAUUACUACAAUGUUUUCUUCCUACAUUCUAGCCAAUCUAUAAAGCGUUACCAAAUUAUGAGAAUUCAUCAUUCUUACCCAAUCAUGAUCUCUUCCUUUAAUUCUCCUAAGAAACAACUUAAACAAUGUGAAUUGGAUAAGCCUCUAACUUUUUUCGAGAUUAUUUCAAACUGAAUCUUAUAGCUUCCCACUAUUGAGACUUGUUUCAAAUUGAUUAAGGCUUCUAUAGGAUCAUUAUAAGUAGAUUGCUCAAAUUGAAUCUAUAUUGCCUUUACCGAAUAUUCUCAGUUGAUGAUAAUUCUAAUUUCCUUAACCUCUUAAAACAAUGUGAUAACACACCCUUUCAUUUUAAAGGGAUGUUUGGGAGUGUGAUAGUGAUUGCAUUUCAAAAUGUUUUUUCGCUCAGAAAUGCAUUAAAAUAAUAUUUUUUUCAUUUAUUAAAAAUUAUUUUUUACAUUAGCAAAUCAAAAUGAUCGAAAAACAUUAAAAAACUAAUUUUAAGCAAAAAUAAUUUUAAAUUUUUUUAGAAACGCCGUUUGAAACACAAUUUCAAAUUGCCCCUAAAAUUAUUCAUGAAUAUUCUAUGAUAUAGGGGAGUUUUGUGAUAAUUAAAAAAUUAGGUUACCUUGUAUACUUAGCUAAGUGGGUCAUCCUUAUUAAAUCAAUAAAAAUUCAGUUUAUUGCUCUCAGUUGAGUUUAUUGAUCCCCAACCUGUUUUGGUUCCACCCAGUGAUAACCAUUAACCGAUGUUAUUGAGGUAUUAUGGGGAGACUUGUCUAGCCUCUAUCCUUCACAAUUUGAUCAACCUUUAUAGUAAUGUGUCAUAAUUGUUGAACAAGUUCUUAUAAAACCUUUUAUUAUGUUUAUUGGUUAUGUUGUUCUUCCAAUUGUUGUUUUAUGCUAACAAUUGUUUUCAGUAACUGUAACAUCUUGGUUUCAUCAACGCUCGGUUUUAAUACUAAUUUUGUAACAACCAUGUAAAGUUGAAAGGAAUAGGAAUUGAAAUUGAAAAUAUUAACUAAAAUGGAAUGGUUAAAUUUAAUCAAACAUUUUAUUGAAUAAAAAUUAGUAAUUACAAGGGUCAAAUAGAAAAAAAAAAUUGUUUGGGCUAUUUGAGGUAGUCUGACCUUCUAAGAUUGAGAAUUAGCAUUGAGUUAUUCCAUAAGAAGAGUUUUACUUAAUUAAUACUUAAAUAAAAAUAAACUCAAACUCAAAUCUUGAAUGAACCUAAUCUGACAAUUUGAAUUUAAAUGAGAUGACAAUUUGAAUUUAAAUAUAUAGAAGAGCUGUUUGAUCAUUGAAUAAAAAUUAGUAAUUACAAGGGUAAAAUAGAAAUUAACAAUUUACUUCACACAAAUGCAAUAUCUCGAGUAUCAUGCUUGAGAUGGGAUGGGUCGAAUUGCCAAGGCCUGGAGGAACCGUUCAUAUACGUGACUCUGCGUCAGCUAUAGCCUUGUAGGCGAGCUUCAAGAGAUAGCAACUGCCAUGAGAUGGGUGUGCACACUUGGGGACAUAGGCGAAGGCCCCCAUGCGAGCUGGAACAUUUUUCUCUGCGAUAAAAGGACGCCAUCAGUUUGUCUUAUUGGUUCCCUGAAAAUGGGAGUCCUGUCCUUUUUGUUGGCGUAAACAUUUCUGUACAUCAGUAGCGAUUCCUCACUAACUGUAAUGGUUACGACCUCCCAAGUAUGUUAGUCAUUCACACAGAUGCGCCGACAGGAAAAGUGAUCUUAACAAGUAAUUGAAUUUAGGUGUUUCUAAGUUAAAAUCUUUUUUAUUUUUUUGGUAGAUUCAUGAAACCACAGGAGUGACAUUAACAAACUGGAUUGACGAAGGGCUGAAUCAACAAAACUGCAAAGGACAGAGGACAAACAGGGACGAUACGCCAAGCUAUAAAAUGGAAAUUGAUGUCGUAAAACCAUUUUCAUAAUCUAAUCAAACAGUAUCAUUAAUUGUUCUAGUUACCAUGACUGACCAGAGCUGUCAUUCCACAGGCCCUUACAUAUCCUUCAUAAAUGCCCAACAGUGUUUACACAAGCGAAAACUUUACCGGGAUAAAGAAGUACAUCUUUACAUCAACAAUCCAUGAGCCAUAAACAAAAAUGAUCCUUGUUUCAGAUUUAUCUAUGGCUUCGUGGAAGAGGAAUCCUUGUGCGCUGCUGUAUUAAUCUGUUUGGACAGAUAUGCUUCAUAAAUCUCCACGACAAGCCGGGGAUCCUUUUCCACAAGCUCCAUGUACUCCUCUCGCUUGGUAAGUUUAUCCAUGUUGUCAGUGAUCAAUGACAACGCUGCUUCAAGCAUAUGCUUUGCAUUAUGCUGAUGGGCAAAGGCAUAGCUCACGACUGAGUUUUCCCAGUUUAGUUUUGACACCAAAAACUUCUCACAGUAAGCCUUGAGAUGCUUCACCUGAUAUUUUUCGGCCAAUAUUAAAAGAUCAUAGGCCAUCUGCUCAUCAAGGCACGCUUCAGCAGUGUAAAAAUAGUUGACAAAUGUACGAAGUGCAUCAUAUGAUACAUCACUAAUCUUGAUGGUACCACUCCGGCUUUCUUCCAUCUCGUUCUCAAGCAUUGCCUUGAAGACUGGGGAACGGCUCACCUGAUCACAAAAAAAAAAAAAAAAACGUUAAUCAGUAGUAAAAAACUAAACACGUGAACAUUUGGCAUAACACAUCACCAGAUCAUCUUGUCCAGUAUGAAAUGGACAUGCGGGAUACCUCUUGUUUAGACUAAAACAGGAACAACUUGAAGGCAAAAUUGAUAAAUUGUCUCCCAUGGUUCGUCUGUUCAAGUUCUGUCUAGUUUGUCAGAAAACAGGCUACAAUCUUAAUGGGGCCGAACUUAAGGGAUAUCUCCCUCCCAACCUACUACGUCUCCAUCAAGCUAUUUGACAAACACAACCAGGCUUGAAAUGGGAUUUCUAUUCCAGGAAGGUCAUUGAACAAAAGUAUGCAAAUAAUACUAGCCAAGUAUGCAUUUGAAAUGAAAGCGAUUAUCUCACAUAAUUACAAUAAAGAGAAUGACAUAUAUAUCUAGCAAGUGCCAUGAUCAUUGACGAAUCAAGAGAUAGUGGAACUUGAAAGCGAUUAUCUCACAUAAUUACAAUAAAGAGAAUGACAUAUAUAUCUAGCAAGUGCCAUGAUCAUUGACGAAUCAAGAGAUAGUGGAACUUGAAAGCGAUUAUCUCACAUAAUUACAAUAAAGAGAAUGACAUAUAUAUCUAGCAAGUGCCAUGAUCAUUGACGAAUCAAGAGAUAGUGGAACUCACUCAAUCAGGACAGGAUCAAUCAAUAAAUUGCAAGUCAAUUACCAUCUAAUUGAUCAAGAAUAACAAAAUUGGGGAAUUGAGUAUUUACCAAAACGGCCUUAUGAGCAGGGACUGGGACAGAUGGCGCAGUCCCGGUGAGUCCAUCAUCGGAGGAAGCAACCAAAACGACAUCGGUGAAACAAGGGCCAGCAGAGGAGCGGUAAGUGAUGUGGUGAUCGAGAGGAGACCAGAAACGCAAGAAGGCAACUUUAGCUUUGAGAUCAUCGAUCUCUCUUUUAAGCUCUUCUUCGGUCUCGCUUGCUUCCUCAUAACACUCUUUGCAAGUUCCAGCAUCGCAUCUGCCGUAGUACUCCUUACAAGAAAUGCACCUCAUCGUUUCGGAAUCGGAAUCAGUAUCGCUUUCAGUCUCCACCCGGGAGGACGCUGUACAGCGGUGGCCUCUCAUUAUUUUUUGCUGGGUUUUGUGCAGCAAAAGGUGGGAUGCCGUGCGAUGGGGGGUUUUAAUGAAUUGGUGGUGGCUGGAAGCUUUUGAUUGAUGCCUGAUGGGGGCGUGGGUGCGGGUGCUUUCGCUCACAGUGCAGACUGCAGAAAGCGCAUUUUGUUGGGACGAAUAAAAUAAAAAUAAAUGGGUAUUCUUUAUUUUAAUCAUUAUUAUUUUGUUAGCUCCGCUUUCUGUUUUGAUUAGUUUUUUUUUUUUAAAAAAAAAAAUCGCCUGUUGCUUUUUAUAAUUUGUUUAAAAAUAACUUUGCAACCUAAAUUUUGCCGCGCGUAAUACUUUAUACGUUUAUCUAAAAAAAAUUAAUAAAAAAUAUUUCAUUAAUUAUAAGUUUGCUUUUAUUUUCUAUUUAAUCAUUAAAAAUUCUUUAUAUUAAAUAUUACUAGUUUUUCCAUUGAAUAAAAAAAAAUCAUAGCCAUCUUUUUUCGCCGAGUAUCAAACCUAAGUAAUGACCUUCCCUUCCGUUCGAUCCCCUACCGGCAUUUAUCUUUCUCUCCAUCUACUAGCUAUCAACCACUAUCGUCAACGAUAACAACUCUGUCAUAUUUAAUAGCCACAACCCACACAUUCACUAAUUAUAAUAUUGAUCAACUACUCCUAUCAAUAACUAGAUCAGCUUAAUUUGUCGAUGACAACCUCUCCAUAUUAACCUUCUUGUCCUUCUUACAAAGAACUUGUCCUUGUUAUUUUCCAAAAUUAAAAACAUAAGCUCAAAAGUCAUCAAGAACUACAUCUAUCAACAACCAACUUGUCAUUAAGAAAUCUUAACACAAAAACAACAUUGUUUCAUCUCUAACCAAUUCUUUCUUCCUAAACUCCCACUCAUCUACUCUAGAAGUUCAACAAUCAUCAUAACUGGAGCUUCAACAUCAACACCAGUUGGAGCUAUAAUGUCAGCAAUAGCUGGAGCUUCAACAAUGAUGACAAUUGGAGCUUUAGCAACAACGAUGAUAAUUGGAGGUUCAACAACAACAUUAUUUAUUGUAUUAACAACAUCUUUGUUAGUACCGAAUGUCAAAGCCAAAUUUAAAGCCUUCAAUGCCAAAUAAGAAAUGAGAGAGGCAUAUAAAUGAUUGGUUUAGUUGAAAACUAGAGCUUGCAAAGCUGGGGUGAUGGCAACAAAUAUUGUCUUAAAUUUCUCAACAUUGGAGUUGUUCCAUCAAGAGAAGCAAACCUUGGUGGACGGUUUUAGUGGUGUAAAGAUUGGGAAUAGGAUUGAAACUAAUUGUUGUUGAAGAUUUAAGAAUUGAUGUUGCAAUUCAAUUUGAUUAUAAAAGAUUUGCUCAACUCUCAGUUCCAUAGCAUGUGAUAAGGGAUGGCAUAAUUGAUUACUAGGUUUAUCUGUGAAAGUAUUAAGAAUGCUUCCCAUUCAACCUAUGCUUAAGGACCCAAUCAUGUUAGAAAAACACUUUACUAAGAAAUUUCAUGUACAUUUUUCUUUCUACUUUUGCCAUCCUAUUACUUACACCAAAUAGAAAAACACCCAAUAACCUAGAAAUCACCAUGAAUUUGGCCUUCUUCAAACCCAAAAUCUACCCAAAAAUCAUAGUCCUCUUCCUCGUUAAACAGAUCCAAAAUCAACCCUCAAAACAACCUAUAAUCUUUGCCAUCAGCAUAUCUCGAAGCAGACACCUAAUGAAUAUUGCAAACAACCCACCUUCCUCAUCUUAUCCACCAUUUUUUCAAUAGACACCUAAUGAAUAUUGCAAAUAACCCACCAUCCCCAUCUCAUCCACCAAUUUUUUAACAUCAUCAGUUUUACUUCUUUAAGGCCACGAGGUGUCGUGGAUUGUUGUUGAUGAUGAUGAUUCAAUUUUGUAUUGGAGAAAUCUUCAAUUUGAGGGUUUUUCUCUCUCUUCAUAAAAGAAAAUAAAUCCAUGUCCCAACCUCAAAAUUCUAUGCAAUAAUGUCAAGAAAUCUUCAUAACCCGUUUAACAAAAUGAAAACAAAAAAAGAGGAUUUCUUUUUCAAAAAAUUUAGUUUUUGACAUAAAAUUUAGUUUUUCUAGUUUGCAAAGAUUAAAUAUUGACCUAAUAAUUUCUCAUCCUCAAAUUUUUUUUUGUUUGAUUUGGUGAUUUAUGUUUAGAAAGAGAGAAAAUAGUGUGGGGAAAAGAGAGAACAUGUCACUUGAAGAGAGAAGGUCUUUUGACCAAACUGCUAAGGGUAAUUUUUUCUUAAUUAUAUGAUAAAAAAAAUAAAUACUCGUAAAAUCAAGCAUCAAUCCUAAAAUAGAUGUUUAUUUGAUACCAUUAUAAUCCUAUAGAAAGAAAGAAAAAACUAAAUCAUGAACUAUAUUUCCCAACCAAUUCAAUAUUGAAAGAUAAAAUAAAAAAAUCAAAUAAAAAUUAUUAAAAGUCCAAAAAAAAAAAAACAUAUCGGGUUUGGUGGGUAAACCUACUAAACUCAUGAAUCAGGUAACUCAAAUCAACAUAUCAAACUCGUAAACCAAGUCAUGACUCCUUUAAGAUUAAUAACUUGUUUUUUUAAAUUAUUUGUUAUUUAAAUAUAUGAUAACAAAAUAAACAACCACAAAAUUAUGCACUAACCUAAUAGAGGGACUUUUUUGAAAUAGUUAUAACCUCAUAAAAAGCGAAACAAAAUAAAUUAUGAAACUCAAAUCUCAAUUAACCUAAUAUAAAAGGAUAAAAUAAAAAAAAGUUAAAUCCAUUGAAUUUGUAAAUUAGGUCAACUUGCCAAACCUGUGAGCAGGUCCAUGAACCUUAUAAAUUUUAAUUACAUGGUUUUUCUCCGACACUAUUUUUUUUAACUAUAUGAUAAAAAAAAUAGACGAUCAUAAAAUCAAUUUCAAUUAAAAAAAAGGUAUUCCACCACUGGAGCAACUUAGAUUACCCUACCAAACCCGCAAAUUAGGCCAUUAACUCCAUAAAAUUUAACAACUAAAUAUUAAAAGAUAUAAAUGAUCAUAAAAUCAAUCAUCAAAACAACAUUGGGACAUCUGUUUGACACCACAAUAACUAGAUAGAAAGACAAAACAAAAAGAAACAAAUUAUAGAAUUUAAUUCCUAACCAACGUAAUGCUGAAUGAUGAAAUAAAAAAACUCUGAAAAAAAAUCAAUUAAAAAAAUCCUAGGACAUAAUCACCUCUAGGCCUCGUGUUUUUAUAUUCUUCAAUUCUAGUCCUUUGACUCUUAAUUUUUAGAAAAAUAAAGAAUCCAAAUAAUAUCUCGCAAAAUAAAGUAUCAAUCCAAUGUCGAGAUAUUUUUUAAUAACGUGAUAACCAUAUAAAAAAGAUUAAAAUAAAUUAUCAACUCUAAAUCUCAAUAAACACGUAAUGUAAGGACUAAAUUAAAAAAAUCAAUAAAAAAAUAAAAAAAACCAAAAUGUAAAAGAUAAAUUUACAAAGUUAAUGGGUUCUGAUGAACAACUUUUUCCUCGCACUCUUUUAGUUUUUGUUGUAAUUUUGUAUCAAAACAAAAGGAGGAUUAAAAUUUUAUAGGAAAUUACAAUAAGAUUUUAAUGAGCAAUUGUGCCCUUCAAUUGUUUAUUCUUGGCUAAGAGUUUAUUUUUACCACAGCCCCGUCUGGCUUCGAUGUAGCGAUGAUCUUCUAGGCCAUACAGGGAGAGAGUCCGGGACUUGUAUUCAUUUACAAGAGGUCCUGCUUUACACUUGCGAUAAUGCUUGAUAUCUGUCAUAAGGUUUCAAGGCUAGAGAAGUUUAUAUAAACGAUGAGAGCUAAUAUUGUUGUCAUAGUUUUUAAACCCGAUCCGGUUCAAGGUUCGGGUUCCGGGUUUUGACCGGGUCACCGGAUUACCCGGGUCAAUCGCUAUUUCAAAACAAAAUCAAAACGACGUCGUUUUAGUAAAAAAAAAAGAAAUCAACGGGUUGCAACCGAGUUUUGCCGGGUUGCCGGGUCACACCGGGUCAUGACUUUUCCUAUUUUUUCUUCAACCCGGCCCGGCUCCAGCCCCGGGUCGGGCGGGUCCUGAAUCGACCUGCCGAACCGGGCCGGGUUUCAAAACUAUGAUUGUUGGAAUAUCUCUAUUAAGGUAUGACCUUAUUAUUGCUUUUAUUAUUCGUUAAUUAAAUUUAUUUGGCUGCUCAGAUGUUUUGCCUAUACAUGUAAAAAGUGAAUGUGGCAAAUCUUUGUCCUCUAAAAAGAAUGCAAACUUGUAAAAUAAUUAUAAACAUAGCUGUUAUGCGAGAAUGUUUUUGAACAUAACAUUGCAAACUUGUUUUCUCGUAGCAAUGAAAUUUAAUUAUGAACUGAAAAUUUAAUGCAUAUAUUUAAUCUAAUAUAUUAAGGAUUAUAUGCAUUAGCAAAUAGUUAAAAUAAUCUUAAUGCUAAUUAAAGACUAUUUCGUGAAGUUGAGAAAUAGAUGUAAGUUAAGAUAUUCGAUUUUGUGGUGUAGGAAGUCCUUUAGUUUUUUAUAUUUAAUUAUAUGUAAAAAUAAUAAUAAUCUAAAUUCCAUUGAAACAAAUUGAUUUGCUGGUAUAAAUCUUUCCUUUUCUUAUUAAUAUCUUUAAUUCUAACAAAAAAAAAAACUCUAACAUUUUGUUCUAUGUAAUUUAUUUAAUAAAAAUAAAAAACAUUAAGAAGACAUACUAAAAAAAAGACAAUUUAAAAUUAUAUAUAUAAACCCCCUUGUCUCAUUAACAUGUAAUUUUUUUUAAUAUAUAUAUAUAUAAAAGACAAUGUUAUGUGCAUUGUCAUGGGAAAUUUUUUGGCAAAGUCAUUAACCCAACUCAGGGGAUUAACUCUAAAACUUCUCGAUCUGACCUUUUGCCUAGCGUGAGUUUCAAAUUAAAUUAUGUAAAACUUAACUUGAUAUGACUUGAUUUACUUGGUAAGUCUAAAAAUAAUCUGAAUAACCGAUAAAAACCUGAUUUGUUUUAAGAAAAAUCAAGAUAAUAUUUUUUUAAAAUAUUGAGAAGACAACAUCUUGAAUCAAUUUAGAUUAAUUCCAGUUAACCUGUCAAACCUAUGAUACGAGUCACGAGUCAUGAACCUGACUUAGUUUAAUAACUUCAUGUUUUUGAAAUAAUUUUUAUAUAAUUUAUUUGAUAUUAAAAAUAAACACUUGUAGAAAAGCAGCCAAAUAAAAUUCUUUUAAAAAUACAAUCAUGAUAGGUUAUACAGAAAGAAUAUUUGCUAAUAUUAUAAGAAUAUUGUUAUAAUUUUAUUUUAAAACAAAGUAAAAAUUAAAUGAUAUUUAAUAAAAUAAUAUCUAAAACAUAUUCUUAAGUAAUUUAAAAAUGAAAUAAAAUAAUAUAUCUAAUAUAUUUUAAAUUAAUUAAUUUCAAAUAAAUUAAAAUUAAAUAGAAGAAAAAACAAAAAAAACAAAACUAAAAACAAGCUGGCGGUAUUUUCUUUUUAAAAAAAUAUAGUUGACAACAAGUCUCCUACAUGUCCAAUAUUUGAUCAUGGUAGAGGUGACCAACAAAUUAGUUUGGGGAUUUUCAGACCCUAAAAAUUAAAAUUUGAUAUAUUUUCACCUAAAAAUACUAUUAAAACCUUAAUAAACUAAUUAAUCAACUAAAAAAACCCCUAGGCUAAAAACACACACAAAAAAAAGGAAAAUAACUCUUUUAAUUUUGAUGUAUUUUUUCUAGCAAUAUAAAAGUUAAAAAACAAUGACAUUCUUCUCAUUAAGAGAAACAUAUUAAUAUCAAAUUUGAAUUUUUUUAUUAACAAAAUCUUCUUAACUGACCACUUUCUCUUUUUUCUGUUAUUUUUCAACAACUCUCUCUCUCAAAUCUAAAAACUAAAAAAUGAACAAAAUAAAAUUUUUGACUAAGACGUAUAAUUAUCAAAUUAAAAGGGACCAAAAUAAAGGCAAUUGUUUUUUCAAAAAGGCAUUUUAUUGAUUAAUGCUGAAAAAAAGGGUUCAAUUUUUUUUAUUGUUAAUCUUGGUCGCUUCAUUUUAAAUAAUAAAAUUAAGAGGAACUAAAAUAGCUUUGUACCAUGAUUAAAUGUUUGAAAUAUUGAAGGACCGAAAAGUUAUAACUCAAAAAGUAAGAGGAUCAAAAUAAACUCUUUGCUCAAUUUUUUUAAACUACCACCCUUUUUUUCUUUGUUUUACACUUUGGUUCUCUUUUUUAAUUUUAUCCCUCUUUAGCAAUUCUUGAUAAAUUAGUCAUAUAGAUAUAAAAGGAUGUAAUUAAAAAAAAAUAAAGUUUAAGAACUAAAUUGUAAGAAAAAAACUAAUCUGAAAACACCAUAUCUUCCAGUAUUCCCUGUAAUACAAUGUUUCAAUAAAAAACAAAUUGAUGGAAACAUAAACUGAAUUGGAGCCAUUAAAGGAAAGCAUCGUGGAGGCGUGGACAUCCACUUGAAUCAAGGACGGACCUUAGAUUCUUCCUUCAGGAGGAGGAGGAUGAUUUGACAGUUUAACAAGAUGGCGUCACCCACUCACUAGCCAAGCCCAUCCCUGAUGAAUACCUACACGUGUCCGUCCUUAAAACCUCCUGGGUUCUCCACUACCAGAUCCGGCUUCAUUCCUCUAAUCACUUUCACAGAGAGAGAGGGGGGGGAUAUGGGGGGAUGAAAGGUAAAAAAUAAAAACAUUUAUGUAAAAUCACUGAGGGUGAAUUAGUUAGUUAUAAUUAAAAAAUAAAUUUAUUAAUAUUAAAUAUAUUAAAAUUUAAUUAACUUUUUAAAAGAUUAUUAAAAUGCAUAUAAAAAUAUUAUAAUAUUAUUUUAGCUUUUCUAAAUAAUAUUUUCCAUGUUAUUAUAAGGACCCGGAAUUCUAAAAAAAUUUAAAUUUUAAAACUAAAUUACAGCAGAACACUGCAAAGUACAAACAAAGGAUAAGACCUGCUACUUGCAGAGCCAAACUCUCUCUCUUGCUCGCUCUGUCUCUAAACAAAACAAAGAAACAAGCCCAACUCUUCUUCUUCUUCUUCUUGGUCUCAGAUAAUUAGGGUUUCAGUUUUCCAGGCCUAAAAACUCCUCUACUCGGUCGGGUACGCUUCUUUACGCUCUCUCCUUCUAUUUUGAUUUUCUCUUCAUUUUGUUUGUGUUAACUCUUUGGUAACUGAGCAAUGUGAAAGGAAAUUUAAAGAAAACAAACCUCAACUUCAACUCUUGAAUCUUCAAUUUUUUUUUAAAUUUUUUUUUGGGGGGAGGGGGUUAUUCAUGUCAAAUUUACUCUGAUUGAAGAAUUUACCAUUACUUCACUUAAUUUAGCCUGGGUAACCUAAAGCAAAGUUUUUUUUCUUUCUUUUUUGUGUUUUCCUGGCUACCUGAAACAAGCUUAGGUUUAUUUUUAACACUCGGAUUUGUUUUUUUUGUUAAUUUAUGCUGCUUUCUUUAAUUUCUUGUAUUAUGUAUUCAGCAGUUAUGCUCAAUUUUAUGUUCUUUCCAUUGUGGGUGUCACAGUGAAACCCUAAUUUGGCGGUGAAAAGCUUGAAAUUAGGUUUUUUUUUUUUUAAAAAAAAAAACUUGUAAAGGAUGGUUGGUGGAGAGGGAACAAGCAAUGGCGAGGGUGCAAAAGAAAGGGUUCAGCACUUAAAUAUGGAAGCAAUGGACAAUGGGUUUGGAAAUGAUGGUGGUGAUGCAAGCUCUGGGGGCAGUGAGGGUUUUCGGACUUACAAGAGACGAAGGAACAUGAGGUCAAGUUCGGAUAGUAAAGGUCAAGAGGAUGGGAAAUGUUUUAUGGAAGCUGCUAGUAGAUUGUCAGACCAGGUAGCUCACAAACCUAGGCCAUCCAUGCCAAUUUUUGCUUAUGCAAUCUCGUUAUGUAUUGCCUUGUUGCAAGUUACUCCUAUCAUGUAUGAUUCUAUAGAGAAGAUGCAUUUUAAUGUUUGUUCUGUAUCUUUUAUCCUAGUUCUUUGAUCUAGCUAAUAUGUGGUUUCUUGCAGACCAUAAAGGAUGAUGAUUCACGAGGCCAUCUUUGUGGGAAUCAUGCUUCUAUGAAUCGUUUAAAUGAUGUUUCACAGAGGCAGUGGAGAAAGUUUGUCCUUGACCACAUGUAUCAAUCAUUAAGUAAUGAUGAAAAUGGCAUCCAGGGGUGCUUGAGGGGUGCGCUUAUGAUGGCAGUUAAGAUUUAUGAAGCUAUUAAAUUGGAUGUGCUAAAUGCAUAGUAUUGUCAUUCGUGUUUCUUAACAUAAAUUGGAUGUGCUAAAUUUUGUCUUUCUUCAGGAGUCUGGUUACUGUAAUGCAGAUAAGUCACCUUUGAUGGGGCAGAUGGCUAAUGGAACUCACAGUACAGCUAAAGGGCAUGCAGGGGUCUUGUCAAAUGGAGCUUUGGAUGAAUCACGACAUCACAGUGUCCCUGAGUUGUGCCAGCAUGCUUUCCUUAGUAUUUUACUGUCAGAAAAGUUCACCUCUCUCUGUAAGCUACUGUUUGAAAACUUCCAAGGAAUGAAGACUGGCAGCAUUCUUAGCCUGAGUUUCAUAGACAGAAGGAUGAAAGACGGAGCUUAUGAUCAUUCGCCUAUGCUUUUCUGUGAAGAUAUUGAGCAGGUAAUUUAUUACAAUCCUUCCUACGUAGUUUGAUGUUACUAUUUUGUCUAGUGUGUUACAAUGCUCUUGCUGAAAUCAUUGUUGAGUAAGCUUUAUGACUGGAUGUCUGGUUCUUCUAGGCACUACGUUGCUUAUGUGCCACCUAUGUGAUUUCAAAAGCUAAGUGACAUCAUGUGUUUUGUAUGAAAGUUGAAGAUGAAUACAAUGUUAUGCACCAACAAAAGUAAUUAUUUGUUUGAUAUUUUGUGGUCUGUUAUGUAGAGUAGUAUCUUUAAAAUCUCAUUUUCUCACCACAAUGUUUAUAUGAUCUUAUAUCUUAGAUGCAUCUGUGUAAAUGAAUUCCUGCUGCCCUUGUGCAACCUCUACCCUCUUCUAUUAGUUAACAAACUUUUGAGUGAUUUACUAAAGCACUAGAUCACACACAGUUUGGGGAUCUUUUUGGAGUUGAAAACUAUCAUACCUUUAUCUUUAUUGCUUUAUCUCUUGAUUAGUUAAUUUUUCUCUUCACCCAUUGUUAAUAUGCUACAUGUUGAUGUCAAUCAUUUUUUUUUUGUGAUUUACAUAGUGAUUGUAGUUCGUUCAUCUUAAUUGGUUAUUCAUGCUACUACAUGACAUUCAAUUACUGGUCUCGUUCAUUGUAAUGUUUUAGCAGUCAUUCAGCAUGCAUGAUUUCAUUUCCAUUUCUAGUUAUCAGAAGAAAAUGCAAUUUCUAUUUGUUGUGCCAUUCAUUUAAACCUAAAUAAUCUUUUCAGUUCUGGAGAAAGCUUCAAGGUUUUGGUGCUGAAUUAAUCUCUCUUUCAAAGAGCCUAUCAGACAUAUCAAAGACUUGCUGUAACGAACGGGUAAGACAUCCAAUAUGUAGAUAUUUUUCUGGCAGACUAAGAAUGUGGGUUAUGUGCUAAAUGCAACUUUUGUUUCACAUUUCUAUUUAUUGUUGUUUCUUAAUACACUUUUAUGGUUCCCUUUUAACUUAACUGAAAAUCUUAACUGUGAUUUCCAGGUGGGAGGAUCAGUACGCUGUAUAUUUGAAGAUGAAAAGCAUGGGGUAAUUGUUUCAAAAUCACAGCAGUAUAAUUAGUUUCCUAAUGCUGGCAUUAGAAAUAUGUACCACUUUUAAGAUUGAUUGUCUUUCUGAUUAUAGUUGGUUCUGAUACCUACUUAAACUUUUGUGCUGCAAUACAGUUCUGCAUCAAGGGUUCUGAUUCUCAUGGUCAACCAGAGCAAAAGGAUGCUUGUUGUGUCUACAGAGUCUGCAGUUGUAGGCGUUGUGGGGAAAAGGCAGAUGGGAGAGAUUGUUUAGUUUGUGAUUCAUGUGAGGAAAUGUACCAUGUCUCCUGUAUUGAGCCUGCUGUCAAAGAGAUUCCCCCCAAAAGCUGGUACUGUGACAACUGCGCUGCAAGUGGUAUGGGAUCCAUUCAUGAGAAUUGUGUAGCGUGUGAGAGGCUGAAUUGCCCCAGGACCCAAAUUAAUCAAGCUGGUGAUGAAAUUGGUUUAUCAACUCAAGAACCAUUCAAUGAUUUUGAAGAGGCAUCAAAUUUCAGCACGAAUAAUGAGGUUCAGCUAUCAUCAGAAGGGACUGAAAACAUACGCAUCUGUAAAAUUUGUGGAAGUCCAGUGAGCAAUGGAGAGAAGAUAAAUAUAUGUGAUCACUCUGAAUGCCCUGGCAAGUACUACCAUGUGAGAUGCUUGACAAAUAGGCAGUUAAUAUUGUAUGGCCCUCGUUGGUAUUGCCCUUCUUGUUUAUGCAGAGGUUGCCUCACUGAUAAAGACGAUGAUAAGAUUGUUUUAUGUGAUGGCUGUGAUCAUGCAUACCACCUUUAUUGCAUGAUUCCGCCACGCAUUUCUGUACCUAAAGGGAAAUGGUUUUGCAGGCGAUGUGAUCUGAAAAUACAGAAAUUACGCAGGGUAAGGAGGGCAUAUGAGAAAUCCGAAAGGUAUGUGAAAAAGAAGGGUGAAGGGGUUAAAAAGGAAUGUGAAAACCGCAAGAAACUGUACAAGGAAGGUGGAGAAGAAUCAGAUAAAGGUAGAGAAGGAAUGGACAUGCUUGUAACUGCAGCACUAAAGUGUGAAGUCGGCUGCCAAUCAAUUGAAGAGUUGAAAAGCACAUGACAUUUUCAGGAAAUUACAAGAUAAAAAUUCAUGGUUUUAAUCAUUGAUCAUAUUGAUUUUGUAUGUGUAACUGAUGUCAAGAAUUUUGAUCCCGCCGCCUUCUGGGGAAGAAUAUUUUGUUAGGCUGUAAACUUAGGUUUUGCUGACUUUUGGAUACUCGACUCUUGGCAGGGCAUGAUUCUGAAGGCUAGUACAUUUACUGGUUGGCAAGUGCCAAAUACAGGACAUGGAGUUACAAGGAUCAGGGAAUCAUUAGAUAAGCAUGUUGGAAUCGAUGUUUUUAACAGUAACAUCUUGUUCAUUUUGUUCCGAACACGGUUCAUUAUUUUUUGUAAGGGAAAGCUAAUCUCUGUCAGUAAUGUUGUAAAAUUACAAAACGCAACCGAAUUUCAAACAAUCUGUGCUUUAUAAUGAGAAGAGAACAUUUUCUUUUGUAAUUCAAUUUCUCAACCCCCAACCAGUGUAUGCAUGCGUACUUCUUCUCUGGUGAGCAUUGAUGUUUAUCUCAUCCCCAGGUGAUGUUUCCUUGCCAGGCCUUUUCUUUGCUUCUAGUGGGUAAAAUACCACAUUUAAGAUUAUGGUUCUAUCAUUAAAUAGCAAUGGGUUUUUUAACAAUCGACACGCAGUCCUAGUUGUAGCCAGAAAACGAAGUUUAAGUUAGCGUUCAUUGGUAUAUGAUACAAUUAUUCGACUCCCUGUUCUAUGAGCAGAGUAUGUGUGACUUAAGCCACCAGGAGCUAGAGCAAUUGUAGGGCAAAAAAGAGGAAAUUGCUGAAUUUAAUUUAUGGCAGUGCUGUCUUUUUGAAACUCCAUUACCCAGCUGUUGUAAGCACAACAUAUGACUUCACAGCCUGAAAAACCAGAUUUCUUUGCUAAGGCUUCGAACUCCAUACCACCAGGAUUUCGAGCCAACAUGCACAGAUCUUGUUCAAAGACAACGUGUGAAGAAGCAAUAUUCUCUGGUGCAACAGGAAGAAGCGAUUCCACGAAUAUCACCUUACCAUUACUUGGAAGAGCUUCCCAACAGUUCUUGAGUAGUUUCAGCCUUUCAGGCAAUGCUCAUCGCUCCAAUCAUGAAGUGUCCACUGCAAGGUACAUUGGUAACUCAACAAAUAAAAGAAUCAAACACGAAGAUCUUAUGUAAAAUAGAUAUUUUGUAAACCAAAGUCUACAUCUUGGGGGCUGCUAUGAAUUAUUUCCUAUGAAGUUCAGGGUAGUCAGAUUUCACUAAAUUUCCUUUCACUCACAUCUUGACAAACUUCAAUCUAAGAACACGUAGAUAGGGGUAAAUGGAGAUGAUAACCCAGAGAGGCUUUACCUUCAUGAAAACAGCAUCUCCAUUUGGCACACUAACAAACAUAUCUCCCCCAACAUGCUCCACGCCUACAACAUAACGUCUUACAGGAAGUUAAAGCUGUCCAUUUCAGAAACAGGAAGGCAAGGAGAAAACAGAAGGCAAAAUAGGACCACCUCGUUGUUUGGCCCCAUACUUUAUAGAGCAAAUUGCAUCAAAAUACAACUGGGAUAGAGCCUUACUUGUACAGUGCUAUUAAAACAAAAGAAGGCAAUGGUACCUGGCUACGAAGGUGCAUCUGCUAAUACAUGGGGCAUAUCAUAAUUUAUGCCCUCAAUGUGAGGAUACUUGGAAGUGAUAAUGUUGAGAGUAUCUCCAAUUCCACCUCCAACAUCAACUAACACCUCGAGCCCAUCGAACCCUUCGUAAAUAUCAAGGAUUUUCUUCAUGAUGAAGGGAGUGUGGUUUGGCAUCGCUUGAUUGAAUACCCUAUUGAACCUAUGGUCAGUGCCUGGAUACUGGAAAGUUGUCAUUCCAUAAGCUCUGUUGAAUGGAACGCCCCCUUCAAGUAUAGCAUCAUUAAAGUGGUACCUGACAGACCAUUGAAUCACGUCAAACCUCGCGCAUUCUGAUCUCUCCCUCUCUUAAUACAAGUCUAGUUGUAGCAAAAAAUAGCCAAAUUCUUUGAAUUGAACUCUUCAUUUCUCGUGUCUGAUUGAGGUCACAUUGUACCCAACCGACCCAUAUGAUUAUUUUACCAUUCAGAAUUUUCUUUAUAUCCAUGAAUUUGUUAAAGCAGUAGCCUACUAUUUAAAAGGUCUACCUCAUGACAGGGUACAGAGUGUGAAACUCUUGCUUUGAUGCUACUUUCUUAUCUAUUCAGGAGCUCUCAGUCUUGUCACACUCCACAUAACCGUUCUCUUAGUGCUCAAGCCUGAUGAAUGACGCUGCUUUCACCUUUUUACAAGCUGUGAUGCACUGUGCCUGUCAUCUUGAGCCUCCUUAGAAUCAUCUGGCUGCAGAUGGAGCAUUUGGGGAAAUUGAGCAAAAAAUACAUUAUACAAACACAAAAAUGGAACUAGAAGCUAAGCACGUCAAUAGGAAUACCACCUGUCAUGAUAGUACUAGACUAGGACCUUAAAAUGAAUCACUCUCCCGGCAGCCCAAGUGAAGGAAGUAAAAGAUGGCCACAGAUACUUUUGAUGUUGGAGCAACAUUAUGUUUCUCUUUCUUGGAAGACUGAGAAGACGAAUUUGCCAUACAAUUCAACAAGAUUGUUGAACUCAAUAAAGGGGAUGAAAGGAAAAAUAAGGACUCACUCAAGCUCCAACAUUUAACGUUGAGAUUGUUUUCGACCCAAGCAAAUCGCCAGGAAGAUAUAAGCAAAGUCAAAUUACAGUAAUCUUAAUCUAAGUCCUGAUAUGACUCGCAACAAUCUUUAGAUAGGAAACUUUCUUGUUUUCACCAUUUGAUGACAGGUAGUGUCCCAUGAAUCUAUUUUAUUUGAAAGUUCACAAACAAAAUGAUCCAGAAAGGUCAAGCCACCGAAAUACAAGAAUGUACCUUUAUGGCUAUUGCUCUAAGGAAGUUCUCAGUUGCACUGUCAUGAUAUGACUCACAACAAUCUUUAGAUAGGAAACUUUCUUGUUUUCACCAUUUGAUGACAGGUAGUGUCCCAUGAAUCUAUUUUACUUGAAAGUUCACAAACAAAAUGAUCCAGAAAGGUCAAGCCACCGAAAUACAAGAAUGUACCUUUAUGGCUAUUGCUCUAAGGAAGUUCUCAGUUGCUCUGUCAGGCUCCCCAAAGUUCAACUGUGCUCUGUCAAGGGUGACCCAUGCCUGAGAAGACCACAGGCAAAAUAAACAAGAGAAUAAAUUUAGCAUACUUUGAGUAAAUAGUUUCUUAGACUUCACUAGAAUUGCACUAAGAAUUAUCCUAAGUUAUGCAGUACAUGUAGCUCUUAUGAACUCCAUCUUACCACAUUACAUGUGACUGCAUUUUAACAAACCUCGAUGUAGCAAAGGAUGCCCUAGAUUUAUGAGCGAAAGGAAAACAAAAAUUACUUGUACGGUACAAGAAAAAAAGGCAGAUGGAGGAAACUUUUCUAGGAGAAAGAAAAAGUUCAGAACAGGAGGUGGCAACUGUCAAAAAAUUGAGUCUAAAACAUAAAAAUCCCAUGAAAGCUAAUUCAGGGGAAAUAUACCGGAGCAGUGAAAUAUUCAACCAGCAAAUUCAUCGAAAGAGAUACAAAAGGAAAAUUAAAUGUUUCCAGAGAAUAAUAUAAAUUAUAUUUUAAAAUAUCAACUUACAAUUUAAGUUAUUGGAUAUUGAAUUGGUCCAUUUGACAUGGUAUAAAAGCCUUAAUGACUAAAUAAUUACGAGUUGCUUAAGCUAUUCAUUGAAUUGCUUACUUGACAGAAGCACCAUAAGAGUAUAGCAUCGUCAUAUCUCAGCCCAUGAAGGUUCCAACUCAGUUGCCCCUGUCAAAUAAAGUCCAAAUUAAAUUAAAGCUCUCACCAGUAUAUACACUCAGAAAAUUGUAAUAAACAAUGUCACGAGUUGCUGCCUUCAAUGCCAUUCCAUGCAAUCUCCAAUUCCAAUCAAAACUUGUGCCUUUUGUUCAUGUAAGACUGCAUUUUCAGGCAUCAAAUUAAGAGCAGCCUUCCACUUCCCAAGUGCUACACGGUAUUUUCCAUCAUUCAAAGAGAUAGCUCAUACAUAAAAUGCCACCACCAUCAUGUACUUAAGCAAAACAAAGAAAAGACUCGAGCCUCUUGUACAAUAAGAAACUCUUCUUCAAUUUGCCAAAGCAAUCCACUGAAACAGACACAAGAAAAUACACGCCCAUACAGAAACAGGUGCCAUCAACAGAAAUAAACACGAGGAAAUACAUUAACUUAGCAUUAUCGACAUAAUCUCUGCAAUGGCAAGAGUUGGAAAAAACUUAUAGAUUAACACCAAGUAAAACAGCUAAACCUUACUAUUAUGACCGAGCAAAUCACUGAGACUCCUCACUGCCAUUCCAAGUAGUAAAGUAGGCAAAUAUAUCAAAAAACCACAUAUGCUUCUUACCCAAAGUGUCCAAAAAACCACAAAUUUCAUAUCUUUAGAAACACAAAAGCUGAAACAAUCACAAAAAAAUAAAUAAAUUCAAUAAUAGCAUAAGUUCCGCACAUAUCAUGGUGUUUCAAUAAUGAACCAAAUUUUGCACUUAAAAAAAGAAAAGAAAAAAAGAUUGAGGGACGGAGAUAUCUCAGCUAGCUGGUUGCCUUGGGCUUGAAACGACUCGAGGAACCCACUUGCUUGCCACCGGUGGCGUGUCUUAUUGAUGAAAAGGGAGGUUCGGGUAUUUUUUAUAUGGCUGCCAAAGGCCGCUUCCAGCUACGACCUGCGGUAUUUCACCAUAUAUAAACCCUCAUUUCCUCUUCUUCUUCCUCACAAAACUGCCGCUCUUCUCUUCUUAAAUCUGCAAAAAGCGACGUCUCCUCCCAAACCCUUGCAAAACUUCCAUUCUCAUGCUUCCAUUUCUGGACUGCUCAACUGCUAGAAUUUGUUUUAUAGAAUUUGUUUACCGGUGUAAAACCAUAUUUUGUAAAAUUUAUAGUUAAUACAAGUUAAAAUUAUAAGCAAUAUAACUAAUAAUAAAUAUAUUUUUUACAAAAAAAAAAUAUAUAUAUAAUAAUAUUAGUAUGUAUACUAAUUAUAUUUUUAGAUUAAUUUCUCAUUCACCUAUAAUUUGUUUAAUUAAAACAAAUUUUCAACAAUUCCCCACAUGAAUGGAAAUUAUCUCACCAGUUUAAGAAUGACUCAAAGAUUUGUUGAUAGAUACUAAUUUAGUAGAUUACUACAUCAGGAUAGGUAGCUUUUGACUUUGAACAUUUCUUAGUGAAAUACUAUCGGAUUUACUCGGCUAAAUAGUAAAGGUGAUGUCGUGAACUAUUUAGCUUUUUGUGCAAACUAAGAUAAUAGUAAUCACAUAGUUCUCAACCUAGAUUUUUCUUUUGGUUCUUACCGUUAUGUUCAUUUGGCCCUAAACAAUUAUUGGAUUCAUGAGUGCUUUACAAAAUUCCAUGUUAUUGAAAUUCUCAAAUAAACGGCUACACUUCUCACUCAUUUAAGUGAUAUUUUAUUAAGAGUAUUUUGCUAUAUUCCACUUGGUGUACCAAGAUAUGAAAAUUAUUAAGAGUUCAGCUCACCAUUUAUCACUCUACAACUAACACUUAUUUUAUUAUAGGAAUAAACAAGAAAUAAUAUUUUUCUGGUGCUAUAAAAAAUGCUAUAUGACUUAGUUUUCUAUUUGAAUCUAUAUCUUGGAAUCUUUAAUCAACUAUGUAUGGUUGUCAUCAUUAUAUUUUUUUUAUUUUUUACAAUGUAUUAUAAUUCACAUGACCUAACAUGACAUGCCAUACAUAACAAGACCCAAGCACAUAAAAAGAAGAGGCAUUCAUAUUUUAGUUCUUAUCAUUGGUUACAAUGGUCAUUAUAUUUAUUUUAAAAAGGUCAUCACACAAAUACCUCUUUAUUAUAAACAUACCACUCUUAAAGAGUAUAAAUAUAUCACUCUAAAAAACCAUCUUAAAAUCAUUCUUAGAUUCAAAACCUUUAUUGAAGGGCUUUUGAAUUUUGGAAUAAAUAAUAAUGAAAAAACCAGGGAUCAAAUCUAAAAGAAAAAAAAUUAAAGGGCUUUUGAAAAUGUGUAGGGUUAGAUGUGAAAAUCGAGGAAAAAAACAAUCGUUGGUGUGAAAAUCGAGGAAAAAAACAAUCGUUGGUGUGAAAAUCGAGGAAAGGAUGGAGGGGCCAUCGUGAAGAUUCAAAUGCUGUUUUGAAAACCGACACUUGACCACCGAACGACUUCACACUCACUGUUUGAAAAGUGCGAUUGUAGCCACAUGCAUCCAUAUGAACAAUAUAUGCCAUCCACUUUUUAAUAUUAAAUAAUAUUUUAUAUCUUCUAAAAUACUAAAUAACUCUUGAUCCAACUUGUUAAUAAUAGAAGAAACCAUAAUGAAAAGAUAAAAAGUGCAAGUUAAAGAUAAUUUGAAUUCAAGUAUAAUGUAAUCAUUGUUCAAUAUUUUUUUGCUUUAAAAAAAAAGAUUUUUUCCUGGAUGUUAGUCUAGAGGUACAAUAGUUUUGCUAAAGGAAUUGCUUUACCACCUUUUAGUUGCUUUAGAAUAUAAUAAUAAUCUGGUAAAAUUGGAAAGUGAAACUCGUCCAUGUCUCCACUUCUUAAAUACAUCCUCCACACACACACAUACAGGGCCUCUUGGUCAACCUCAUAUAUCCGAAAACAAGCAAUCACCUCCACUACUUUUCCGCAGAACUUAUUCUGAUUUAAUUGCAUUGCAAAAUUAUAAUAAAAUUGUGAUUUAUUUCAUGUUGGAUUCCCGCGACCGACUCACUGCUAUAGCAAAUGUUUCUCAUAAUUCAAGAAAAAAAAAAAACAAUGACAUCAGUUGCUGAUAAGAGAAAGAGAAAAAAUUACACACAUCACACCCACCAGCUGUCGUUGCGAAUGUUCCUGGAAUUUCAUGUAGGAAAAUAUGUGGGUGGUAGCAUUCUAUUAACAAGAAAGGGCACAGGGAAACGCUCUAAUUUGAUAUUUUCUGGAGAUGUUUAAGCUAAUGGGAUACUUGAUUCGCAAGCAGCCCUCUCUGAUUGGGUGUUUUUUUUUAUAUCAUGUUUUUAAACAUAUAAAAAGCCUACGCCACGGCCAGAAGAAAACAGAAUUAAAAAAGAAGGAAAAAUAGAAGGAGAAAAAGGAGGCAGAGAUGGAAGUGAAGAACAGUCCAGCUAGUGAGGAAGCGAUCAAAUCCAAGAAAGACCCUUGCUUUAAACUCAGAAAUGAUAGCUUGAUUCCAAAGAGGAGGAGGUUAGUGAAAAGCAUGAUGUUUGACUCUAUUGCCUCUGCAAUUUGUGGCUCCUCUUGUCUUCCUUGUUCUAAACACCAAGAACAGAGCAGGGGUAGUUAUUGUUGUCUCGCAAGAGUCACACCAGCCUAAAAUAUCAGAUGUAUAGCCUGUUAUUCUUGUUCUUGGUAUUACUUUUGUUGUGAUUUGGGUUUAUUUAGAAUAAUUGUUCUUUAAUCGGUGAUGAUAACCGUGGCCCAAGGAGAAGUGGGUUUGGACAGAGGAAGGAACAAGGACAGGGAGAACAGAAUGGUUUAUAUUUAUUGGAAAGUUGUAAUUAAUUAGUUUGAUUUAAAAGUAGUUUUGAUUAUUGAUUGUUUACUCUACUUCUUUGCCUUUUGAUGUAUGGUGGCUGUCCUUUUUAAUGGUUUAUGAUACGCUUCUCCGGCUUACCAGAGCCGGAGGCUCAUCGCGGGUGACCGCUUUCUCAACCGGGUAAAUCCUGCCGGAUUCACAGCAAUUAUAAGCCACGUCGAAAAGGAAAAAUAACAAAUUAACUCUGAUGCCCAAACUUGGAAAAGCCUUGAAAGUGAAAAUGAAAGGCAAAAGGUAAAGGAAAAAAAGGGCAAGUUGGCAAUAGAGUAGAUAAGUAUCAAAAUAGAGUGCAGAGCUAGUUGGCGGCUACUUCAAGGGGCUGUGAUCUUCACUUCAACGAUUGUUUUUCAAAUUCUCUACCUGAAAUGAAAUAAUUGUUUGAUUUUCUGAGUUGUAUUUUACUCGAAUAUCGAACCCAUUACCUCCAUUUGUUUUUUUUUUUUUACCCGAAGUUUUUUUUUUUGUUUUUUUGAAAAAAAAAGUUCAAUUAACUAGAUAAAAUUAGGUCUUAAAAUCUUUUUGACUAUACAAAAUUAGAUUUGAGGAAAGUCCAUUAGUUUUAAAAAUUUAUAAAUAAAUAGGUAUAUAAUUAAAAAAAAUAUAUGUAAUUUGGGUAACCUGAUUUUUUUUUUGUUUUACCUGAAUUACUCAAAAAUAAACUUCAAGUAAUUCUCCAAAUUACCCAUUAUCUGAUAUUUUUUGAAAUUUUAUUACUAGAAUUGGUUCGGAUAAUUCGAGCAAUGUGAGAUUUUCUUAAAUAAUACUUAUAAACAUAUCUCACACUAUCUUUCUUAAAUCUUCAAUUUCAUGAAUUACAAGCUCGACACAACCAAACACAAAACACUCUCAACUUUCUCAACAAAAUCAACCCACAAACACCUCCUCAUCCUCCGUCAUCAUUUUCACAAUUCUCCCCGUAAAACCCCCAAUUCUCCUGCAACCCUAACCAAGGGCGGAGCCUUUCACAAGGCUCCGUUGGGCUGUAGCCCAGGUAGGAUAAAAAUAAUAAUAAUAAAAAAAAAGAGAAAGCAAGAAAAAAGAGGAAGCACGUUCUAAUGGGGUUUUUCUUCUUUGUUAGAGUUGCUGUUUCCAAGGGUUUAUCAUCAUCAUUAGCUAAGUAAGAAAAGUGACGCAGAGGAAGAAGACAAAGCUCUAUUAUAAUCCCUUUUCAAAAGGUUUACGGUACUAUCGUAGGAAAGUUCAGGAUUUUCUUUAAAUUUUAAAAUUUUUAUUUAAAAUUUAAUUUUUUUAAUAUAUUUAGAUUAUUUUGAUAUAAUUUAUCAAAAAUAAAUUUUAAAAAUAAAAAAAUUAUUUUAAUAUAUUAAAAAAAACACUUUAAAAAACAUCUAUCACACUCCUAAACAAACCUACAUCUCGCAAAAUAAAUUCAGAAACCAACUAUAUUAGUUACUUUUUGGAUAAAUUAUAAAAUUAGCAUGGUUAUUUUUAAAUUUAGAUAGAAUAAUAUAUUUCAAAAAAGUUAUGGCGAUAUAACACGCUUCUUCUACAUAUCACUAUUGAGAAUCAAGAUAUUUAAAUAAUGUUAUAUAUUAUAACCGUGACAUUUAAAUUGAUGUUAUAGUUGGGGAUCAUAAUAAAAUUUUAAUUGAUAUCGUAAUUGAUUUUUUUAUUUGGUUAGUUGCAGCAGCUAGAAAUGAGAUUUCUAUUUGUUUAUUUUUUUCAAAAUUGACAACCAUUAUCAAUCUUAUUAGUGCUUCUCCCAAACGUCAUACAAAGAAAUUGCACAUAUGGUAGCUACUAGAGAACGUGAGACUAGUAGAAGGCCUAAUCAAAUCAGUAAUUUACAUCGAAGUGGAACUACUCGCUGGAGUUCUCAUUUUGAUUCUAUUUGCAGUUUAAUAGAUAUGUAUGGUGCAACAAUUACUGUGCUUGAAAGUAUGGUCCAAGAAGGAUCUUCUAACUCUAUACAUGGAGAAGUUGGUGGUUGUUUGAUUGUGAUGAAAUCUUUUGAAUUUAUAUUCAUCUUAUAUUUGAUGCAUAAAAUAAUAGGGAUUAUUGAUUUACUUUGUCGAGUUUUGCAGCAAAAAUCUCUUGACAUCUUAAAUGCAAUGAAUCUUGUAUCAAUUACUAAAGCAUUGCUUCGAACUUUGAGAAAUGUCAGAUUUGAUCUUCUUCUUGCAAAUGUGCAAUAUGUUUGCACAAAAUAUGAGAUUGACAUACCACAUAUGAAUGCUUCGUAUAAAAAGACUAUAAGUCGUUCAUGUCAAGAAUAAGGUUCAGUGAUAGCUUACCAGCAUUAUUAUCAACAAUAGAUUUUCAGUUGAAAGAAUUAAAUUUUAAAUUCAGUGACAAAAUAGUGAAACCCCAGUCAUCCCCAAAUUCAGAAUAACUAUCACCACCAACAAUCACAUCAGGACCUUCCUCACUUCACUGAAUUGCCUUGGGUUUCUCAUCAACUUGAAGAUGACCGUCAACCGCCGCGUGUUCACCUGAAUUCGAUCACCAUGUCCACGAACCCCAACCUAGUUUUACAGUUUUGCAUGAUGAUCGACAAACUAGGGAUGAAGUGGAAUGUAAUCCUAAUCCUAACUCUUCAGGACUGUAAUGUUAUGAUUGAUGGUGAGAGUGAGCAUUAUCAUCAUCGUGGUGAAUAUGGAUCUAAUUCUGAAAGAUCUUCCUCUAGAGAUUUUCGAGCUGUUUCGAAUCAACUAAGGGGUUUCAAGUCAAAUUCAAUGAAUUAUGAGAAUAGAUGCUGUUUAAAUUAUUAUUAUUAUCAUGGGAAGGUGCGUGACAAUAAUAAUAAUAAAAAAAGGGUGUUACGAAUCAACCACGUGAUUCAUUGAUUGAGUCUGGGAGCAACAAGAUUGAUGAUGGUGAAAGUAGGAUCGUUGCUGGAAACUUGAGCAUCACAAGAGGCAAGAGCAGAGAAGGAAAUUUGGAGUUGGAAAGGCAUGGAGGUGAAAGAAGUAGAGAGGGAGUUAUGAGUGUAAUAGGACUCCAAGGAAGCAAUAAAAGAUUUUUUGGGUUAAGUGGCUGGUGGUUAGGGUAUUUUUAUUUGAAUGGAGAAGUUGUAAUAUUAGCUAUUUUAAAUUUUAAAUAUUAAAUUAAAUAUAAUAAUAAUUAUUAUGUAAAUAAUUAGAUAUUUCCUUUUAAUUUUUUUUUGACUUGUCAACUUGAUGAUGUAAACUAUUAUAAAUAUAUUAAAUUACAUGAUUUAAAAUUAAAAUCUUAAAAGGAAGUGUAAAUAUGAUCAAGGUUUUUUUUAUAUAAUUAUACGAAAUUAUUUAUACAUGAUAGAAAAACAAGUUGGAAAAUUAAGAAAGAAAACGCGACUCCCCAGCUACAAAAUAAUUCAAUAAUGACCCUUGAAAAGAAAAGAAAAGAAAGAAAUAAUAGUGACGCGAUGCUCUCAAAGAUAAAACACAAGAGGGUGGUUAAAUUACAGUAGGUAUAUUAAUAAAAUCCUAUUAAUUGAAAUAGUAUUUUGGGUGUUUUUUUAUUUAUUUGUUUUUAGUUUUUUUUAUUUCAUAUUUCAACAACAUAGUUUUUUUUCCUUAAUUUUUUUAAUAUUAAAUUGUUUUAGAAAUUAUACUUCAUAUUUUUUUUUAUUUCUUUCUAUUAUGUUAUAUACUAGCCUUACAGAUUUGAUUUUUUUUUUCUUUUAAAUUCAACCUUUAACAUUCGAUUUAUAAGAGCAACUCUAGGGGUGUGCUAAAUAAAAAACUAAAAAUUAAAAUAAUAUUAUUUUGACUCUUUCAUGCUUAUUUUAUAAGCUCCAAAGGGAAUGCUAAACAAAAUGUCAAAAUGCAUUUUCUCUUCCACAAAUGUUAUUCCUACAUAUCUCUCAAAAGAAGUCAAAACUAACAAAGUGGGCUCAACAAAAAAAUAAACCAAUUAAAUGUAGCCAUGUGAAAAAAAUAACAUCAAACUCAUUAAGAAAACAUAAGACACUUAUUUCUCCUACUCCAUUACUAUUGGCUUUUCAAAUGACAUUUUCUCAUUGGAGUAUACAUGGUAAAAAAAAAAAAAGUCUUAUUUAUAGUAUUCAAAAUGUUAUUUUAUCAAUUUAGCUCUUCAAAAUAGCAUCUCCCUUGAGAUGCUCUUAGAAGUGGGGAUUUGUAAUUUUUCUUGAUAUAUUUUCUAUGAAUUUAUCUUGAUGCCAUGACUUAAGUUAUGGGUUUAACAAACUAAGUCGGGUUGACUCGAGUUGUUAUUUUUCCAUUUUUUUUAAUCAUUUUUUUUCGAUUUCAUAUUUCAACAAUGAAUUGGUUGAAAAUUAGGAUUCAUAAUUAUUUUUUUAAUUUGCUUUUAUGUGGGGUUAUUCCAAUCUUAUGAUUUAGGUCACAGGUAUGACAAGUUGACCUGAUUGACUUUGUUUAUUUUUUUUGGAUCCUUUUUUAAUUGAAUGUUUUUUAAAUAUGGCUUUGUAAUUUUUUUUAUUUACUUUCUAUGAGGUUAUCCCGAUCUCAUAACUCAUGUCAUGAAUUUUGUAGGUUGACUUGAAUUAACCUGAUUUAUUUUUUUGGAUUCUUUUUUAAUGGAUUUUUUUUCAAUCUUACCCACCAACAACUUCUUCUUCUUCUUCUUUUAGUUUUUGUCUUCAACUUGAUUUUUUAAUAUUAGGCUAUUUGGAAAUCAGACUUCAUAAUUUUUUUUUAUUUCUCUAAGUGAAGUUAUCUUGAUCUUAUGAAUGUAGGUUUUUUUUACCUCUCAAUUUCUACUUUUAACAUUGGAUCUGUUGGAAAUAGAACUUCAUAUUUUUUUAUUUGUUUUCUAUGAGAUUAUUUCAAUCUUAUGAUCUGGGUUGAGGGUUUGAUAAAUUAACCCAGGUUGACUUGGGUAUUUGUUUUCUUCUAUUUUUUAAUAUAAUAUAUUUUUUUCAAUUUCAUUCUUCAAUAUUGGGUUGAUUAGGAAUUGACUUUCAUAAUCUAUUUUGAUUUUCUUUAUAUAGAAUUAUUACAAUUUUAUGACAUGGUUCGCAGAUUUGACAGGUUAAACUAGGUAGAUCCAAUAUACUGCUUCUCAAUAUUUGAAAAAAAAAUCAUCUAAUAUAUUGUUGUAUCAAUAAUUUUCUUAAAAUAUCAUCCAAUAUGCAUCAUAUUUUAAAUUUAUAAUUAAAAAAAUUAUUAAAAAAUAUAUUGCAAUGCUUGAAUAAUUUUUUUUAUUAUAAAAAAAUUAAUCUAACUUAAAACGCAAUACAAACCCAUAACCUAGUUUCAAACUAACAGGCUAACAGAACUCUUUAUCGACGGCGUUGACGGCUUUCUCAUAUAAAGUUGAAGUAACAAACAAAUUCGGGUCAUGUGACAGAAUCUCAAUACUUUGCCAGAAUUCAGGGCCUCCAACCAACAUUCCACCGCCACCCAUUUUUUCACACCGACUUAAAAAACGUGAAUUGAUAAACAAGUUCAUACGGCUUAAUAUAUUUUUAUUUUUUAUAACAGAUUAAUUUUUUAAUAUUUUUACAUUUUCAAUUAAAUUAAUUUUAUUUUUAAAUAUGUUAAGUUUCUAAUCUAUUUUUUGGGAUAAAAACUUAAAGUUACAUCAAAAUCAAUCAUGUAAUUUGCAAAUAAAAAUCUUCUAUUUCAAUAUAAAAAAUAAAAAUAUACAAAUCACGUGAUUAAUUUUAAUAAUCUAGCCUAAAAAUCUUAUAAAUCAGAAAUUUAAUAUGUAUUAAAAGAAAUUCUUGAUUUGAUAAAAUAAUUACUUUAUAUAAAAAAUUAAAUCAUUAUUCUAUAAUAAAUAGAUAAAAUUACAAAGUGAAAUAAUAAGUCAGUAAGACGUCGGAAAGAAGGUUUCACCAAGACCUAAGGACUAGGUGAAAGACUAAUUGCCUGAAAAAAUAAAUAAAUAAAAUUAUAAAAGAAAAGAAAUUCUUUGUUUUAUAUAUAAAUACUAGAUAGGUGGCUCGUGCUAUGCCACAUACCUAUUUUUUUUUUAUUGUAGAAAAGAUAUCAAGAGGAUGUAAAUUUGUUUUAUUUUAAAAAAAUCUAAGAUUUUGAUCAUUGACUCGAGAUAAAAAAAGAUUAAAAAGCAAUAAAAAAAAGUCCGAGUCAAACCUGAUAAACAUGUUAAAUCCAUAACUUGAGACAUGAUAUCAGGAUAACUCUAUAGAAUGAAAAGGUAAAAAAAACAAAGAAUAUCAAUUUCCCAAAAAAAAUAAUUACAAAUCAAAUGUUAGAGGAUGAAACAAUAAAUUUAAUUUAAUUAAAAAAUAAAAUUCCUUUUAAAGAAGCAAAAUUUAACAAAAACAAAAAAAAACUCAAGGCAACCCUUGUUAUUUUAAAAAGAAAUAUAGAUCCUAUAGAAAGAGAGUAAAAAAGAAUGUUAGAUGAUGAUGAUGAUAUAUAUAUAUAUAUAUAUAUAAAAGAGCUUGAAAAGAAAAAAAACCAAUCAAACUCGGAAACCUGAUUUAAACUCUCAAAUUCGCAAUCCGUUAAAUUAUUGACUCGGGCUCAACCUAGAAGCUGAACACCUAAAAAAUUAAAUGUUGGAGGAUGAAAUCAAUCAAUUUAAUUCAAUUUUAGACAAAAUUCAUUCAAAAAAGAAAAAAAAUAAUAGUCAAGGCAACCCGUGUUAUUUUCAAAAUGACUAAAAAAUACCAUAGAAAGUGAAUUAAAAAAUAACAAAAUGCUGGAGGAUGAAAAAAAAGAUAAAAAAGGAAAAAAAAACCAAAGAAACCUGUGUCAAUUUUGUAAAUCGGGGCUAAUCUCUUAAACCCGCAAACCGUUAAAUUUAGACUCGAACUCAACUAAAAAGCUAACCAUCCGUCUAAUUAAAUGUUGGAAGAAGAAAUAAUAAUAAUAAUAAUAAUACAAAAAUCAAUCUAAAAACAUUUUGCAAGGUCAAAAAAAUACAACAAUAAAAAAAGAAUUAAAUUUCACAUAAAAAAACCAAAGAAUGAUGAAAUUGUAAAAAACAAAUUACCAAAACCAUCUAAAACAAAUAGCAAUUAAAAGAACAGGAACCAAAUUUGUAGAUGAAAAUAUCAAUUGUGGAUUAAAUUGAAAAUAAUUCUUAAUUUAAUAAACUAUUCUAAAUUAAAAAAAUUGCAACAAAGAGAACAUUGAUGAAAUUAAAAUAACCUCUUAAUUUCAUAAAGUAUUCUAAAUUUUAAAAAUUGUAAUAAAGAGAAUAGGGAUGCAAUCUUAAGUACAACAAACUUUAGGGGUUGAUUUGAUUUUUUUAAUUCCAACAUGAAAAUCAAGUAGGAGAGAGGGUAAAAGAAAAAAUAAAAUAAAAGAUCAUAAGUGCCACACCAGUCACCAUAGUGCUACACACGUUGUUGAUCUAUGGAGAGGCCAUUGAGAUGCUUCGAAAGCCACCUUGGAAUCAUGGUUUUUUCCAUAGGACGAUGCCACAUGCGUCGUCCGAAGGCGGCUGACACUAUUUAUCCAAUUCUUUUUUUUUAUUUUUAUUUAUCAAAUUGCCCUACUGCCUCCAAAGACACCCAAUAACCACCAAAUGACCACAUGUAAAUGACAAAAGAUCCCCUAAGUCAAAGACAAUUGUUUUUAAUUUUUAAGAGUAAUAAGGUAACUUACUUGUUUAAAAAUAAAGUCAAAGACAUAAAAGCCUCUUGACCAAAGUGAGUUUUUUUUGUCUUUUAAAGGCAAUUAAGUAAUCACUGUCAAAUAAAACACAUAAUUACUGUCUAGCUCCUUCCUUUCCUUUCAAGUAAUAAUCAACAUGUCCUAUGAAAAAUAUCAUCAUACUACUAGACUUAAGGGAUAAUACUUUAUCCACCAAAAGCUAAAAUUAGCCUUUAACUGUGGAUUUGCACAAUAAAAAGCUAAUGCCUUUUAGUUUAUUGUUAAUUUAUAGCCUGUAACAAAGGAGCUCAUGAUCAUGAACGAGAAAGAGUGGGACAUAAUGCACAAAUACAUAAGGAUGAUUUUGCAAAGAAGAACUGAAGGAGGGAGAGAUAUAUACAUUGGGCAUCUUCUCCCCCCCCCCCCCCCAAUAAUUAAGGGGGCAAUUGACAGUUGACAAUAAAAUUGUUUGCUCAAAAUUUAUUUAUUUAUUUUUAAGAUUAUAUUUUUUUAGUGUUUUUGAAUCGUUUUGAUGCAUUAAUUUCAAGAAUAAAUUUUAAAAAAUAUUAUUUUAAUGUAUUUCUGAGCGGAAAACACUUUGAAACACAACUUCUACUACACUCCAAAACAGGCUCCGAGAAGAGACAUUGAAUAUUGACCCCUUUUCUUUUCCUUCGUAAUUUUUUGUGUGAGAAUAUAUCAACAUUACCAUACGUCAUAUGUGUGCUUAGAGUAACUUGGGUUUCCUCGGGUUUCCAUUUUUUAUUUUUUUUUAUUUUUGAAAUUGAUUUUGUUUUUCAAUUUCAUCAUUCAAUAUUAGGUUAUUAGCCAUGAACUUCAUGAUUUCUUUCACAUUUCUUUUUAUAGGGUUAUCCCAAUUUUAUAUCAUUGUUUACGAGUUAGUCAGGUUAACUCAUUUUUUUUUGACAUUUUUUAAUUGAUUUUUUUUCAAUUUGCCUUACAUCAUUUAGUUUGCUUAAGAGUUGAUCGUUAUUGUUUUAUUCAUUUUUUUUUUGUAUGAGAUUAUCCUGGUCUUACAAUCGCGCUACUCGAGUUAGGUUUUUUUAUCCUUUUUUAAAAAUGAUGUUUUUUAGUUUGUCCCUCACAUUUGAUUUACUAGUAAUUAAGUUUCAAAUUUUUAUUUUAUUUUUCUCUUUAUGAGGUUCUUUCAUUCUCAUUCAAUUUUUGCUAAUUUGUUAUCAACUAAUCAUUACACCUUUUAAGAAUAUUUAGAGAGUAUAUUUUUUUAAUAUUGACAUGCGUUCAUUUUGUUUUAUUGGUCAUUGGUUUUUUUUGUCAUUUGAUUUUUUUAAUUAUAUUAUUGAAUUAACCAAGAUUAUUAAACUCAUUUGAAUGAAUAACCCGGGUCCUAGAUUUUUCUUACUCUUUUAAAAAUGUUAUCAUCACCUAGGUAUUUUUUUUAACAUUAAUUUUUUUUCACCUAACCCAAGAUGUAGCGUGAUUGUUUACCAGUGUUAAAUACUACUAGUAAUCAAUUUUUCAACAAAUUUAGGGUCUUUUACCAUUCUAACACAAUUUAAUAAUUUUUUUUAGGAAAUAAGACAAGUAAAAAAGUAUUAGAGAAAUAACUACUAUUGAGAAUAACAAUUGUUUCAAAAUUCAUAUCUCAUUCAAAUUAUUUAACAUGCACAAAAAUCGAUUCAAAAUUUUAUGAAGAUCCAAUGGCAAAAAAAUGAGAUUCAAGAUCCAAUGACCAAGAAAGAAAGAGAAGAUAAGCUGAUGUGGCAUGAGAGAGAAAGAUUGAAGAAAGAAUGAGUUACUAGGGACAUGUCACUGCUCCGUUUUUGAUACACUCAAUACCGUUAGAAAGAUUUCGACGAUAUGAUUCUAAUCAUAUCUUAGAAGACCAUCGAAUGAGGUCGUAAUUGGUUAUGGAUUUUGUUCUGGGCUAAUUAUGACCUCGUUUGGUGGUCUUCCGAGUUGUAGUUAGAAUCGUCUCGUUGAGAUCUUUCUCAUAGUACUGGGUGCAUAAAAAACGGAGCCUCAGUGUUCCUAAUGACCAAUUUUUUUUUUUCUUCCAUCAUUUAUCUCUCAUGUCAUAUUACUUUAUUUUCUGUAUCUUUUUUGACUAAUGGAUCUUGAAUCUCAUUUUUUAACAAUUAUAUUUUUAUAAAAUUCUAGAUUGAUUUUUAUUUAAAUUAAUUAAUUUACAAAAUACAUACAUUCUGGAACAUCACUACACAACAGCUAAGAGGAAUAAUGAUUGCUUGCAAAAAUGAUAUUCAUAAAGAUGGUUAUAUUCAAACAAUGCUUUUUUAUUUUUUUCAACGUAUAUCUUUCUCCCAAAGUUCUUACUAAACUAUGUUAUUUUUUGAAAAAAUUCACAGAUUUAUUACAUUCCAGAAAUCAAGGCAGUACACAAGCAAGCACCUGCAGCUUAAUUAUUCAAAGCAUCAUUACAAAGGACUGCUACUCAUUGAGACCAUCAUAAAUUCCCUUGAAUUGUAAUCAAUUCCAGAAUGGCUUUUGACCCAUCAUCGUCAUCUUUCCACGAUAGAGUCCUGUGAUUGGAAUUUAGUUAGCAGAUAUUCCAUUAAUAUUAUUUUACAACUUCUUUUAUGAUCUGAAUUCUGAACUGUCAGGGUCAAAAUUUCAAAAUAUAUUCAGUCGUGGUCAAAAGUCUGUUCACAACAAAUGAAGGCGACAGUGUGAAACGCACCUAGGCACACAAGGCCUUUUGUAAUUCUCUCUUUCUCUUUAGAGGUAUUUUAUAAUUCUAUCAUAGUUUAAUACAAGUUUUUAAAUAACAACAUAUAUUAGAAAAAUAUUUAAAAAAUAACACAGUUUAAACAAACUUGCUAUUAAAAACCGUGGUUAUAUAUUGUCGCUAUUAAAAAUAACGAUUGUUUCAAAAGUUAUUUUUCAAUCAAAUUAAUUAAUCGCUACAAAUCAAUCUAAAUUUUUAUGAAAAUUCAAUAAUAAAGAAAUAAAAUUUAAAAUCUAAUGGCUAAGAAAAAAAUGGGUCACUGGGAACACUUUGGAGCUUUAUUUUCGAGAUACUCAGUACUGUUAGAAAGAUCUCGACAAGACAAUUCUAACCACACCUUAAAAAACCACCAAACAUGGUCAUAAUUUAUUAGAGUUUUUGUUCAGAGUUAAUUACAACAUCGUUUAAUAAUUUUUCAAGGUGUAGUUAGAAUCGUUUCGUAGAGAUUUUUUUAACGGUACUGAGUAUGUAAAAAACGAAUUCUCGAUGUGUCCCCAAUGACCCAUUUUUUCUUUCAAUUUUUUCUUUACCAUAUCACCUUAUCUCCUUAGCGCAAAAAAAAAAAAAACCUAUGAUGUUUUUUCACCUUUAGUUUUGAUAAUUUACAAUAAAAGAAAGCACUCCUGUUAGUUUUGAUAAUUUACAAUAAAAGAAAGCACUCCUGACUAGCAAAAGGAACAAAAUAAAGAUACCAGCAAAUUAGGGAAAUAAGAAAUCAACGUGUCAUAAAACUAAUUCAAUUCUUCACUUGCAAGCAUCUCUCCCCAUGGUGGAAUUUCAACAAGAAGGAGAAUUAAAAAAGAUGCCAUCAUUUACAGCUUAGCAUAUAAGCCCCAACACACCUUAGAGGCUCAUGUAGUUAACAGAACAUAGACAUCUACUUGCACAAACACAGUUCUUCUAAGAAGCAGAGAGACUGUGCGCUCAGGAAGCAAAGCAGAGAUACAGAACAUGGAGCCUGUUGGUGUGGAAGUGAACAGAGACAAAGAGGACCCAAGCGAGGAAAUAGCCAGAGCCGAGAUAGAAACAUGGUUCAAGCCCAAGAAUGGAAGUGUAUUUCCAAAAGAGAAGAGGUUGGUGAAGACCAUGAUGCUUGAUUGUUUUAUCUCUGCUUUCAGCUCUCCCAGCGGUACUCCUCCUUCCUCUAAUGCCCAAGAAAAUAACAAAGCUAGUAGUUGUUACAGAAACACGGGUAAGCCAUCAAAAGUAUCAAAUGCCGAUUGAAUCUUGUUGCUGUCAAGUAAUUAAUUACUUGUACUGGGUUAUGAUAUGAAGAUGUAUGUUAGGGUAUAAAUUGUGUCAAGAGGGAAGGGGUUUGAGCAGUGUAACACCUGAUGUAUGUUUUGGUGACCUUUAUUACAAUAUUUGUGUACGUUUUCUUUUCUAUGGGAUUUUAAUUACUGGUGUAGUUCCCUGCCUUCUUAUAUCAUGGCUGAUGUUCUGACAUUUUAAUGAUUAAUGGAGCUUUUCUGGUUCAUGUUUGCCUCACAAGUAACCAGUUUAUCAACCGGGAAAGUUCACAGAAAUCCCGGUGAAACGGCUUAAUGAUUGAACAGCACAAGCUUCUUUUGAGUGACUUGAAAAGCUGAGGUUUCCUGUAAAAGAAACGAAGAAAAUGAUAAGCUAUCGGUUAAAAUCCUUUCAGUUUUUUCUGGGAGGAACUGCUAGUGCCUAUCCUGUUAAUUAGUGGGUCAUAGUUUUGAUGCCCCUAAACAUAGACUUAAGAGGGUUAAUAAAGAAUAGAUUCAGAAAAAUAUAAAGCACAAACAAUCCGACAAUAUAUUCUGAUAGGCAUUUUGUGGACAUUUAACUGAAAAUUGAUUUUGAUUCUACAAAGACGAACACCCUUUUCAGUCUACCUAGCUAUUUUAUUCUAUGACCUUUUUCUUUACAAAAAAAAAAAUUAAAAAAAAAAUACAGACGAAUGAUCGCACUCACUGUAAGGGAUCUUAUCAAUCCUCAUGCAGAAUAAUUUGAUUAAAUUAAAUUAAAUUAAAUUAUGUUUAACUUGACUUAAAUCAAAAGCUUGUUAUAAAAUCGAGUCAAUAUUCAAAAGUUCAAAUUUUCAACUUUUAACUUAUGAAUUAAGACUUAUAUUACAUUCAUUUUUCAAAAUAAUUUCUUUGAGUUAUUUCUACCAAAGAUAUUCUUAAGUCAAAAUCAUUCUAACUUAUUUUUAUCAUAAAUUAUUUAUAUAAAAUAAUUUUUAAAUUAUGAUUUAAAGUUAAGAAUCAUAAUUUAAAAAAAAAAUCAUAUGAAUCCGAUUCUAAGUGAUUAGUACAUGCUCUAUUUUAAAGACAAUCGAGAUAGCUCAAUAAUAUUGAAAUUGUAAAUUAAGAAAGAAAAAUAGGAUAGAUAGAGAAUAACUUGUCCUUUAAAAUCGCUUAGGUAUAAUUUAGUUAUUAUCAUGGGAUGGAAGAGAUGAAAAUAAUAAAGAUAAAGAAAACAAGAUAGAACAAGAGACAUAGAAAAAAUUAUGUUUGAUAAUAGUGUAUAAGAACUAUUUUUGUAUUUUUUUUAUUGAUGAUGGACAAGUUAGAAUAAAAUAUAGAAAAAAUUUAUUUGAUCCUUAAUAUGUUUUAUUGUUAAAAUUACAUAAAAAAAUAAUUAGAUUUUUUUACUUUAAAUUUUUGUUGAGUAUUGAAAUUAAUAAUAAUAUAAUAAUUCUAGUUAUAAAACUCAUACUGAGUUGGUGGGCCGACCUAGGAUUUUACCAACUCGAGGCUUGGAUCGAUCUGGGUUUAAGAAAAAUGGAUGAACGAUUGACUUGGUCAAAAACUUAGGUCGCCCUUGACUUGGUACACUUAUGCCCCGUUUGUUUGCUGGAAAGUAGUUUCCUUUUGGAAAGUGAAUUCCAGAAAAGUGAAUUAUUUUCCGAUGUUUGGUAGUGUAAAGGAAAAUAAGUUGGAAAACAUUUUUCAGUAUUUGGUUAUGUCAUGAAAAAUGAGCUGCAACAUAACAUAGUAAUGUUUUAUUUUUUUCAAGUUUAUUAAAAUAAUGAUGAACAAAUCUUACAAAUUAAAAAGUUGAAUGAGAAUGAAAUUGAAAAAAAAUAUAAUUUCAUAAAUUAUCUCAAAUAAAAUAAAUAAUAAUCAAAAUAAUAGAGAUCAAAUCUAAAAAAUAAAAAAAUUAAAAGAUGAAGAAAUUAAAAUAAUAAUAAUUAACAUUUCAUAAAUUAUUUCAAAUAAAAUAAGUAACAAUCAAAAGAAUGAGGACCAAAUUUGAUAGAUAAAAAAUUUCAAUUAAAAAAUGAUAAGGGAAAAGCAAAUAACAAUUAUAAAAAUGAGGACAACAAAUAAUAUAAAAAAUUAAAUUCUAGGGGAUGAAAUUGAAAAACAAAUAUUCAAAACAAAAUAUAUAUAGCAAUCAAAAGUUUGAUGACCAAAUUUGAUGUAAUCAGCAAAUAAUAUGACAUUUCUAAAUUUUUCACAACUUUUGGAAAGUGUUUUCCGCCCAAAAUAAAAGGAAAACACUUUCCUGAAAACAAAGCCAAAUUUUUCUUUGACUGGAAAGUGUUUUUCGUUGACCGGAAAGUAUUUUGUGUUGACCAACUUUACUAAUGACAAACAAACAUUUGGAAAGUGGUUUCCCAGAAACCACUUUCCGGGAAACAAACGCACCCUUAAGGUAAAACUUAAGUAAAAAACUUGUUGACUCUUUUAUUUUUAAGAAAAUAUUUUUGGGUUUGACCCUCUCUACUCGCGACCCUAGCCUUGUCCUGAGUUGACCAUUGGAUCAGGUUUUAAAAAUAUGACAAUGAUCAUUUUUAUCCUUACAUGUCUUAAUUUAACAACUUUGAAAUUAAGAGUUUCUUAUAAAGAUAUUUUAGGGAUAAAAAAUAAAAAAUAUUGCAUUUAGAGAAAUGUUUCUUUUACACCUUCUGUUUUGAAAAUACAAAAAUUCACUCUAAAAUUGCUUGAUAGACAUUUUUAUUUUUAUUUUUACCUCUUCAACCAAACACGUUUUUUCCCCCAUUGUCUUCAUCUCUUUUUUAUCAAGACAGUAACUAAACGAUACCUUAUAAAUAUUGAGAGUAUGUUUUGUUGGCAUUUUCUACGAAGCAUUCAUAAGGCUUUUAUUAAAAACAUUUUUAGAAAGGAUUUUUGCACUUUCUUUCAUCAUGAAAAUAAUGUAUAUAAUUUUGUUAAAAAUAAAGUUAAGCAGCCGAAAUGACUCACCUCCAGUCCAUUUAGGCUACUCUAGUAUAUUUGGGCAAGCAAACCAAAUAGACCACCUCCAAUCAUUUUAGGGCAACUUACUAAACAAACUGCUUUUCAAUCUGUUUAGGCUAGCUUGACCCCUUCUUUUUCUCUCAUUUUUACUUUAAACAAUUAUUUAGGUCUUGAUCCAAUACCAUAAAAAAUUCUAGGUUAUUGGCACACACCUCAAUAUAAUUCUUUUUAAUCCUGAGAAGUGUUGGACGUACACCAAAUUUUCUCAUGUAGAGCAAACACCACUUUUCUCACCAAUAACCAUCAAUUUAUCGCUAAUCACCCAUUUUUCCACCAAUAGCACGCGGCCAUGGUACUAUGACAUUGCUAACCAUAAGACACCCGCAACUCCGCUCUCCACUUACAAUGAGGUGUUGUAGUAUCACUCUCUAUAAUACAAGCACCAAUCUCCCCACCAAUGAUAUUCUCCACUCACCACAAGGCUUUCUAUCAUUGAUCCACUUGUGGUAAGUUGCACAUCAAGAAAUAAUUGCAACAAUUUUGACCAAAAUCUAUAAAAACCUCUUGUCACCAAUUAAGAAUGGACAUAAUUUUAUCUAAUAAGCAAUCGUCCAUAACUUAUAGUAAACACAAGCAAUGUAAUAGCUAUAAGCAAUCAUCCAACACUUCAAGAAACCAUACAAUAAUUCUAGGAAUCACCAACAUACCUUUAACAAUCUAAUAAGCUCACACAGAACACCCAACAUUCAUAAAUAUACUCUUCCAUGUUUUUAAUUCUUUUGCAUAUUGUUUCCCUCCUAUAUUUUACUAACUUAAGUAUUGAAGGGUCAUUUGUUCUAAUAGGGAAUUUCUUUUAUAGAGAAGCUUAUGGACAGACGGUCAAGCCUAGCCACUACACUAGCCUAGGAAACUAUACAGCCAAGUAGGGUCACUAGGACAUGAACUUAGAGUGAUUUAGAAUGUAAUUUGAUAAUCAGUAUUACUCUAAAUAUCAACGUAGAAUAAAGGAACAAGAGUUCUUGGCAUUGAGGCAAGAACAUAUAUCAGUGCUCGACUAUGAGAGGAGGUUUCAUGACCUUUCCAUAUUCGCUUCCCAAUUUGUUCCUACUGAGCAAUAUGUGAUUGAUAGAAUAUGAGAUGGGUUGCGACAAGAAUUGAAACAAGGGUUGAUUGCAUUUCAAUUUGGGAUAGUUAGAGAGCUCAUUGAGGCAACUUGGGCCUUAGAGUCAUGUAUAGUAGAAGGUUAGUAGAGUCAGUCUAAGACUGGUAAGAGAAAUGAUGUUGAUUUUUUACUCGGAUAGAACUCCUCCUCCUAAGAAAGCCAAAAGGUAGUUUGGUCGGUUUAGGAAAAAAGAAAGGGCAUAACUAGUUUUAUACAGAGUAUUGAAGUAGGGUUAACUAAAGGACGGUCAAACCCAAGGGCUGUUUUGGUUGGAGGAGAUUAGAAACCAUUACCUAUCUUUAUUGUACUUGGUGUGAACAAAAACAUAUGAGAGAUGGUUCUGUAUCAUCAGGAUGAUGUUAUCUUUGUAGAGGAGAGGGGCACUGAUGGCCUGAUUGCCUUUAUUUGGGAAGAGGAUGUUAUUAUUAUGGAGAAUAGGGGUGCUUACCAAGAUAUUGUCAUCGGAGGGCUGAGUUUACAUAAGGUCAUAGGCAACAGACCUAGAGUCAGCAACAAUUAGUCAUUGUAAAUAGACCUACUAGACCAACAUAGUCAGGAGCUAAUGGUAAUAGAGAGAAGUUAAGAGCAUAGUGACAAGACUCAGGAGGUUAGAGUUAUUGCAGAUGUAGUAGUAGAUAUGCUACAAUUGAAUUCAUUUUUUGCUUAUACAUUAAUUGAUCUUGGGGGUGCACAUUCGUUUGUUGCUAUAAAAUAAUGGGAAAACUAGGGAAAAGUUUAUGCGGAGCAGAAAAAGGGUUUACCAUAAGUACUCAUUUAGGAGAAAAUAUAGAUGUUAAUCAUUUGUAUAAAGGAGUUAGACCUAAUUAAAAAGGGGUGUGAGAUGAGUGUAUAUCUAAUACCUUUAGAGUUACAUGAUUUUGAUAUUAUUCUUUGUAUGGAUUGGUUGACUAGGUAUAAGGCUUAGAUGGACUGUUUUGCAAAAACAAUAACUCUCCGAGGAUUAAAUGGUAGGAGAGCAAUAUUUAGAGGGGAAAGGAAUGCCAUAUUGAAUUGCAUUAUUUUGGCUAUGACUGCUGGGAAAAUGAUAUAGAAGGGAAGUGAAGCUUAUGUUGCCUAUGUGAUGGAUGUGAGGAAGGAGAAGAAUGAAUUGAUGAAUCUCUCUAUAGUGAGACAAUUUCCUAAUGUAGUUCCUGGAGAAUUACCAGGAUUACCCUAAAAAAAGGAAAUGAAGGUUUCCAUUUAUGUACUACUCGUCACGUCUCCUAUAGCUCAAUCACCCUAUAGGAUGGCACCUACAGAAUUGGUUGAAUUGAAAAUUCAGCUUAAAAUGUUAUUACAUAAGUACUUUACCUUGGAGAGCUCCAGUGUUAUUUAUGGGAAAAAAAAAGGAUGGAACCCUUAGACUUUGUAUUGACUAUAGGCAACUGAAUAAGGUAACGAUAAAAAAUAAAUAUUUAUUUCCACGAAUAGAUGAUUUCUUUGAUCAACUCAAGAGGGCUAAAGUGUUCUAAAAAAUAGAUCUAGGAUCGAGGUAUUAUCAAUUAAAGAUUAAGGAGUAGUAUGUGUUAAAAACCGCAUUUAAGACUUGAUUCGAACAUUAUGAACUCUUCGUAAUGCUGUUUGGAUUGACAAACGCACCUACAAUGUUCAUGGAUUUAACAAACAAAGUUUUUUGGUAGCACUUGGAUAUAUUUGUGAUAGUACUUAUAGAUGAUAUUUUAGUGUAUUCGAGUUCAUACUUAGAUCAUGAAAAACAUUUGAGACAAAUGUUGCAAACUUUAAGAGAGCAUCUACUAUAUGCCGAGCUAAGUAAAUGUGAAUUUUGACUACAAUAAGUGAUUUUGUUUUUGGACAUAUCAUAUUUGUUGAAGGGAUGUUGAUGGACCUUAAAAAAAUGGAGGCAAUGUUAAAGUGGGAAAGACCUACAAAUGUAACCGAAAUUUAUAGUUUUCUUGGAUUAGUAGGAUACUAUAGGAGGCUAUUGAAGGGUUUUCCACUAUAGCUAUUCCAAUGACCAAACUGACUCGAAAAGAAACCAAAUGGGAAUGGAUUAAAUAGUGUGAAGCGAGUUUUCAUGAACUGAAGAGGAGACUUACAACUAUCUUAGUACUAACAUUUCCUUGAGGACUUGAAGUUGAUGUAAACCUUUUGAUCACGUGAUCAAACAACCCCCAACAAAGAUGAUACUUUCUAGAAAGCUAAAAAUCAAGAUUGAGAACCUUGACCCAGAGUUAACCUGUAACUUCCCAAGCUGCUUCUCCUAGGGUUUUAUAGCUAGAUUUUACAGGCAACAUUGGAAAGAUCUAGAGCUAGAUCCCAAGCUGCUUCUCCUAGGGUUUUAUAGCUAGGUUUUACAGGCAACAUUGGAAAGAUCUAUAGCUACAAACUGGCCAAAUCUGAUCCUUUGAUGCUUGAAGAGGGACUACAGCCCUUGAUUGAAAAUAACAACAAAGACACAUCUUGUUCAAUAGUUGGUGAAAGGAGUACACUAACAGUUCUGAUGUUUUUAGACUGUUGAUGAUGGAUUUUUGUUAUGUUAUGGGAGCAACUUGGGGGUAAAGAAAACAAUUUACAACCAUUACAUUUAAAUAGGGUAAUCUAGGCAAUGGAUUAGGAAAGUUCUAACGAGGUUUGGUGAGAAGGAGAGAUCGAACCAAGGCUUGGAAGGUGGUAACUUGACCAUGCCACUUAGGUUUAAAAGGAAGAAAAAAAACUAAACAAACCAAAACGACAUCAUUUUGGUUAACCUUAACAUAAUUAGGGCUUUAAUCUUCCCUAUUCAAUUUUAGUCUUUAAUAACUUGAAACUUCGCAAUCAAACCCUUAAUUGGUCUUAAUUUUUAGGAAUCUUUUCAAUUCUGCCCCUAACCUUUUCAAUUGAUCCCUCGAACUUUGGUGUCUUUUACAAUAUGAUCCUUGAUAUUGAGAUUCUUCAAUUUCAUCCUAAAUAGCCCUUCAAACUUUUAAUUCUUUUAAUUUAAUCAUUGAUUAAGUCAAUUAAGCCCUUAAAACUUUAGACUUCGUUCAUUUUAGUCCCUGAUUAUUUAAUUCUUGCAACUUUGAGCUGAAUUUAUUCAGAAAGUUUGAUUUUUCUUUAAUUAAGUCCAUGAUUGCAUUAAUUAAUCUAAUACAAAGUUUAAUUAAGUCCCUAAACUUAUUGAUUGUUCUAAUUUUGGCUAAAUUGACUUUCAAAUUUUAUUUUCCUUUCAUUUAAGCCCCUGAUUAAGCUAAGUAAGCCCUUCCAUAGUUCAAUUAGGUCCUUGGCUUUUCUAAUUUUUGCAAUUUUAUCCUCAUCUUCAACUUUCUUCUUAAUUAGGCCUUAAAUUAUCAAAAUUGAGCUGCCAAACUUUGCAACCUUGUCUAUAUUGGUCUUUAAACUUUCAAUUUGUGCAAUCUUGACAAAUUUCAGCAUAUUAUCUAAAUUUUCUACAACAAGACCCCAAAUUAUCUACCCACCUAGCAUUCUAACCGGCCAUGAAUUAACUGCCUACCGAAUUAUGAUAUGAAGUAUAUUUUUUUAAUUUUAGUUUUUUUAAUUUUCUUAGAAAUGUUUUUGAAUAUCUUUGAAAGAAAAAAAAUUCCACAUGAAAAUAAAAAAAUCUUGACGACAUAAAAUUGGGUUAUGAAAAACCUAAAAAAAGAAAAAAAAAACAAGAAGAGAUUAAACACCUCUAAAAGUAAUUGAUUUUCUAAAAGUAAAAGUCAAUUAUCAAGUGUAAUCUUGGUAAUGUUUUCAGGAGGAAGCAGUCAAGUGUAAGUAAAUAAAAAAGGCAUUCAUAUGGAUAUCAUUCAAGAAUCAUAUCAUAGAAGAUUUAUUCAAGUAUAUAUCUGUAAGAGUGGGAUGACAAAUAUAUUUAUCAAGGCAUUCACAUUCAUGCUCACUGCUUUGUUAGACUUUUCUCACUCUUUUAAAGUAGCUGAUGGUUAUUUUGGCUACAUGGAAUUAACUUUUUCAUCAUGCUAGGAAGUAAGAUGUUCAUUCUCCAAUCUAAAAAGCUCUACACAGAUCAUUUUCAGACUUCUGUAGCGAUGGUAAUAUUCUGUGGAAAAAAAUUGCCUAUGUUUCUUCUUUCUUUAUUUAUUUUUUCUUUUUUUGAGUAGGUGUGAUCAACAAUUAGCUAUGAUGUAAUUUAUAAAUUCUAUCAUCCAUCUCGCUAUCCCGCAGCGCAACGCAUGCUUUAAACCAAGUAUCCUUACUCUAAUGUUUGUGGAAAAUGAUUUCUCAAUACUUUUUAACAAAUUUAUGUUCUCUUUUGACAUUUUUAGAAUAAAAAAAAAACUAAAAAAAAAGUUAAUUUAUCUUUGAUUAAUCAAGUUUCUAUUUCAACUUAACUUCUAAUUAGGUCCCUGUACUGAAUCAAUUUGUUCAAUAUGAACCAUAUAUGAGUGAUUUUGCUGACAUCAUUGAGUAAAUUGUAAGUGAUACAUUUUUUUUUAUCUCUUUGACCCCUAUACUUUUUUAUUAUUUUUAUUUUUUUAUUACAUAAAGAAUUAUUGAAAUUAUAAAAAAAUUAAAGAUAGAAAAAAUUCUAAAAAUUGAAGGUAUCUUUUUAUAUAUAUAUAACUUCAUUAAUUGCUUUCUAUAAUAAAAAUAAAAAUAAAACAUGACUAACUAGAUCAACAAGAUCAAAGAACACAUGUUUUUUUUAUUAUACAAUUUAUUCUCACUAAUGGAGAACUCGCAUUAAACUAAUUGUUUCAAUACAGGAAUCCAAUUAACAUUUAAAUUGGCUUAAGAACUGGAUUAAUCAAUUGCUCAUAAUACAAGGACGACACUGAUUGUUAAUCCAAAAAAAGAGAGAAAGGAAUGUGAUGAAAUGAUUAUAAAUCAAGUAAGCUUGUGUGAUAUUUGUUUGUUUUUAAUUUUAUUUAAUUAAUUUUAUGUGUGUUUAUUUUUAUUAUCAUUUAAUUAAAUAAAAAUUAAUUUUUGUGAACAAAGUUGUUAAACACAACCAUGUCGAAGAUCCGAGUUGCGAAGCCAAACAUUUUGGAUUUUGGUCUAUAUUUAACUUUCAAUUUUUAAUUUUCAUCUUUAUUUAUCAUUAAUGACUUCUUAUUUAUUUAUUUAUUUAUUAACACACAUAGUUCUCAAUUUAUUUUAUUAGAUGUGUACAUAUCAUUUUUUGAUAUCUUAUUUUAAUUGUUUUUAUAUAAAAGAAUGCGUUGAAAAAGCCUACAUAUUUAUUAUUUUAGGAAAACAAAAUUCAACUUGCAGCGGAGCACAGAUGAAAUAGCUAGUGAUAAAAGUCCUAAAUUAAAAAAUUUAAAAGACUUCAAUAACAACUCCUGUGAUUCAGGAUGGUUGUAAAGUAAUGCACUUUAUAGAUAAUUGGAGCCUGGAACGAAGAGUUGUUGUUCAGUCAAUUAGGCAAAUCAAAGAGUUGUUGUCUGAUCAAGUUAUUGGGACACAACCAAUAUAGCAAGACCAAACAUCUACUGCUUGGUUAAGUUGUUGGGUCAUAGGCCUAAACAAACAUGAUUGACCAAUUGUUGUCUAGUUAAGUUAUUGGGCUAGAGGCCUAAAAAGCCAAGACCAAACAAUUGUUGUUCGGUCGACUAGUUAGGCUAAAAGCCCAACCAUCUAAUAAAAAGGAAGGAGAGUGCUAUUCAGGCCGAGGAUAAAAGAAAGGAAGAGAAUAGAUCAACCUAAAAAUCAAGAGAAGAGAGAGAAAAAAGAGAAAGGAAGGAAAAUUCAUCAGAGCAUCAUCGUGGCUCUAACAAAGACACAUAUCACACCUCAAGGAAGAGCUUAUAGAUAUGAAUCCAAUGGCACCAAGAAAGGCAUUCAUCAGUGUUGCAACAAUAAUAUGCUCGCCAAACAGAUUUUCCUCCUUUGCUUGGAUUCAAUCCUUAAUUUUUCAACAACUCUUCAAUUCAAUCUCCAAAUUAGCUUAACCAAAAAGCAUGGAAGGAAGAAUCAAAUUAAUUCCCUAAUUCUUCAAUUCACCCCCAAAUUAACCCUAAUUAGACAAUACACAAAGAAUCGAAGGAGAGAAGAAAAACAGAGAGAAAGUAUAUAAUAUCAUGCAUGUGCUUACACGCCACAACCACCUACCAAUACUAUGUGGCACCCAUAAAUGAUUCUGCAUUUCACAAGCUAUCAAUGCAUGCACAUAAAUUAUCUAUACGAUGUUUAUCCUUUCUCACAAAUUAUCAAUACAAUGCCUACCUUAUACCAUAACAACAUCUAUUUGUCCACAAAUUGAUAGUGCGACGCUUACAUGGAUAACCGGUUUUACAAGUUGUCUAUAUGGUAAAGGUAGUUAUUCUUCAUGGUUACUCUGACACUGUAUAUCUAUAGCUUCACACUUCACGAGGCAAUUUCAUGUGACUUGAGGUGUAUAAAGACCUCAGGUCAUAAAGUAACCACACAAACAACAAUACAAAACCACACACAAUAAUCAUAACAUUCACUCUCUUAUGUUCUUGUUCUCUUUACUAUACAUUAUUUUUUUUCUUACGCGUUUACUAACUUAGACAUCAAAGGGUCUCUUAUCCUAAAAAGAAAUUUGUUUCGUAGGAGUUCUUGUGCUACUGGCCUAGCUCAACUUAGAAAAACAAAAUCUCCAAAACCUAUUAUACUAGUUCUGAAAAGUUCUAAAUUCAUUUUGAAGUUUUUCAGACUUCGUCAGUAUGCAUAACAAUUUUAUAACACAAGUUAUAUCAUGAAUAAACACUUGGAAAAAUAAAAUGAUGUACAAUCAUGUCAUUUUCCUCAUUCAUGAUCCUUUUGAGAUCCUACUUUUAGCAAUAAAAAAAUAAAAGCUUUUUUACUUAAAGAGUGAAAAGAAUAGAGUACAUAACUUAUAAUCCUAGAACUUUAAAAAGAAAAACUAAUAGUUGACUUUUUGUAUUCACCAAAAUUGAAACUUCAAAUAUUCAUUGGGUUAGAAAAAUAAUGAAUUCCAAAGGAUUCAUGGAGAGGAGAGACAUUUAUUUAGAUGUUACAUGUAUACAUCUAAUUAGUAAUAAUCAAGACAAAGUUCAUCAUUUUGGUAUUGUAUCAUUACAAAUUCACAAUGAGUUAUUCUAAAAUUUAAGAAUACUUAAAUAUUUAAUGCUAUAUAUUAUCUAUAACUCUAAAAUAAAUAGGGUUCAUUAUGGUACUUCACUAUUCAUAUGAAAAGUGAAGCACUAUAAGUUUUUUCCUAUUUUUUUUUACAUCCUUCAACGGUCAAAUUAGAUGGAAUUAAUAUUGAAAUUAUGGUAUAAGUACUAAAUCAAAAGAAAAGGGGCUAAACUAUAAUAUAUCCAGAAAAAUAGGUUUGAUCCUAAAUUUUUAUUAAUGUUUAUUUUGAUCCACAAGUUUAUCUUAUUUGUUUUUGGGUCCUUAAAUGAGAGAGAGAGUGCAUCACUGGAAAAUAGCGGCAGAGAGAGAAAGAGAUUAGUUGUCGUAAUUCUAGUCUUAAAAAUGAUCAAUUUUAGUGUGCAAUUGUUUCAUUUGACUAGAGGAGUUGGGUGGUUUUGAUUAUUGGCAUUCAAAUUUAUUGAAAAGUAGAUCACGCCUAUAAAAGAUGGAAUUGUGGGUUGAUUCUUUGUUUUGUGACUAAUUAUAGACAACUUUAAGGGAAUAAGUGAGUUUAGUGAGUUGCGUAUGAUAUUUUUUAUGUGUUCACAUGUCAAAUAUUUGUUGAAAAUGAGUUGUUUGGUCCAAAAACUAAAAGAGAGAUUCUACCUAGUUUUUCGCCAUUUGGUCUACUAAAAACUGGCACGUGAACGAUGUGUCAUCCGUCUCAACAGACGAUGCAUUUCCUGUGUUAAUUUUAAUUAAAAGGCCUUAAUUUUAUUUUAUUUUAUUUUAUUUUUUUUAAAAAAGCAAGGCUAGGCACUUAGAUCUAACCUACUACUGAGAAGGUAAGCGUUGGGCAUAACCGGGUUCGUAAGCUUUUAUUUUGUAUUGCUUGAACUUGUUGUUCAUCCACUACAAAAGUAAAAAUAAUUAGGGCCCAAACACGUGGAUUUGGGUAAGACCCACGUGCCUAGGCUACUUAGAGUUGCACCAAGAGCUUUCUUUGGUUUUUUGGCUCUUUACUUUUUUUUUUUAUGUUUUUAUUUGGUUUUCAAUUUUAUCCUUAAAUGUAUGGUUUUUACUUAAUGUUUUUUUUGUUUUUUUUUUAGUAUUAUCCUUUGAUUUAGUGUUGAUUUGGAAUUGUUUUAUUUAAUCAUAUAGCUAAAAAUUUAAAAAUUAAUUGAACCCAAUGAAGUUUAUGAAUCGGUUCACAGAUUUCACUGUCUAGUCCGAACUAACCUGGUUCCUAUUGGUUUUUGUUGCUUUGAUUUUAUGUUCCAUUGAAUAUAUUAAAUCUAUAAAGUCAUGUAAAUACAACUUUUACGUAAUUAAAUUUAAAAUCACAUUUAAAUAAAAAAUUCAAGUUAUAAAUGCUCAAGUUGGAACCGUUGUAUUAGUUUCAAUGAUAAUAUCAAAACAUUUCGGGCUAGAUACACAUUUACUAACUAAAUUAAUUUAAUUCCCUAACACAACCAUGGAAAUGAAAUCCCUGUCGCAGUCUUUUAUUUAUUUAUUUAUAGUCGCAGCCAAUCUAAACAAGACAAAAUGGUCUGAAGUGUAAGUGUGUGUGUGUGUGUGUUAUUUUAUUUUUUUUCGUUUUUUCCGUUACUUGAGAAAAAUUUUCAUAGCUGGAGAAAGGUGAGUCUUGGAGCCCAAGGACCAAGGUUCAUGCACUAUUAUCAACUUGGGCUAACGUAUGCGUAUACGGUAUUUGGCGGGAAAUUUCGGGGACAAAUAGGAGGGAUGGUGUCUUCAAUCGCCACGCCACGUGUAAGAAAGCCAACAUCCUGCAUACGUGUCGCCAAUCAAUAGAAUACUUACCCAAGAAGCUUUCUUGCGGCUCACAAGUUAACAAAUGCGAGAAGGCAGAACUUAUUUCCUCUUUAUUUAUUAUUCAGUAUUCAGUAUUCACAGUUGCGUCAUACUCAAGCUCUACUCAUAACCAAGGUUAUAUCUUCGAUAGGUAGACGAAAAAAAACAUAAAAAAACGCAGAGCGUUUCUGGGGAGUGAAACAGAGAGAAAGCAGAGUGAGAAAGGACUUAACUGAAGGAGGGUCUACAGAUGGAGAUGAAGCUGAAUUCAGGCGAGAUCGGAACCAAGACAGAAGCAUGGUUCAAACCCAAGAAAGGGAGUGUUUUUCCCAAGGAGAAGAGGUCAGUAAAGAGAAUGAUGUUUGAUUAUUUGGUUCAAUCUGUUGGUUCUGUUUGCUCUCCCUGUUUCUUUUCGUCCCGGCGUGGAGCCAGCUCCCAUCAAGAGAACAAGGGUUUAUGCUGCAGAAAGAUCGUUUCGCCCUCAAAAGUAUCAAAUGCGGACUGGGUUUGAUGACCUCUUGGUUGAUUUGUUGUAGUUUUUGAUACUUUCAAAUCUAUUGCUCGGAACAUAAUUAGGAGCUUAAAUGCCAUAGAUAUGUGUUUUAGUUUUAGAUAGGCUAUUAAUAAAUUGUCAGUGAUGUACUUUUCUCACGCAUAAACACAUGUUAAUUCAUUUCUUUGAUUCAUGUGGGUUUAUUCUCAUUUAUGAUGUUGUGCGCAUUAAUUGCUUGUUAUUGCCAUCAAUAACCAAUCCAUCAACAGGGGAAAACUAUUUCCACUUCAAUCCUCCGGCAAAACCCAGUUUCAAGCAGCCGUAUAUUUACCAACGCCACACCAGGCACAGCGCAAAGCACAUCCAUGGGGGGAAAAAACGAAAGAAUUCCCACCAAAACUUGAGUAUUUUUCAAAACCCCAGAAACCCAAGUUCAUAAAACUGAAUGAAAUCCUGAAAGUAUUUCUGGGGAAUAGAACUGGAAAGCCUUCAGUUAAGUUCCAUAGCAGUAACAACAUGAAAUAUUUUCCACUUACAUUUGAGUGCCGCAAUUUUGGAUAAACAAUGAAAAAAAAGGAAAAAAAAAUUCAGACUGUAGAAGUAAAUGACGUCAUAGUCGAGGUUCGGUACAAGUGCAAACUAGUUGGCAGUGGCACUACUUCGAUUAGGAAAAUAUAUUUCGGAGGGCCCCAGGGGGUCAAGUAAUUUGCUGCCGGCCGUGGCGAUGGAUCUUUCAUAAGUUUGAUAUUAUCCUCUCGAUUUACUUUUAUAAUAAACGAUGAAAAGUAUUAAUUCACAAAAACUAAUUCAGGUCGGAGAAUACUGUAGUAAUGAACAGUGUUUUUCCUCAUUUUUUCAUAGGCACAUAUUAGAGAUUGGCAAAUUGAUUAGGAAUAAAUGUGACUUUUGACUUCCAUAGUUAAAUGAUUUAAUUAAUUUUACAACAAAAAAAAACAUUAACUUGUAUCCUUAUAUUUUAGAUAUUUUCAUUUUAUAUGCGAAUUUAAAUUACUCUUCUAUCCUAGAAAAAGACAAAAAUAAAGCUUCUUUCCUAAGGUUUUUCCACCUAGUAUUUUUGUUAUAAUUAAGUUGGUUUUGAGCAAUUCAACCUUUCAUAAAUAUCAAAUAUUAAUAAAAAAGAAAGAAAAAGGAAGUUAGUCAAAGUAUGUGAGUGUCCUAUUAUUUAUAUUGCAUAUCCAAUUUAGUCAUUAUUUUUUUUAUUACUAUUUAUUUUGUUUUUUAAUCUUCUUUUGAUUGAUUUUUUUUUAAUUCCAUCCCUUAUCAUUAGGUUUUAAUUGAUUUUUAUUAAAUUUGAUUCUUAUUCUUUUGAUAUUCUUAAAUCCUUAUACCAAUUAAAGUUUUUUUUUAAUUACAUCCCUCAUCAUUUGAUUUCAAUUUUUUUCAUGUUGAAUUUUGCCCUAAUUGUUUUUAUUUGUUUUGGGUCCUUUUUUUAUUGCAUUUGUUUUUUCAGAUUUCAUUUCUCAAUAUUGUUUUUAUUGAGCCACGAGCUUUAAAAGUUAAUACAGGUUGACUUUAGUCUUUUCUAAGUCCUUUUAUAAAAAUAUUUUUUAAAAUUUUAUCUUUCAAUAUUUGAUUUUUGUGGAUUUGGUCUUCAUGAUUUUGCUUUUGCUUUUCUUUUUAUAGGAUUAUCCAAAUAUUAUACUCAUGAUAACGAGGUUGACAAGUUAACUCAAUUUUUUUUGUUGCUUUUUAGAUUUUUUUUAAAUUUCAUACCUCAAUAUUUUUUAUUGAGAAUUUUUCUUCGUUGUUUUUUUGGGUUUUCCUUUUGCGUGAUUAUCCCCAACCUCAUAACUAUAAUCAUGAGUUUUAAAGGUUAACACUAGUUAACUUUGGUCUUUUUUACUUCCUUUUUUUUUAACAAAUUAAUUUCAUCGUCCAACAUUUAUUUUUUAGGAGUUUCUCUUUGUGCUUUUUUUUUAAUUUCAUUUCUAUAGGGUUAUCCCAAUCUUGUUUCCAAGGUCGAGGGGUUAGCUUAUUCUUUUAGGUUUUCCUUCUGCGUGGUUAUCCAUAGUAUCAUGACCACAUUCAUGAGUUUUAAAGGUUAACACUAGUUAAAUUUGGUCUUUUUUUACGCCCUUUUAAAAAAAAAAUUCAUCAUCCAACAUUUAUUUUUUAGGAGUUUGUCUUUGUGCUUCUUUUCAAUUUUAUUUCUAUGAGGUCAUCUCAAUCUUGUUCUCAAAAUCGAGGGGUUAACAAGUCAACCCUGGUUGAUUCAGGUAUUUUGUUUUCCCUUGGUUUCUUUUAGAAGUUUCAUGCCUUGACAUUUUUUUUAGAGUUUUCCUUCCUUGUUGUUUUGGGGUUAACUUUUGAGCGUUAAGUCUUGCUUUCAUGAUCAAGUUCACGAGUUUCAAAAGUUAACACGGGUUGACUUUGGUCUUUUUUAGGUCUUUUUUUAAAUUUAAUUUUUUCUUCAAUUUCAUCUUUCAACAUUUAAUUUUUUAGGAAUUGGUCUUCAUGCUUUCUUGUUUUAGUUUUUCUUAUAUGGGGUUAUCUCAAUUAAGUGUCCAUGGUUACAAAGUUAGUGGGUUAACACAGGUUGACCCAAUUUUUUUUGUUUUUUUAAUUAUAUUUUUUAUUUUAAUCAUUCAAGAUCGGUUUGUUUUAUAGUUGACUUUCAUGGUUUAAUUCAGUUCGUUUUCAUUUGUGAUUUUUUUUACCUUUUAUUUGCAUAAAUAAUCGUUUAAUUAUAUAUAAAAAAAAAUAUUCCAUGAAACAUAGUUAUUAAACACAUUUUAGUACAUGACAUGUGUUGCGAAUGUUUUUUCAAUUUCAUCCUUUUAUAUUUAAAUUUUUUUGGAUUUAUUUAUGGUUUUUUUUUCACUUUUCUUUUUGAGGUUAUCUGAAUUAUGUGUCCAUGGUCACGAGGUUAGCGUGUCUACGCAGGUUGAUCCAAGUCUUUUUUUUUGUUGCUUUUUUUUAAUUAAUGUUUUUUUUUCAGUUUCAACGUUCAACAUAGGAUUAUGACUCUCUUUUUUACCUUUUAUUGGUGCAAAUGGUUGUUUCUCUAAAGGAAGAUAAUAUUUCAGGAAAUAUAGUUGUUAAACACAACUAAGUACAUGAUCCGUGUUGCGGGAUCAAAUAUCUUAAUUUUAGUUAUCUCUUAAUCAAAUAUCAAUUUAAUUAAUCAGAUGUGUAUAAAAAUUUUGAUUUGUGAUUGAUAAUUUUUUUAUAUCUAAAAUUACAUUAAAAAAAAACAUGUAUAUUUAUUUUUUAUUAAAAAAAAUAACCACCCUGCGGCGUUGCGCGGGUAUAAAACUAGCACUUACUAAUGUUAUAUGGCUUACUUUAAUUUUGUAUACCACUUAUUUUUUAGUUUGGUGUCUCACCUUUGAGUUUUGAGCUAGGUUUUAUGACUAUGUCUAAUGACAGCCACUAAUACCAUGAUUUCUUCCUCCUUCAAAACUGGUGCCCCUCAUUAAUUAAAAGUAAAAACGAUGAACUAUUGUUAUUGUUAUUUAAUCAUUUGGAAAAAUUAUUAUUGCUUAAUUACACUAAUAUUUUACUUUUGUAUAGUUCUACACAUGCUCUAACUAGCGAGACAAAACAUGCAUACAUCGAAUAAUUACACAUUCUCUUAUCAUAAUAGAGCUUAUAAAAUGAUGCCAUAUCAUGUCCAUAUAUAAAAAUGACCCUCGUGAUGUUAUCCUCUCCACUCAACAAGAAAAUAUCAGCCUUAUUUCCAUGCAAAUUAUUAUGGCUCAUAACUAUAUAAAAGUCAAUGAAUCAACAAGUAAAGGGUUCCAAUCUAUGAGUUUGCUUCUCUUACAACUUAUCUACUAACACGCACAACAUAGCCUCAAAGGCUUUCCUCCUCCAACAUUUGUGUUAACUUAAGUAUUAGAAGGUCCCUCAUGCCCAACAUAGGGCUUGUUUUUAUAGUUGUUCGUGAAAUUCUAGACCAGCAACCUUAAUCUUUCAAUCUAUCCAUCAAAUGAGGAAAUACAUAGAUUUUUUGGGAUUUUCUUCAAAUCUAGUUAAUGGCGUUAUUUGUGAGAAACUGAAAAAAAGUUAGUUUGUCCCUUUUUUCUAUAUAUUUUCAAGUGAUUUCCAUUAUUAGCAACCUAAAAACACCAGGAUAUAAGAGAGUUACAAAUCUUUCCACUAUAUGCUUUUUGUUAACUUCUUCAAAUCUGUAACAACUUACCCGGCUAGUGAGAAUGCUCACUAAAACCCUUUUAGCCAUACAAGAGCAAUUAAAGGUCUUGUCUCUUCCACAACAGGUGGCUCCUUUACAAGCACCACUAUCUAAUGUAUGUAGACAACUUUAGUUUGAGAAAGAGGUAGGCCACAACGAAGUGCAAAAGAGCACCACUACUCUCAUAGCCAACACAAAAGCAGCUCUCAUAGCCAUGAAAGGCAUUCUCUAAUCAUCACAUUUCUCAAGAGAUCACAUUCCCCCUCAGAAUCAUGUUUUUCUUAUAAUCUAGUUCACCAAAGAAUCACACCCUACUAGAAAUAUCUAUGAUAAAUCGCCAAGCAUGGUCUCCAUGAAAACAAAAACCUAUGUGCUAAAUAAUUAUAUGGACUCGCUAGGUAGAUUUCUUCAUAUAACUCCUUAGCUUGACUAAGAGAACACCUCUACUCAGGUAUAAUGUAAUCUCUAUAAAACAUUUGCCUUGCAAUAUUUUAUCCUUAUGACUUCAAGAUAACACAUUUAUCUAGGUAUAAUGUGAUCUCCAUAAAAUAUGAUCAGACAAUAUUGUCUCCAUAUGACUCUCUAACCUAAGAGAGACAACACAUCUACCUAAGUAUAACAUGAUCUUUAUAAAACAAGCACCAUGAUGUAUAUUCUUCAUGUAAAUCUCCAACCUCGGUGAGAGAACAUAUUUGCUAGAGUAUAAUGCGAUUGUCAUAAAAUAUUCGUUAUGAUAUUUUCUCCAUGUAACUCUCCAAACCCGAUAAAAGAGAAAUUUUUAAAUACAAAGACAUUUCUUUAACAUGGGUAGAAGACAUAACUUUGUCCAUGGGCAAAGCAUUCUCCACAUAAGUGGAAAGUAUAAUUUUGUUAGGACACAAAAGUAACCUAGAAGGUAUUUUAUCUAUGUAACUCUCAAACUUAAGUGAGAGAACACCUCUAUCCAUGUACAACUUGAUCCCCAUAAAAUAUUCAUCAUAAUAUUUUCUUUAUCUAACUCUUCAACUCGGGUAGAAAGCAUAACUUUGUUUAGGGGCAAACCAUUAUCCAUUUGGGUGCAAAGCACAAUUUUGCUAAGAUACAAAGAUAGUCUAUGUGGUAUUUUUUUCAUGUAACUCUUUAACCUAGGUAGAAGACAUAACUUUUUUUUAGUAUAAAAACAUUUAUGUAACCCCAGAAAAAGGCAUAACUUUGUCCAAAUACGAAGCAUUCUCAACCCAGGUGCAAAGCAUAAUUUUUUUUUUCAAAUACAAAGAUAGCCUUCAGCUCAGGCACAAAGUGGAUUUCCAUGUGUUGCUCUUCAUGAAAUUGGCUUCGUACAAUAUUCACUAAAGACUCUCUGUAGGUGGCUCUCUAUAAGUUGUAUAAAAACACUCUCAAACUUGAGCAAGAUUUGCCCUUGUAUAACAUGAUUUUCAUGAGACAUGCACCAUGUGUUUCUUUAUAUAACUCCAACCUAGGUAAGAGAACACUUUGACCUAGGUAUAAAAGGUCUUCAUGACAUUUCUCUCCCCGAAUACUAUACAAACUCUAUUAAGGUACGUGGAUGACUUAACCCAAACUCAAACCUUUCUUAACUCUAGAUACAAGAUAUACCUUUGCAAUGGUACUAAAAUAUUUUCGACCUUGAACAAGAAGGGUCCCCAUGAAAUGUAUCUACCGAAAUACAAUAUAAUCCCCAUUCAAAUAUCUUUUAUGUUAUAAAAUUAAAUUAGCUUGAACGCAAUGGCAUUCUCCAGCUACUAUACAAGGAAUAACUUUGUCCAAGUGCAAAGAGUUUUUGCAUAAUAUAUAUAAGACUGCUUCUCCAUGUGUAAUCUCCAUGCAUAAUAUUCAUGUGUAAUCUCCAUGAAAAUUUACAUGACAAAUUACCAAGUCUAAUCUUCAUAAAAUUUUUUCCAUAUAAUCUUUGUGAAAUAUUCAUCAUGAUAUUUUCUCCACCAAACACUCCAUACUAAACAAUAGAGGAUACUACAUGUUCUAUAUUCUCCAUUCAAGCAAGGACAAUAACUAACUUGCAUACAAUGGUUUCUAAAACAAAUCUGAAAAGAUAACCUAACUCAUACAAGAUAUAGAUAACACCUCCUUCGAAGCUAAAGUAACAUUAGUCUUGAACAAUUAACAAGGAGUCAUCUUGCCUAGAUAUAAAGAUUUUCACCCUCUAGUAUAGGAACUCACCUUGUCUAUGUAUACAAGUACACACCUUGCCCAAGUAUAAAUAAAAUGAUCCUCCAUAGUUGUGUGGUUUACACCAUGUCCAGGUAAAGACACUAAACCAUCUAAUACAAAAGGUUAUCAUAAAAACAUUUUAAGGUCAUCCUAGAUAGCUUCUUAGCCAUUUAGAAAAAAAAAAAACCCUUCGCUAAUCAAAUAAAAUGGUUUGACAAUUUAGACACCCCAGUUUGAUCAAAUCAUAUGUACAAGAAAAUCAUUUUGUCCAAACCUAAGUGUGUCUCACUUUAAAACAAAGGGGCAACUGAUGAGGAUGCGUCCCUCGGGCAGAUGAUGCCUGGACUUGGGACGCCAAACCUCCCCUCUUCUUUAGAUGACCGAACCGAUCUCAUUUCCCCCUUCUUGGUGGAUCGACUAUGUGUCCCCUCUUCAUGGUAAACUAACCUCGUGUCCCAUCUUCUUGGUAGACCAAUCUCAUAUCUCUUGUAUUGACCACUCGUCCCUCCAAACUAGUUAUACAUCCUCCUAGACUAUUUAUGAUUGCACAUCCCUUUGGUCAAUCGUGUGUCCCUUUAGACUAACUGUACAUCCUUUCGAUUAACCAUACGCUCUUAUAGAUAAGGUUUAUAUCCUCUAAUCCAAUCACUACACUCUAGGUGCUCUACCCUCUAGUUAAACCUAGAUUACUUGCUACCAACUAUAGAGACAAAAUGCACACAUAUUAAAUAUUCACAAGUACUCCUACCAUAAUAGAUAUUAUAUAAUGGAAUUACGGAAUGCUCAUACAUAAGAUUGACCCUUAUGAUGUCAUACUCUCCACUCAAUAAUGAAUUACUUGCCUUAUCUCUCCAUACAAGGUAGUGUAGCUUAUGAUUGUAUAAACAUCUAUAAGAAUAGAUAAAUGGUUCAAAUAACACAACCUCAAAGUCAUCUCUCCUCCAACAUUUGAGCUAACUUAACCAUCAUAAGGUCUUCUCACAUGCAAGUGUUCGUGAAACCCAACUUUAGAAGCUUCAAUCUUCCUAUGAAAGACCUUGAUCUUUUUCUUCAAACUUGGUAAUUUUGUUGUCUUCUUCAAACUUGGUAAUUUUGUUAUCGAGAAUAAAAAGUUAUGAGGUUGACAAUUGGGUAUUAAUGAGAGUGAGUCGAAUUAAUAUGGAAAUGAUUAGUAAUUGGUAAAGAAAGGCUUCAAUUCCAAUUUCAACGUAAUAAUAUUUCAUAUACUCAGGAGUCAUUUAAUUGGCUUAAAACCAAUCAACAUGAAUUUCAAUGAAUUAAAGAUAGACCUACGAUAUACACGCAAAGAAAAAUAAUUUGUACUCCUAUAUUAGAACAUGUACUAAAAAAUAGAAAAUAACUAGUAUUUAAUAAUUCAUCAUUAUUGUAUCAUCAACACUCAUUAGCAAAAUCCAAGACCAGCUCCACCAUUUUUACAAAGAUGCUCAAAUUUUGAUGGGUGUUUUUUUUUAAAUAGCAUACUGCUAAAAAAAUAUUUAACGAAAUAGUACAUUCCCAAACUUAUCUGUAAAAAUACCAUGAUUUAAAUAUCUUUUGGGAAAAACAUAACUAUUUAUCAAAGAUUGUUCCAUUAUUUGUUUUUAUAAAAAAUCAUUUAAAUAAAAUAACUAAAAUUAUUUUCUAAGAGAUUAUUCUAUUAAAUGACAUUUAACUCUUAAUUUGUUUUCAAAUGAGAUUAUGAUUUUAUUUUUUAUGAUAUAAGCAGAUGCUCUUUUUAUACAAGCCUUCAUGAUUGUUUUUUUCUUUCAAGUUUAAUCAAGAUUAGUUAAGUAAAAUGGGUUGAAAUUUUUUUUAGAUAAUAUUUCAUUAGAUAUCAAUCAAUUUAAUAUUUAUCUUUAAAUGAAAUUGUAAAAUAUAAAGGUAUUUAAUUUUAUUUAGAUCAUAAUAAUGGAACUAAAGUUAACUAAAUAUAAAAUUUGAGGACUAAAUUGCAAUAGGCAUAAAAGAAAGAAGAAGAAACGAGUUGGCACAACAAAUGAAGUAGGAGGGAGAAAAGAAAACGAAAUAAAGAAUGAGACAUUAAAGACACAUUAAAGCUCUGAUAAUGACAUCCUUAAGAUCAUCUAAAAGAUCUCGAAGAGAUGAAUUCAUAAACACUAAGAUAACCAACUUUGAAGUUUGCGGUGAGCCAUAUGCGUCGUCUAAAUGUGGUGGCAAGCUCACUUGUUGGCGCGUGUAACUCAAGCAGCAACACCAAAACAAUUUAAUUUGUUGGCGUGUGUUUCAAUGGCGUCAUCAACAAAAAAAAAUGAUAUACUAGUACUUGUAUCACAUGUGCCAGCAAAAAAAAAUGAAAUUGAUAAGAGAUACAGGUUUAAAGGUGGGUAAUAUGUGAAACUUGCACCUCAAAUUAAAUUAUGUUAUGCGUGUAACUCAAGCAGCAACACUAAAACAAUUUAAUUUGUUGGCGUGUGUUUCACAGGUGCCAUCAACAAUAAAAAAAAAAGAUAUAUUGGUACUUCUAUCACACGCACCAACCAAAAAAAAAUGAAAUUGAUAACAGAUGCAAGUCUAAAGGUGGACAAUAUGUGAAACUUGCGCCUCCACUUAAAUUAUGUUAUUUUUACAAAUAAGUUUGGAGUUGUAUUAUUUUGCCAAAUAUUUUUUUGCCACUUUACUAAUUAAAAAAAUAUCAAAAUUUUCAAAUUAUAAUUGACAUCUCAUAAAAUUUUUAAUGACACAAAUGACAGAGUCAUGCAUUCAAGUAAUUUGAGCGGUGAAAAUUAAGAGAUCAUGUAAAUGGAAAAAUCAACCAUUAUCUUUUAUGACAAAUUGACAAGUAUAUAUAUGACCAUUAUAAGGAUGGGAACGAAAACACGAACAAUGACUAAUCAAAUGUCACAUUUGAUAGCUAACAAACAAGAUCCUUAGCGCACGCUAUACUAUGAGUUAUAUUAUUUGUUUUAUAUGAAAGAAAAAAAAUAUAAAAGCAUUCCAAACGAUGUAGAUUGGAUAAUACCUUUUAUAGCUAUUUAGCCAGUGAUAUAUUGGACAACAUAUUUCUAAUUAUUGAUACAGUGGUAUAUUAGAUUGAUAUGGGCAGUUGUGGUCAAAUCUGUAAAACUCACAACUCGAGUUGAAACAAUGAUAAUAUCAUAUAAAACAAAUCAAAAUAAAUUAUGAAAGUCAAUUUUCAAUCAACACAAUUACAAGUGACAAAAAUGAAAAUAAAAGGCCAAAAUAGGGUGACUUGCGUCAACCUGCGUAAACCUACUAAACCUACGAUCUAAAUCAUAAGAACGGGAUAAACACAUAUAAAAAAAUUUAAAAAAGAUUCUAAAGCCUAAUUCUCAAUCAACCCAAUGUUGAAGGAAGAAAUUGAAAAAAAAAAAACCUAAAAAUGACAUAAAGUCCGAUUCUCAACUAACUCAAUGUUUUAGGAUGAAAUUGUAAAAAAAAAAAAUUAAUCUAAAAAAAUGACUAAAACACUUGAGUCAACCUCGAUUAAGUUGCAAAACCUACAAUUUAGAUCAUGAAACCGGGAUAAACACAUAGAAAUGUUUUUUUAAAAAAAUAACAAAACCCAAACCCCAACUAACCAAUUGUUGAAAGGUGAAAUCAAUUUUUUUUUUAAAAAAAAGUGCACUAAAAAGAAAUGAUUCAAGAUAACUCGGGUUAACUUUUUAAACCAAUGACUGGGGUUGUGAAACAAAGAUUACCCCAUAGAAAGAAAAAUAGAAAUGUUAAAGGAUAAAAUUAAAAAAUAGUCAAAUUUUAAAAAGAAGACAGAAAAAAAUAACAAUAAAAAGAAUGAGAACUAUAAUAAAUAUAAAAGAAAAUUAACAAAACAAGAUAUAAAACUGAAAUUUCAUCGACAUAUUAUAUAGACCCAAUUCUAUAGUCAUUCAGCUAUUAUAAUCAGUUGAGUUUGGUAUCAUAUUUAAAUUAGAUCUAGUAGUUGUUUUUCUUUAUUUUUGUAGUUAUUUUCAUAUUUAUUUUCUAGUUGGGUUUCAAAAUUUUAAUUUUAUUUAAAUUUAAUUAGCUAGGACAUUAAUAUCUAUUUAAACAGUUUACAAAUUAUUUUCAAAAAAAUUAAAUAUUAUUGAGUUUUAGAACAUAUUAAAUAGAUUUUUCUACGAUAUAGGAUUGUAAAGAGGAAUUCGAGCUCUAUCUAUUCAUAAUAAAUUAUAAAGUAUCAUUCAGCAGGCUAGAGUAAUAAAUUAAAAUGUCUCAAAAUUGAACCAGGCUAUCACGUUCGAGGAAACAAGCUGCCCUGUCACAUCUUUAUGCAGAUGUGAACACGACUUGCAGCAUUUUCAGAGUGGGAACGAAACAAGAGUGGAAAAACCACCUGUGUAUCAACAGCUUGUGAAGCUAGCAACUCUCUUUAGCACUCUUUAAAACUCAAGAUGCAUGAAGAUCUGGGUCCCUUUGCCUUUUAAUUUCAAGAUAUACUGGAAUGAUUAACUGGAUCUUCCUUUUAAAAAAAAUAAUAGUACAUGAAUUCAGAGUGAUGAUUGAGAUUUAAUAAUUAUUAAACCAAAAAAAACAUUUCAAUCUAAUAAUUUAAGUUGUUAGGUGAAAUCUUAAUAGAUAAUUUAUAUUAAAGCUUAAAACUUGUAUAGGUUCAUAUUAUCUUGUGUUUAUUUUUUAUCAAAUAAAUGAGUAUGGUGAGAUACAAACUCGUGAUCAUUUGGUCAUUAAAAUUCUAAUACCAUGUCAAAAAACCAGUUCAACCCAAUAACUUAAAUUAUUAAGUGAGGUUCGAGACAUGAUUUAUAUUAUUUUAUAGGAAAAUAAAUAAAAAACUGUUUGUAGUUGUAACUAUACUAUCCAACAAAAGCAUAUGAAUUCAGAGUGAUGAUUAAAAUGAAUUCCCGUGGAAAUUGAAAAUCUAAAAAAUUUGAAUUAUAAUUCCCUUUUCUAACGAUCUUCAAGAACCUUGUCAGGAUUGAAGUUGCAAGGAUGGUUCAUAGAAAUGGACUUAUUAGCCAAUAGCAUGGGAAUUAAUUUAGAGUUAAACUGAAAACGCCUUGAAUUAUCUUCACGCGUUUUCGUGCGAAAUGACUACUUUAACCUCAAACCACGACCGCACUAGUAGAUAAAGGAAAAGGAUGGCACAAAUUUACUAUUUAGCUGGCCUCUUAAAUAUAUUAAUUAUUAUCCUGCAUUCUAUCUCACAAUCUCGCCGUGAAUUUUGUAUUGAAAAAAUGUUUUUUAACAAGACAUUAAAGAGAAAAACUAAAACGUGUGAUAUAAUCAUUUGACUCUGGUGUGUGUUUAUAUAUAUUUGUUUAUUGUGGAUUAUAAUAGUAAAAUUAUAAUUGAAAAAACUCUAGAUUGUUAUUUUUUAAAGGGUAAAAUGAUAUUUCUAUUUAUUUAUUUGUCACUUGAUAAUUGUUCGGGGAUAUUUUUGUCUUUUCAGUAUGUUUUUACACAGUAAAAUAACUUAGUUACCCUUAAAAACAAAAAAAAAUCAUUUAACUCUGGUUAAGAGUCUUUUUCAGGCAUUUCACUUUCUUAAUAUACAGUAAAAUAAUAAAUUUGACCUUGGGGUUAAAAAAAUUAAGCCAUUAACACAGGGGUAUUGGUGUCUUUUUGUAUCUAUUUUAUUUUAAUUUCAAUUUACUAUAUGAUAUUAAUUAUUAUUUGCAAGAAGAGUAAUAAUUUAAAUUCAAUUGAAAUGAAAUAAUUUUCUAUAAAUAUUCCUCAUUUUCUUAUUAAUAUAUUUUUGUAAAAAAAAAAAGUUUUUCUGAUCCAGGUCAUGAGUUUAUGAGUUAACUCGAAUAAACUUGAGUCGUUUUAUUGUAUUCUUUUUUAGAUUGAAAUUUUUUCCAUUUCAUCUUUCAACAAUGAAUUUAUUAAUAAUUGAGCUUAAUAUUUUUUUUAGAUUUUUUUAUAUGGGUUAUCAUUGUCUUAUAACCCUGAUCAUAGAUUUAGAAAGGUUAACUCACGUUGACCUGAGUCGAUCCAACAUGUUGUCAUCUCAAUAUAUUUUAAAAAAUAUAUUGUCUUGAAUUUUUUUCAGUCAAACUAUGUUUUUAACAGUUGUCUAGAUUGUCUUUGGACCCGUCGAAUCAAUCAAGUCAUAUCAUGUCAACUCUCACAUGAUUUGAUUUUUUUACUAGAAAAAUAUUAGCUACGCCUGAAUGUUUCUUUUUAUGUUAAAAAAAUUAAUUUGACCCACAGCAUAGUGUAAGCCAACAAUUUAGUUGUUACUAAAUAAAAAUGUUUAGAUUUUGAAAUUAUAAUAGAUGCUUGACAUUAUAUUUAAGAUUUGAACAAGACAAUCUCGAAAUAAAAUGCUAAAAUGAUGAAAAAUCAAAAUGUAUUGUUUCAGUUAAAAAAAAAUGCGAACCAAAAGGGAACUGACAACCUUGUUUUUAUCCUUAUAUUAACCCUUCUUUUUAUUAUAGGUUAAUCUGUAAAUUAAAUUUUAAAAUUAUAAUAAUAAUUAUUUUUAUUUUUAUAUUAAAUCAAAUCAAUUCAAAUUGUCAAAGAACCAUCUCAACCCAAUAGCUUAAGCUGUUAGGUGAGGUCCCAUGAUAUGAUUUAUAUUAUUCUCCAAUACACCCCCUCAAGUGAAAGCCCUUUGGGCUUGAAACUUGCACAGACCCACAUUACCUUGUGUUUAAUUUUUAUCAAAUAAAUAGGGAUGGUGAGAUUCGAACUAUUAACCCUUUUUGCUUGUAACUCAGUUUUUAUUCUAGGUUAAUCUGUAAAUUAAAUUUUAAAAUUAUAAUAAUUAUUAUUUUUAUUUUUAUAUUAAAUCAAAUCAAUUCAAAUUAACCCUCUUAUAAUCAUCCCUUAAAGUAAAUAAGGCACCGACCGACUUAUCUACCAUCAAUGAAAGAACCAAAAUAAUGAUCAGCACAUGUAUCAAGGACCCCACAUCAGAUGGGACCACCACCAUAACAUCCAAAAAGGAAGCCAUGUUUCUUUGGUACGGAAGGUUUUUCAAAAGAAAGCACGCCGUAGGGGUACCAAAGAUUCUUUCGAGGGCUUCCAUUUUCCGGUCAUUUAAUAAUUAAACAAACCAACUACACCUAAAAAGCGCUUCUUUGUCUGCAUCUGGGCUAACUUGUAGGCAAGCCAAUCACUUUCGUUACAGCGCGUGCCUACACUCCACCACCCCAAAUAUUAGCUGGAGGCCUUUUUUUUCUUUAUAAUCAUUUUCUUUUUUCUUGAUUUCACACUAAAAAAAAAAAAAAAAGUCAUGCAGGAACAUCGAAGGAAACUACCUCAUACUGCUCAAGUGGGUGAAGUAUGUCGUUGCCUAAAAGGUAGUGUGAAUGAAUUUAUAGCUCAAUUGAAUUUGAUCCCCCAUUUUAUGUAACUAUCUAUACAUCCCUUUUCAAGAUUAAUUUGGAAUUAGAAACUGUUUGAAUAAUCAUGUCUAUGUACUUGAAUCCUGUAUAAAUGAAUAAAAUAAAUUAAUAAUUAGAUAAAAACAAUUUGUCUGAUUACAAUAAAAAAAAAACAAGAGGAAAAACAGAGAGAACCAAGAAAAAUGGCGUGAGCUGUUGAAACCAUGUUUGAUUCUGUGUCAACAGUGCGUUUAGUUUAAAAAAUAUUAGAUUAAUGUGUAUUUUUUAUUUUUUUUAAUAAUUUUAAUACGCUGAUGUUAAAAAUAAAAAAAAAUUAAAUUAAAUAUUUUAAUAUAUUUUAAAAUAAACAUGAUAUCAAAAACAUAAAAAUUAAUGUCAAGUUAUCAGGUUUUUAGCCUAUCUUCACUCUUCACUCUUUUAAGCUUCCCCUGCCCAGCAUGCCUUUCAAUAAAUAAACAACAAGAUCACGUGGUAAUGGAAUGUUAAGAAAAUCUUACUUGGAGGCCCAUUUUGCAUGUACUUGAUUUUAUUCAUUCCAGAAUGUUUAUUUAAUAAUAAGGUCACGAGGAAGGGUAAUAUGCACUUUUCAACAAUGAUUUGUAUAUAUAAAAAAUUCUAAGUGAUAAAUAAAAGGCUAAUAUAUAUAUAUAUAUAUAUAUAUAUAUAUAUAUAUAUAUUAAAUUAAAUCAAUCAGGAACUAUACACGUUAAUAAAUUAAUAAAAAAUUAUUAAAGAUAAAUAAAGAUAAAAAUAAAAAAAAUUAAGAAGCAAAUAUAAAUCAAGAUAGUUGACCUUGCAACAUGGUUUUUUGAUCUGGUUGUGUUUAUUGACUUUGUUUAUCAAAAUUAAAUUUUUAUUUAACCAAAUGAUAAUAGAAAUAAACACACAUUAAAUUGAUUUACUUAAAACACUUAAAAACAUUGUAAGAAACUCAAAAAACCAUUUUAAAACCUGAAAUCAACCUAAAAUAAUAAUAAAAUUUUAAGUUUAGAUAUGUUAUUUUAGAUAAUUUUAAAAUAAAAAAUAUCUAAACUGAAAUUUUUUAUCAUAUAAAUUUAUUUAAAAAAAAAACUAUUUUUCCAAAAACCAUUUGCCCGACGGACUUUCCUCGUCUAUGGAAAGAAAACCUGCCAUUUUGCUAUGGCAUAUUCCAAUAAAAUUGCCAUGACAAUUCUACCAUAUGCAUCAUGCAUGAUGCAUCGUCAUGAUUAUAAGUGCCAUCUGUUCCUUGCACGAGUUAAAUGUGGUACACUAGCAUUAAUUCUCCGGGCCCACUCAUCACUCGCUAUAGCGAACUGAACUCUUGUAGGAGGAUUGGUAUAAAUUGACUUUAAUUUGGUCUUUUCUGUCUGUAUCUUUUUUACCUGAUAUUUUUUUCCAUAUCUAAUCUUCUAAGACUAAUUCAGGAAAGUAGAUGGAUUAUUAGAUCAACUUGUUGAAUUUAUAAGUCAUUAUAUCAACUCACGUGUCAUUAGAUGAAUUAUAUUUAUUAAAACAUUAUUUUUCUAUUAUUAUUUUUUUAAAACAAUAAAAUUGGUGUUAACCUCAUCAAAUUUAAACUGAAUCACGAAAAGUUGAGUAAAUUAGGUGUUGUCAAAUUAAUAUUUAAUUUAAGUCAACUACUAAAAGUAUAAUUCUGAGUUAUUUAUUGCUUCCGUGUUUCCGGGCAACCCAUUAGCCGGAAUUUAACAAUUAUACGCUUUUUUAAUUAGCUGGCUCUAUGGUAAUUCAAUAUAUUCUUCAUUAAUUUUAAGAUGUGAUAUUUUUUAUUUUUUAAACUUAUUUUAUGACAUCAGAAUAUUAAAAUAAUAUAAUAACAUAAAAAAUAAUUUUAAAAAAUCAUCUAAAAAGUAGCUGCUUAAACAACAUGUACGCUAACACUGAUACAUGUAUUGAAUCUUGGAGGAAUAUUGAAUCUUGGAGGAAUAAAAAAACAAAGAAUUUUUGAAUAAAGAAAGAAGGUGGAAAGAGAGAACUUAGGCCGAGGGUUCAUGCAAGUGGAGUGGGAUUCUAAAUUUUAUGGCAACAUCAAUGCCUUUUCUUCCUUUAUCCACGCCACCUAUCCUACUUGGAUUUUUUUUUAAACCUCGAUUAAUUAUACGGGUCCUGAAAUUAACAAUCAUGUAAACUUUCAGUGGCUAUCAUAUUAGCAACCACAAAACUCCAACUUGAUACCACAAAAGGAGUAAACCCUUUAAUCCCAAGCUCUUAUACUGGACCACCUACUAGAUGGUUAGUAUUUCAUUUUCUUUUUUGUUCAUAAGCUAGAUUGCAAAAGUUUUGAUAUUUGCUUUUUUUAUAUCACACCAUCCUUUUCUUCUACAGCUCUUUAGCUUGAUUUAUGGAAGAACUUGAAAACAUUAGGGCCACUCUGUGAUCAGCAGGAUAUAGGACUUAGUCUAUUUAGUUUUGAUUUACGUGGGACCAAUUUGUGGAGUUGGUUUAGAAGUGGCAUAGUGGGAGUAUCCUCUUUCGAUUUUUUUUAGUACUUUCUGUUCUGAGUUUUAUGGCUAUAAAUGCCAAGGUUAUUUUCAAUAAAGGGAGGCUUUAAAAAAAAACCCAGAAGAGACUCCUUCUCCCCUACUACUUUUCUUCUUUCUUAAAAUUUAUUCUUAUAGAUGGGAAAUUCUAGAUAAAAUUAAGAAGAAUUCUAGAGGGUGCGUUAAAAAAAAUAUUAUGUGAUCACCUAAGGUAGAUACAGAUUAUUGUGAAUUCAAUAAUAUUCUUUUUUGCCCUUUAAAUUUUUUUCCACUUCAAUCACAAGACAAAUUUAUUUUCAAUUUAUCCUUUUUGUGUUGUAUUGGUUGGGAAUUGGGAUCAAAGAUUUGUUUCAUAUUAUAUUUUAUAGAAUUGUUAUAGUGUUAUAUAACAUUAUUAUAAUAUUGGAUUGACACUCAAUUUUACAAAAACAAAUUGAAUGCUCGCAAAAAUAAAAUAAAAUUAGGGACUAAUUUAACCAUUAGGCAAGAAUGUUUUUUUUUUUUAACAAUCAUUCACCUUUCUAUCUAAAUAGUUUUUCCAAAAUCUUUUUUAGUUGCUGAACUAAGAUGUUUAGGACCAACUUCAUUUUCAUAAUAUUUAAAUCUCUGAAUUUGAGAGCAAAAAAAGUUACAUAAUAGGAUUAGGGAGAGAAAGCUACUUGUUUGCUAGAUUUUGACAAUAAAACAAGUUAAUCUUAGUUUCAAUAAAUGUGUUUUUCAACGAUGAAAGUCAUGUUGAGGUGUUUUUUUAGCCUAUAUCUUGCCUAAAAAAUUAAAUGGGCAUCUCUUCUCAAAUUCGAGUUGAUUUUUUACUUUUUUAAUUGAUUUUUUGCUAGUUGAAGAUAAAAAACAAAAAAAAAAGAUUUAUUAAGGUCUCUAUUAUAUUUCUUAAGUGUUUUCAAAUAAAAAAAUGAUUGAAAAUAAAUUUUGGUCCAAGGAAUUAGAAACAUGACUUUUUAGCCAUCCAAUAUAGUCGAUAUUGAUACUAAAAAUGACAUGUCAUCUUCCCGUAAUGAUUAUACAUCAUCUGUUAUUUUUUUUUAAAAAAAAUGUUAGAUAGAUAAUAUGUUAUUUUCCAAACUUAAAAACAAGAUUCAUAUAGAUAAACGAAGUGUCAUUUUUCAAGAGGUUUAUCCUUGGAAGUCCAAACACACCUUUGAGGUGCUUGAAAAGUCAACAAUCUUCUCAUUUGUUCUAUCAGCUUAAUUUCCCUACCUAAUUAAUGCAUAUGCAGCAUGAAAAGUUUACUUGAUCCAGAUCUCACAGCACAUUUUUACAAUCAGAUGCUGUGGGAUGUACCAUUGAAACGACAGGGAACCGAUUCCCUUACAUGUUGCCUUUCUUAUCAGAAAUUUCGCAGAAUUCUACCAAUAUUUACGUGCCCUGUUUCGCUACAAUUUGUAGUGUCUACAUCCUCAGAAUAUUACAACAAUGCCAUUGGCAUGAAAUGAUUUCCAUAAAGAAAAUGGUAACAGCUGUCAGCAGAAGUCAAGGCAGGAGAAUUUUCCAUAAAGAAGCUACAAAUUGUCGAGGCUGGCCUUAUCAUGUUAAGGUCACAUGGAUCAUAUCAAACCAUAUGAUGGAUUGUUUACAUUAUUAUUUUUAUUUUGAUUUUAAAUGGUUUUUUUUUUCAUUUCAUAAAACGCUGGUAAUGAAAUAGGCCUUGCCCAAUUGGAAUUGGAGAUGACUGUUGUCUUUAGUUUAUUGCUGUCGUGUGAAUAACUUAGAAACUAUGCUCUUAAUUUGUAUAUUUCUCUUGCCAUGCAUGUAUGAUCUUGAUCCUUAAUCAGUCAUAGAAAAUUAAUCAAUAAUUGUUGGAAUUUGGGUGUUAUCUUGAAGAAAUUUUAAAAUACUCAAUUAUUUUAGGUUAAAAGUAGGGAAAUCAAUUCUUAAAAAAACAAAAUAAAGAGAAAAUUCUCACAAUAAAUAAGCACAUAUCCAUUUUAUCUUUAAAUAAAUAUAUAUGCAUUUCAUGUAUGUUGUUUCUUAAUUUUUAGAUUGGAUAUUGAUUUUUGAUGCUUGCACACACAACAUAACAGUUUCAAUAUACACAUUAUCUUUAAGUUAGCAUGAGAAACAUAAGUUUCAUAUCUUCAAAUCUUUAAGUAUGAUAGGUUUGGUCUCUUACCAUUUCAUAUUUCAUAUGAAGUCUUAUCAAUAGAUUUUGAUGGAACCCUAUUUAAAGAUAAGCAAUAGUUUAUAAGGCAUAACCUCAGAAAAAAAAUGGAAAGUUUACAUAGCUCAUCAUGGACUAUAUCAUAUUCAAUAGGAUUUGAUUUCUAUUUUCAGAAAUUCUAUUAAGCUGUGGUGUUCCAAGAGGUUUCCAUUGUGAGAGAAUCCAAUGGUCUUUUAGAUAAUCUUGAAAUACUUGGCUCAAGUAUUCACCACCUCGAUCAGAUCAAAGUAUCUUAACACUAUCUUAAUUCUUUGAACUUUUUAAAUAGUUUAGACUUUCAUCAAAUACACAUGAUCAUAUCCAAUAUGAUAAUCAAUAAUGAAACAUGUAUAUCUAUCUAUGACAUGAAUUGUUACUGGUCUACAUACAUCUGUAUGUAUUAGACAUUAGAUCUAACAAUUUAUUAGGUUUAUAACAAUUUUCAAGAACAUAUACAUUCUUUUUUUUUUUACAACAAUUCUCAUAUUUCGGUAUUAGUCCAAAAAGUUCAAAUACAUUAAGAAUUUUUAUAUGUAUUUGUUGGAUUUCCUAAAACACAUAUAAAUGGUCAAAAUGGUAAAUUUAAUUUUUUUUUAGAGUCCCAAAAAUCCUGUUAUAUAGAUCUAGAGUUGUUUAGGAUUUAUAUGAAGAUUAUUUAAAGAUCAAAUAUUCUUUUCAACUUUGAAUAAUUGCUACAAGGUUGAGUUGUCACAAACCACAAAUGUCUAGUCUCUAACUGUAAUCAACAUGAACUAAUGCGAUCCAAACAACACCAAGAGAUCCGUUAAAGGUUCCAGUUUGUCCAGUGACAAAACUUAAGUCUAAGAGGUUCAAAGAGGCUUUCAAUAGAUUUCUACAAGACACAUGAGCCAAGGUGGACUCCAAGAAGAUUUUAAAUAAUAAAGAACAAACCUUGAUUAAUUUAAUUAAUGUUCAAGAAGGGCUUGUUGGUGGACAUUCAAACAUUACAAAAAGAUUG